rnacentral:lncRNA from 1 species
UAUAUCUUAUUGUUUCUAUUAGACAAGGUUUAUAGAUUAUUUAACCUAUCUACGAAGCAAUUUCAUACUAUAUAUAUUCAAAAAAGUUCUGAAACAACUCCCUUAAUUAAGGAGCUUCUAAUAUAUAUAUAUAUAGAAUUGAGCUCCUAUAUUUUUAAAAGUACAAGUUAAUUAUUGGUGCUUGUGGAUUUUUAGCCAUUGGAUUAAAAGAUAUACGGUUAGGAUGAUGUGAACCCCCUAGGGUUGAGUGGUGGUUGGUUGAAUAGUAUAAUCUAAUGGUUGAAAAUGAUCCGAGAAAUAGAUCUCACCGUAAAAAACUUACAAGUACCAAGUACUUGGUGCUUUGACAAGCACCAUAGAUGACUCAUAUAUAUAUAUAUAUAUAUAUAUAUAUAUAUAUAUAUAUAUANUAUAUAUAUAUAUAUAUAGUUCGGCUACUAUACUCUUAUGAGUACGAUCGCCCUCGUACUCAUAAGUCUUUUUCGAUGAUAGAGCUUCCGAAUCGACGAUCCAUAUCGUUAAACAUUAUCUAGAGCAUUUAAAACUUCUAGAAAUUAAAUUUCAUAAUUUUUUAACAUCAUUUACCUUAUAAUCAAAAGCUCACAAAAUUGACAACUUUUGACGGCCGGUAUGAGAUAUAUGCUAGUUUAACGGUGUAAAAGAAUCGAAAUAUGUUGAAUUUUUGAUAAAAAAUUCUGUUCACUAUCUAAAUAAAGAUCAAUAACUCCGAUCUUAAAUUGAAGGAUCCGUUACCAUUUUUAGGAUAGAGUUCGAUUUUAACCAUUCAUUUUAUACCCGCUUGAUGGACUUUAUAAUAAUUUUUAAAAAUUACGAAAUUUAUUUUCUAAAAGUUUCAAAUACUCUAGAUUAUGUUUAACAAUUUGGAUCGUUGAUUCGAAAACUUUAACAUCAAAACUAAUUUAUAAGAAUGAAGGACUCUAUACUCAUAAGAGUAUAGUAGCCCUGCUAUGCUGGGGACUUCAUAUUGUAAGGUCUCAAAGUAUAUCUAUAUAUCCUCCUAUAUAUAUAUAUAUAUAUAUAUAUAUAUAUAUAUGUGGGAUUCCCUUUUAUGGAUAAGACCCACCAUGUUACUAUACAAUUUUUUUGCACAAAUAGUAAACCAUAUAUAAGGAUAAAGUUACCAUGCUCCAAACAAGUGAACACAUUUGCAUCAAGAUUAAAUAAAUUCCCACCAUUACCAUCUAUUUUCCUUUUCUAAUUAACCCCUUGUUUUUAUCCCUAAUUAAGGUCAUUCCUAUGAUAAAGAUACAUACAAAUAAGGAAAUUUAUUCAUUAAUAAAUACAUUAAGUCUCUAUCCUCCCCCUCCUCCCAUUUUCAUUUUUUACCAAACCGCUCCUCCCCCCAUCCCCCCCCCGGCAAUUAAUUUACAGCCUAAUUAAAGUUCCUCUUCUACGUUAAUUGCAGACCAUAAAUAUACAUACAUAGUUAAUUACUUAGGGAUGGAACCCAAAACUCAACUCAAUUCCACUCCCCAGUGCAGUACCAAGAGAGGCUGUGAAGCUCAGCUUCGUCGAGAAGCGCUUCCUCCAGGAACGUUUUGUGCAGUUGGAUCUUGUUAUCAAAGAAAGGAGUAGGAUGAGAAGAAGAGGAGGCGAAGUAUGAGCUGAACUCGAGACUGAAGCAUUGCGGGUCCGAAGCCGCUGCCGAAUACGGGCUGGUGUCUUCGUUGAACACGGCGCUCGAGUCGCUGUCCGAUGUGCCGAUGUCCUUGGCGAUCGCCGCCAGCAGCCNGCCGCUAGCGGUUCCUGUAGCCGUGUAGCCUGUCCCAGCAGCCGAUCGUCGGCCGCCUCCGAUUUCUCCAGCUUCACAACCAUCUCCGAAUUCCCCAGCCGGGCUUUUAGCUCUUUAAUCUGAAAAAAGAACAAUAGAAUUCUAUUAUCAUAUUCACAUGCAAGUAACAAAUAGGAGAAGCUACUGAAUCGACCGUGCAUGUGUUAUAUAUAGUACGGCAUAAAUGAUUACUCUAAAAAACUAAAUCUAGAAAAAAAAGCACAAUACUUUGUCCCCCACAAUAUUACCAUUGUUGAAUAUUAUAAAUAUUAAAUUGUUAGUUUCUAAUUAUUUAAACUUUUAAAUAAUUAUAAUUAUCUUUUCUAAUAGCUUAGAAUUUUAGAAAAAUAAUAAUUAUUUCAGAUUAUUUCACAAUAAUUUUAUUGUAUUCCUUUUUUCCUUAAACAUUAAAACCAUAACAACGGAAAUUAAGAAUGCAAUGUAGCCAGCCCAGUACUUGGAGUUACGUACAUAUAUGUUAAACCUGACUAACCUUUUAUUAAUUGAUAUGUGUCCUCACGAAAGGCUAAAAUUAACGGCAAUAAAUCACUAUAUAUAUAGGGGUAAAAGCCUACACUUCUAUUUUAUAUAUNCUACAUGAGAACAUGUCAUGUCCUACAUCUCCGCAUCGUAGACAUAUUUUAGAAUCCUGAGAAAUCUUUUUAUUCUUAUCGGGGCAGUCCUUCGCAAUAUGCCCUCUUCUUUUACAGAUGAAACAAUCUUGCCCCUGUAAAAAGAUCAGGUAGAUCGGAUAAAAGGUAAAUAAAUAUAUCGCCGGUAAACAGAAUAUACAGGAUUUGUUAUUAACAUUACAAAUGUGAUAUUAUUAACAAUGGUGCAGCCAGUGCAGUUCUAAGCAGAAAUAUAUAUAUAUAUAUAUAUAGAAUCCGGCUACUUAUGUUAUUAAUAGCACGAAGCACUUGGUGCUACCAAGUUUUCCGCCGUUAGAUCUACCCUUUUGAUCAUUUUCAUCCGUUAGAUCAUACUAUUCAACCAACCACCCACUCAACCCUAGGGGACCCACAUCAUCCUAACCGUACAUCACUUAAUUCAAUGGCUAAAAACUUGGUAGCACCAAUGACUUGGUGCUAUUAAUAGUAUAUUAGCCUAGUUCUAUAUAUAUAUAUGAAACUAUUUUGUCUCUUUUAAGAUUCACUACCCUAGCUCUCCAAAUUAAUCUGGCGUACAUUUGAUUUGUCUGAUGCAUUUGAAUUUAAUUACUACUGUUGCAGUUGAAACUGCACGUACAAUCAGGCUGAUCAACUGCGGCAGUGGCAGUAGUAGCAGUCGCAGCUAGAACUACGUCCGAAUUGAUUGCUGUAAAUAUUUUCGAUCUCAAAGAGUUAUUAAUUAGGUGGCGGUGCAUGCAUAUAUAGAGAUAUAGGUACAGAUAUAGAUAGAGAUAUGAGGGGACCUCGGCGGCGAGGGCGUCCUUGUCGCGGCGGAGGGCGUCGCACUGGAGGCGGAGGGCGUCGUGGCGGGAGCGGAGGGCGGCGUAGUCGUGGUCGAGCUGCUUGGCCUUCCAGCGGGCGCGGCGGUUCUGGAACCAGACGGCGACCUGGCGCGGCUGCAGGCCCAGGUCCCGGGCCAGCUGCGCCUUCCGCUCCGGCCCCAGCUUGUUCUCCUCCUCGAAGCUCCGCUCCAGCGCCCGCACCUGCUCCGUCCCCAGCCUCCGCUUCUUCGCAACACCAGUAGUAACCCCCAUAUUCAUGACCUUCGUAUUCACAAUUACCCCAGCUCCCACCACCACCAUCUGAUCCUCCUCCUCUUCUCCCUCCUCCUCCUCCGCUGCCCCAUCGUCCUUCCCCAAGCUCCCGACUUUCUCGCGGUUUCUAGCAGCUUCGGCCGCCGCGAAGCCCCUCCACCACCACCACCACCACCACCAACACCAACACCCUUCUCCUUUCCUAUUUAUACACAUAUAUGCAUGCACAAAGUACAAACACAAUUAUACAAAGAAGGAAAUUUUCGAUCGUAUAGACGCGCGUUAACAAUUACCUCCACCAUAUAUGUAGUGCAAUUUGGAAAACCACACACGGUUGAAUUCGCUUUAUAUAUAAUCAAAAAAUUUUAAAGUUCAGAUACAUGUCUAAUCAUAUAACAUAAUUAGAAUUAGAGCAAGGUUUUUUUUUUAUUUUUUAUUUUUUGUGUGUGUGUGGUUUUAGAAGAAUUUAUGAAGAGAACUAAUUAGUCAGGAGUAUUGACGAGGAUAAGAAUUAAUUACAGUACAUGGAUACAUACCUGGUGGGGAGAUGGGGGUGAGAGAGAUCCUUUCUUGUGCUAUGAGACCUUCCAAGGGGAGUGAGCUUCUUGGCCUCUUCAUUGGUUCUUCUUUUUUCUCUUUGUUUGGUGAUUAAUUUCUAUUUUUCUUCUUUAAAUUUGUGCUGUGGAGAAGCGAAGAGAGGGAUCGAAGGUUUUGAAUUAAGAUGCAAGAGGAAGAAGAGGAGGAGGAGGAGGAGGAGAAGGAGAGGAAAAGGAAGAGAUGAUGGGGUGGGAGGGAGAUGAGUUGGACACCCAUGUUUCCUCUUCUCUCUCCAUCCUCUUUCCCAUCACUUCUUCAAUUCAUAGCCCAUCCAUCACCUUAUAAAAAUUAAAUAGAGAGAGAAGAGAAGAGUCAACAGUUGCUGCGGGAAUCAAGCAGUGUAUAUAUAUUAUUAUAAAAAAGAAAAGGAAAAAAAAGAGGAGACGGAGAAGUAGUAGUGUUGGGAGUUUUUCUGUUUUUUUUUUUUUGGUGGGGUAUGAGAGGGAGAGGGGAAAUGGGACUUGAGAGAAUUGAGAGGCUUGGUCUAAUUAAUGGAAUGAAUGAUGAGUCAAGAAAAUGAAGUGAGGGUGAGAUAAAACUCAGAACCAAAUGCAGGUGCAAUUCUCUGUACUACUGCAUUUGAUCACUUUCAAAAUUUACAGCUUUUACUGUGAAGUUGAAAUGAAGGGUGCCAGCUAAUUUAGAGCUUUCAUUUCUGCUGCUGCUGCUGAUAAUAUAUGGUUGAUAAAAUACUAAUUUUGUUUCCGCAUUUUCGGCGAGUCUAAAUUCAUGCGAGGCUAGAGACGAGAUAUAUCUAAUGAAACUCAUUUAAUCUACAAAUUUAAGCCUAUUAAGUCUGGAUCCACUAGUACGUAUCGACUAUUUAACUCAUUUAUAAUUCUCCUCGUAGUAACAGCAAAUGAUAUGGUUAGGAUAAAGAUGAUUAUUUGUUCUAACUGAGGAGAAUUUGUUGAAAAUCUGGUACUCGUAAUUUACUUUGACAUUAACUGCUGUUGAUCCGGUACUAGUUAUUGGGAUUCCACAAUAAAAGUAUCAAAUUAAAUUUUUACUAUAAAUCAAUCUUCUCAGAAAAAACUCAUAUAAGCACAAAAGUGAGAAAACCAAACAUAACAUAUACAGGUAAAAUAAAAUUCAUUAAAUAAAGAAAAAAUUACACCUGACUUCUCUUCUAUAUAGAGUAGCUCCAACUCGAGCUCUCUUUUUGAAUCUCUCUCACUCUUCUUUCGUCUUUUGUAAGUCCAAAAGAAGACCUUUUUCUCAUCCUAUGCAUCCAUGCAUAAGAUAUAGGAAUGACGCACGACCACGAAAGUCGCACACGUCCACUAGGUGCAUCCAAAAUUAUGACCAUCUUGUCAAAUACCAUAUGGGUGUGGCUAAGCCGUACCACCACAACCAAAUUAAUAACACUUAUACUAUAUUUAUAGCUUAAUCGAAAAGCCAUCAAAUUCUAGUCCAAUAGGAUUUUUAUUCUAUUUAAUAUUUAAAUUUGAAUUAAUUUAUCUCUACUAAAUUUAAAUAUUAUUCCUAAUCCAAGUAGAAUUCAUCUAUAAAUCUAAUCAAAUCUCAACAGAAUCUUGAUCAUUUGAAAAUCCUUUUAGAUUAUUGAGGUGUUAUUCAAAAAACUUAAUUUCUAAAAAAGAUGUCAUUGGUGUCUCUAAUAAGUCAAUCUUGCAUGCAUUAAUUAGCUUGUUGCAAAAUUGACAAACUUAAACAUAUAAAACCCCCCCCACACCAACUUCAUAUUUGCUGCACCUCAUUCAAAGCUAGCUCCAGAGUACUUAAGAUUUUCUAGUCUAAGGUCUAAAUAUACUCAUCCUCUGUUCCGUCUCUACAUGGAAAAAUAAAAUGAAACUAUGUUAUUUCUAAACUUGACAUAAAUUUAAUAUUAUUUUCAUACCAAUGUUUUGAGGGAAGUCACAUGGUAUAUAAAGAAAACUGUUUAUUCUAAUGUGUGCAUUAACGAAAGAGAUACAAUUAUUGCACGGUUUAGGUAGUACUACUGUUGUAGCUAUUUGAUAUCAUUACUUCAUGUAUACAAAUAUAACUAUUUUUGUCACUGAAAAGAAGAAAAAAAAGAAAAAGAAAGAAAGGGAACUCUCCAACCAUUGCAGAAUCUGUAGCUAUUAAAGCAUACUUGUUUCUAAAUAGAAACAUCAACAGUAGAAGCAACAAGUGGUUUUUCCUGUUAUAGAUGAUGUAGUAAGCCAAUCAUAGUGGUGAUGGCAUUAAAUAAUUGCCUCUUGGGUUACUCUUUUAUGCAUUAACGUUUGUUGUUUUUCUCCCUCCUAUAUAUGUGUUACAAAAGAGCGAGCAACGGAGAGAUAAACUUAUGUGUCUCGGAUGGCAUUUGUUCUUGGUCAAUAAGGACGUAUAUGAAUCAUUAUUCAUCUUAAAAAACUUAAGUUAUUAAAGAACAAUAUUUUUCAUCGCGUAAUAUUUAGCCUUACAAAAGUUUCAAUACAAGUUUAAGAGUGAAGUUCCAUUCAAUAAGACAUGCACAACUUCAAGUAGUACCUUAAUUAUCAGUCCAAAUUUUCGAGCCUGCAUAUGCAUUUAAGUCGUAUUUACUCAAAUAUAAGCAUCAAUAAGUAGCUUCUUUGUAGCUAUUAGAAAGGGAAAUUAUAUUCUAUAAGAUCCUUAAUUCGAGGAGGUUUAAGUUACAUAUUCUUAUUUCUUACUUUUGAUCCAGAGACAUGCAUAUGUGAUGUACCUAGUUUUAAUAGUAAUAGAUUGAGUUGUCGAUAUGUGGGGUUUUUGUUGCCCAGUAUCUCUCAAAUGGGAAUCUAGUGUAAUCUCAGUAACCGUACUUAAAUUAUAGUCACUUACAACUGAAAAAGUUAAAGUAAUGUUUUGUGUCAAUAAGUUCGGCUUUUGGCUUGCCUUUUCUUCCAUCAGUGUGCGGAAUUCAUAUGCAUGUUCUGAGUCAUGGAAUUAGGUGAAGUAAGUCGAAUUCAGCGACAACGGCUACUCGGAAAAUCGUAGACACUUUUCUUAAUAUGGUACACAAUAAACCAGAUCGAGUUGUUUAUUUUAUUAAAUUUUUUUUGAUUAAAAAAUUAAUCAAAAUUGUAUGAAGGGUUUGUUUGACGGUAAUAAGAACAGCAAAAGAACGCGCAAAAUUGUAUGAAGGGUCUGUUUGACGGUAAUCCAAUAAAAAGUCUCCGAAUCAAGUCACAAUAUGCGAAUGCUUUCAAAAUAUAUUUCCGAUAAAUUGCAGGCGUGUUUAAUUGAAUUUUGUUGUAGAUAAUCUACAAUUGGAGAUAAAUUUGGUCUAAAGAUACAACAGUUAUGUCUACAAACUAGUAAAAAAUCACAGAUAUAAAGAGCUUUCACUUUUUGUACAUGUUCAUUCAUUGAUGUUUAGAGUGGCAAACAUCUAUUGGUGCGGUUGCAGGCAUUUUUAGUUGGUACUUUCAACAGUUAGUCCUUUGACAUCAAAUAGUAUAAUGAUCACCUGGCAACGCGACUGUCUUAAUUUUUCUUUAACUCACAGAUCUCAUAGUUUUUUUUUUUUUUUUUUUUUUUUUUUUUUUUUUUCCCACUAAAAUCCAAGAGGUUGUAUCAACUCUUAAUUCUUUGGUUAUAUAAAAUAUAACCCCAUAUAAGGAGUUCAUAUGUAGUAUUUUCCUUGUUCUUUAACUAAAGGAUAAGUUACACAUUAAUUUGGUCCUCAAACUAGGAGGCGUGUGGGUAAUUUAUCCUUAACUAAAUUACACUAGUGGUCCUCAAACUAUGAGGGGUGUAGCGCUUUGGUUCUAAAUCUUAAUUUAUGAUGAUAUUUGACUUUAUUAAAGAAAUAAAUAAUCUAAUUAGUUGAUUAAGUAUUAAUGUGUCACUAAUGUGAAAGUGAAACGAUGUCUUAAUUAUUAUCGUGUCAUUAAUCACAAUACUAUUGUAUUAUUUCUAUGUUAAUGACAUGUAAAUAAUUAAUCAAUAUUAGAAAAGCUCAAGUUAAAAAUUAUAAUAAAUUAAAGUUUGAACACGAGCCUCAUAGUUUGAACACCCAAAGCAUAAUUUAGUCGUUUUCUUUCUCUAUGGGCCUAGUUAUCCCUUGUGUCCUUUUUUUUUUUGUUUGUGAUUUGUUGCUGUUAGUGAAGCUAUUUUUCUUGACAUAUAUAUCUUCAAUCUUUCUAUGAUGAAGCAAACGGUUUGGAUUUGUGUAUGUACAAUAGAAUAAGGAUCAAAGAUUAAAUGGGCUUAUGAAUGCUUACCUGUAACAUGAAAUAAAAUUAAAUGAAACUAACUCGAAAUGUAGUCCAUUUUAGGAUGACUAUUCAACUUUUAAAAGAAAAUAAUUCUGCCACCUAAUCUUUGAAUGUGUGUGAUAUGAUUGAUGUAGUGACUCUUUUAUGAAAUUUGCGUAAUUACAAUAUUUGUCGAAACAAAAAAAAAAAAAAGGCUCAAGUUCUAUACUGAAAGGGCCAUUAAAAGAUCAAAACAUACGGAUUAAAGGAAAACCAAAAAAGAUAGUAAAACAAAAGCCGACUGUAAGUUGAAUAAACAUAUGAAAGUGAGCCAUAAUUCAGAUUGGUUUUCUAUUACUUACGUAUGAAAUACUCUACCACCCGAUUUAGCGCAAUUGGCAACCUGUUUGAUGGUCGAUAUUCAUUUACCUAAGUUCAAACUCUAUUUAGUGCAUAUUUGUAAAUGAGUUUAUUUUUGAAAUGUAAACAAAACGAAUAGCGCGCAUAUAUACUAGAAUUCUCUCUCUCUCUCUCUCUCUCUACCUUAAAAAAAAAAAAAAAAACUUAUUUUCCUCCAACUCCUCUUAUAUCUCAUUUUCCAAGUAGGCAAGGGAAUCUAAAAGGGUAGAAAAGAGAACAAAAAGAUGUUGUUUGGGCCCAGGAAAAAAAGUAAAAGAUAAAAAAAAGUCACCUCAAUCAACUGGUGCCCAGUUUUUGGAACUACAUGCAAAGCACCAAUGGAAGCUUUUUCACCUUUACUAGGGUGCCUAGAAAGUGAUUGGCUCAAUCUCUUUCAUUUUCCCCACCUCUAAUCUCUUACAAAUGACCCCCCUCUAGAGUGCUAGUACUUCCCCCUCUGGAAUCCAAUACAAGAGAGGGGGAAAACUGCGGCUGCUUUGGUGGAAAAGUGAAACUGUUCCCUCAUAUCUUAUUAUACUCCAUGGAUCAGCUACUUGUUCCUGUCAAAGAAUGUGAUGCUAAAUUCGAAAAGCAUAAGUGCUAAUUUGUAACUUUUGCUUCCGUUGCAGAACGAAAUCAUUGGGUACGUACGUAGAUUUUAAUACGGUACGUAUUUCUUCGAAUGAUACCACUCCCAUAGUAUGCCACCACAUAAUGUUUUUGAUAAGUUUGCUUACUUAUUUAAAUUAGAAAAGCUUUUAUCAAACCGGAAGUUUCGACUUGAAACUUACUAGUCUGAUUCUUAUUCUAACUUGCAUUAAAAGGUUUUGGAAGGAUUGUAAGUGGUGUUUGGAUGGAGAAUUAUUAUUCUGAGAAUAUGGAUUAUUUAUAAUUUAAAUAUCUUUUACGAGAUGCUUAUCCACAAAUUCAUAAAUUCAUAUUGAAUUUGUUGGGACAACGAAAACAUUUGGUACUAUAUUUGUUCCCUGUUACUAACCAUAAUAACAUCUUGAUAUUAAAUUACUUUUAGUACUUGUGAUAAGCUCCUCCAAAUUAAGAAGUGAAAUAAGUCCACAGUAAGCUAUUGCGGCAUAAAGAUGUGGCAAAAAGCCGAGUACCAUCAUACGUUGCUUCAUCUUCACCAUGUCAUGAACGUCGCGUUCAUCAAAAACAAUGUUGCUUUUCCGGAAAGCUAUUUUUGGGUGGUAAAAACUCUUCUGAAAGCACGACCCCAUUUGAGAAAAAAAAAAAAGAAAAAAAAAAAAAAAAAGGUGGAGGAGAAAGUGAUGGGGUUGAUGGAGAUUGCACACCAUUUCCCACCAACUCGAGAAGUUCCGGUUGUCUGGCAUUGAAUUUUUUUUUCUGACAAAAAUUCAAAUAUCCAUUUUUAUAGUUUCUUUUUUUUUUUAUUUUAGUAUUCUGUGAUUUAUAAUGUAUCAUUUUCAUACCCCUAUGCUUUUUCUUUUUCUUUUUGUUAUUUUUUUUACUAAUUUUUUUCGUUAAAUCAGUAACAAAGUUAAAACUAAAAACUAUGUUAAAUAUAAAAUUAUAUAAAUACCAUUUUCUAGCUAACAGCUUAAGUUUUUAGAGUACAACGGUUGUUUCACAUGGUAUCAAAGUAGGAGGUUCUAAGUUCGAGUCACGCCGUGCUUCUAGCAUAUUAAUUUUCUUCCAUUUAAUUCAAGCCCACGUCAUGAGCAGACUAAAAAAAAAAGUCUCGAGCCUAGAGUAUUAAAUAUAAAAUUAUAUAAACACCGUUCUCUAACAGUUUAAACUUUUAGAGUACAAUGGCGGUUUCACAUGGUAUCAGAAUAAGAGGUUCUGAGUUCGAGUCACGCCAGGUUCCUAACAUAUUAAUUUCCUUCUAUUUAAUUCAAGCCCACGUCAUGGACCAACUAAAAAAAAAAGUCUCGAGUCUCGACCCCAAACGUGAGAGGGAGUGUUAAAUAUAAAAAUAUUCAAAUAUCAUUCUCUAAUAGCUUAACUUUUUAUAGUACAACAGUUAUUUCACAGGGUACUAAAGUAAAACUAUAUAUAGGGUAUUUGAAGGUUUUUAUAUAUAAUUUAACAAAAAAUUGACAGAGGGCCCGACGAAAAAAUAAAUAAAAAAAACCACAUAAGUGGUAUUUAAGUUUACCGUUUUUUGAGAGAGAAAAAUAGCAUACUAUCAGUUUCAUUUAUUUUUUUAAAAAUAAACUUAGUUAAAAAUAUAAAUUAAUUAAGAUUUAAAUUUAAAAUCUUCAAUAUCAACCACCAGAUUUUUAUAACUUGCGCCGGGAACAGUCUGUUUGUUUGGCAUUGAGUUGAGCCCCCAAAUUGCAAGCAUAUGCAGCAAAGUGGGUGUAGUACACGCUGUACCGGAUUAUGCCUGUGAUCGACUGUGUGCGCCACUUGUGGUUGUAUCGUACGGCGCAUGCUGUGUUGAUCAGCUAGCGAAUAUCAGUAUGAUUGACUCGUGUGCUAGCUAGUAGUCAUGUGGGUCCAAAACCUUUUUUUUUUUUUUUCAUUUAUUUCAGAAAAAAUGCUUUGGAUCCUCAAAAAUACUUGUGUGUUAGUAUGAAGUGCCGAGUAACUGAGAAAUAUUUUAUCCCGGUCAAAAUCUCUUUUUUUUUUUUUUUAAUCUGUUUUGUAUUUAAUAGGAUGGUAGGGAGGUCAGAACUAAUAAAAAAGAGUAAUAUUCAUUCGUUUUCAUUGGGAAACAUAGAAGCAAACUGGACGGAUACGAGGAUGGAAGUCCCACCCCUCCUUCAGAUUUGACUACUAAAAUUCCCCCUCGUCUCCUAUCUUGAAUUUAUGACGGGUUAAAAAAAUAUAUUCUAUAAUUCAUUCCGACUUAUAACCUAUCUCCUGCCAGUGCCACGAAUUCGUCUUGCCAACUAAUACUUGUUUUUACAAAUUAUACUAGUAUUCAUAUUUUAUAAAAUAUAAAUUAAUAAAUUUUUAAUAAUAAUAAAUAAUAUUACCAAGUUAUAUAUAUAAUAAUUAAUAAUAUUAAUUAUAUAAAUUAAAAUAUCAAUCCUAAUUGAAAGUAAAAUUCGAAAAUUUAAAAAAUAUGAGAAAUGAGAGCACCAACUUAUUUGUAUUUUAGACUUUUUAUAAAUAUAUUAUUAGUUAGGGGUAUUAUCUUAAAAUAUAAAAUAUUUUCGGGAGGGAUUAUGGCGGGCCAGAUUAGGAGCGAAUUCAGAGUAGGUCAAAUUUUUUUUCAUUUUCUACCUCGAAUCUCUUUCGGAUCAUAAAGAUCACUUCGUUUUUUUAUUCCGAACCUGUUUAUUUUGUUUUGUUUACUGUCCAAUUCGAGGCGGAGCGAGGUGGGAGUCCCCCAACCCAUCCCUUCUGAGGAAGGUGGAUUGGACGCCACACAGACUUUACGAAUAAAAUUGCUUAGUCCGUGACGCAUCGUACACGUUUGUAUCUUAACUGAUUCAGUACAAUCUAACUAACAUGUAUUUUUCUAUAAUAUUAAUAAACUAAAUAUUUUUCACAUCAAUAUUUUUUGGCCGACGCACUCUGCUAGUAAUUUCAAAUCAAAGCCGGAGAAAUUUAAAAUCAGAGCCGGAAAAGGAAAAUUAAUAGCCUUCCUGUUUAAAUUUUGGGGGCUAUUUUGGGAAAAAGCAACUGGUGUGUCAUAGCUAACUAUAGAUGAUGGUGAUAGAAACAACCUACCUUUACGAAGAGAAUAGUUUACCCUUUGUCCUUACCCUUGUUUUCUUUGUGAAUAAAAUGGAUGAGAUAUUUAACAUAUUCUUCUUUCUUUUUUUUUUUUUGGUUAAGGAGACUCAAGGAUUGGGGAACCUACAUGAGUUGGGCCUAAAAAGAGAACCCAGUCCAAAACCGAUUAUAGGCCCUACUGGGCCAACUAACUGCUAACUCGUUUUAAAAGAACUAGAAGAAGGUCUCGACAUAAACAAGUUUGAAGCAGAAUUAAAUCGGAAGAAACUAGAUCGGGAAUAAUAAAUAUUUUAACCAAAGUCAAAUCAGUUUAUAAACUUAAGAUGAUAUGUUGAUUAACUCCUGUACAUUUUAUUUAUACACUAAUUUGUAUGUUUUUUCGCAAAAUAUGUUGGAAUUGCAUGAUCCUCCCAACCUCUGGAUUUCACCAAGUUUUUCGGAGAAACACCACGAGUCCAUUCCCAAAUAAGCCCAAACAGGCCCAGUUAUAACCUCUGAGCAGGCCCAUGGUGAUAGUCUUUUUUUUUUUUUUUUUUUUUUAAAAAAAAAAAAAGAAAAAAAGAAGAGAGAGGUAGCAUGUGAUCACUUUAUUCAAUAAAGAGGUAAAUUAAGCGGUGAUACAUCAGAACUUCCCCCCGCCCCCAAAAGGGGAAAAAAAAAAAAUGCUAGACGCAAUAGAGCUCCCAAGAUUCCUACUAAAGUGCAAAUCCACCAACAAUUAUCUUAACAUGACUUUUUUUUCGAAAAUCCUUCUAUUCCGCUCCAAUCAAAUAGUCCAUGAAGAAGUGACGAUGGUUAUUAACUUCCUUCGCCCUAUGGCGCCCUACUUAAUGUUACUACCUUUCCAGAGCACACCAAUCUAAGUGCAAUUACUCAGAAGCUGUUUGUUCAACAGUAAACACUCCAGCAGUGUUUUAGAGAAACAAUAGCCUGCAAAAUAAUGGUUGUCUCUGGUUCUUCCAUACAAAACCUACAACUCGCCUCUCCCGACCAUCCUCUCUUCAACAUAUUAUCCUUUGUCAGCAUUUUUUGUUUUAACACAAACUCACGAUGAUAGUCUAAUAUUAGGGGAAAAAAAAUUAACUUCACUACAACUAUUUAAAUUUAACUGCUGAAUUAUAUACAAAAUUUAAAUUCAGUGUAUCUAUCUAUCUUUAAAUAUCAAAAUCAUCUAAAAUGCAACACCUAAAAAAGAGAAAUUUUUUGUGCUCCGUAAAGGAAUUCUAAGAUUGGAACGAAAUAUUGAAAGAUUAACCGAACCUAACCAAUAAAAUGAUUGGCUCCACCUAGGUGGAGACAACCGGUGCCCAUGUGUGAGCCAGUUGUCCACCUGCGUUGGGGCAUCAUUCGUUUCCGAAAAUUAAAAAAGAAAAAAUAAUUUUUUUCAAACGCCUAACGGCUAGUUUGACUCGGGAGCCUUUCUUAAAAUAUUAAAAUUGGAACAACCGCAGCCGUUCGUUUACCAUCGGACGGCGUGGGGACGUUGCACGGAAAAAAUAGACGUUGGAGUCCUUCCAAUUUUGGCAACGCGGUGACGGGUGGGCUCGAUGUGAAAUCGGAGCCGUCGGAUCAGCAUCGGACGGGUGGUGAUCGAGAGGCUAAAACCGGGGGUGGAAAGCGGAAACGGUCCCGAUUUCGUGUACCAAAACCUCCCCUGGGCCCCUCCACCGUCCAUCCAAAAUAGAAUUCGUUUGCAAGAAACUGAAUUGCAUGAUAGUCCCUCUGCAAUCCUAUUAUUUCAACUUAAGCUCUAUACUUUCAAAUAAUAUUCGUAGAACCGCUAAAUUUUAUAUACACAUUUCGUAGAAAACACUGGAAUUUUUUGACUACGAAGUGAGUUGUUUAUUUUAGUUUAUUCUAAUUUUAUUUACAUAAAAAAAUGGUAAAGAGUGAAGUUGUAAUUUUGGGAUAAUACAUAGAGUGGCCACACAUUUUACCAAAAUGAAAAGAAAGCAAUCUAACGGCUAUGAUAGCUUCACAUUGCUUAGCUGUCAAAUAACAAUAACUAAAAUAAUAAUAUUUUAUUUCCCCGACCUUUCCUUCCUCUUCCUUUAUAAACCCCCCCAAACCCCUCGGACAAAAAUUCUAUGGGCAGCGUGCCCAAACUAAUUAGUUUGGGCACGCUGCCGGAUGGGCGCCGCAUGGCACAGGUGCCACGCGGCGCCCAUCCACCACUGCUCUCCCAGUAAUGGGGAGAGCAGUGGAACUUUCUGGGUGCACCUGGUGCAUCUAUACCAGGUGCACCAUAAUUGUAAUUUUAAAUUUUUAGUUUUUAAAAUUAUAAUUUUAUGUAAUAAUUUAUUUAUUUUUUUAGGAGUUAUCAUUGUAGAAAUUAAAAUUUUAAANGAUGAAGAUCUAAGAAAUAAAAAUUAUUAAAUAUUUUAUAUAUUAUAUAAAUAAAUAAAAAUAAAUUAUGUAUAUAUAUAUAUAAUUUAUUCGGGUUUGAAUUCGGAUAAUAUUUCAGAUAUCUAUACCUAUUGACAUCCCUACUCCUUAUUCCACUUUUCAAUAUACAAAAAGUACGCAAAAAAUAUGUAUUAAACACGGUGAACACGGUGAAUGGUUCACCGUGUUCAACUUAACACACGGGCCCAGCUCUGCCAGCGUGGCGCUGACGUGGCGCCUGCGUGACAGGCCCAGGACUAUUUUUGCAAAUUAAAUUUUGAUAAGACUAUUUUUAAAAUAAAAAUUUGCCAGGGUCUAAAUGUAAAAAAAGCCGAACUUUUCCUUCUCCAGGGUCUCAAGCGAUCACAGCUACUACUAGUGUUUUUUAUAUUCCGAAGUGGCUCCUCUCUCUCUCUUUAGACGUUUCUCUCCUCCGCUUCUCUCUCUCUCUCCUCGUUCCUAACUACCGGGAGAAAGGGAGAGAGGAGAGAGAGAGAGAGCGCGCGAGAUCCCACCUCCUCCCCCUCCGCCGCUCCCUCCACCACCAUCUCCGCCCCCCCAUCGGAGGCCCCCUCCGCCUCCGCCGGGAGCGCCGCAGCCGCCGCCGCCGCCUUGGUCCCCGUCGCCGUCGCCGCCGCGAUCCUCUCCGCCCUCGCCUUCUAGAUCCAUUGGAUGAUCGCGAUCCGUCGCAGCGUCGCAGAUACCGGAGCCAUUUGAGCAUUUUUACAAUUAUUAUUGUUAUUAUUAUUAUUUUUUACUGUAUCACCAUUCGUUUCCAUUGUUAAUAAUAUUAUCUUUUUGAUCCCCAUAUUACUCGUGUUCUUUUACUGUAACUCAAACUUUGUUUUAUUUUGGUUCAGGAGCCAUUGUUUUUAACUUUUAAGCCGAUCUAAUUAUCUCACUUUUCUUCGAGAUAUCUAAAUUGCUGCUGAUAAUAAGAUAAUAAAUUCUCUGAGAACUAAGAAAUUUUAUGGGGGGUUUGAUGCGAUUUACAAUCGUUCACUAAUGUGAAGCUACUUAUUUUACGAUGUUUAAUUAGAGCAUUUUGUGUAAUUUAUAUGAUUAUAAGAAGAUUCAGCGACUACGAUGUUAGGAAUUUUUUCCCGCCCUUUUCUGCUUAAACACCUUACUGUUGUUAAUCGCAGAGUGUUGUGCAUCUCGAAACCACGAUUUAUUUAUUAUCAUAAAAAACAAAAAGUUAGGCUCAUAACAAAAAAAAAAAUGCAUUAAUAAAAUAAAUUUAAAAACUUAAUCUCCAUCCUUUUCUCCCGCUUGUUAAAAGAAAAAGAAUGCUAAAUAAUGAUUCUCUGUCUCAUAUUUAUUAAUAAACCCUUUCACUUAAAAUGAACUCAGCAAAAUAAUCAACAGCAAAAAUAACUAUUAAGACUUAGUUUGAUAUUGAAGUCUAUCUGAUACUAUUAGAUAAAAUCGAAUUGGAAUAAAAAUAUAUAAAGUUAUACUUUUGCAUUCUAAAUUUCUAAUCGAAAAAAAUGGACUAAUACAAAUUUUGAAAUUAGAAGUACACCGAAAAACACAUGUUAAACGUAUGAGACUUUAGAAAUUUUGAAAAUAGAUGCCUUAACUUUGUCUUAACUUUAUUUUUUCAAUUAAAGUUGUUGAUAGUAAAGCGGACAUUUGUACAUUUGUAUUGCAUUUAAUCUUGUAAAAAAUUUAAACCACAAAAGAGCUUUUUUUUUUUUUUAGCAUAGAAAAAGCAAUAAAAUUGAAAAACAAAUGUAUUCUAUUCUUUAUUCCUGAUAAUUAAAAUUAAUUAUAAUAAUAAUUAGAAGGAAAUACACUCCAAAGGCGAUGCCUUCCGCCUCUUUUGUACUCUAAAAUAGGGUAUAUCCCUGUUUAAUCAAAAAAAAAAAUAAUUAGAAGGAAAUUAUUUUAACAUAAACUAUGACUUAAUAUAAUUAGUUAUUUUGAUUUAGGCAAAUGAUCCAUUAAACCAUUUAGACUUAGUUGGAAAUUGCGGAAAUAUUCCGUUAUGUGAAUUGAAAAAGUAUGGCGAGAAAAUAUUUUAUUUGUUUUAGUAUGUAAUAUUGUGUUUCACAUAUCACAAUCUUAUAUAUAUUUUUUAUCUUAAUUUUAUUUUGCAUAUUAGUGUAAAAUGGACAUCAAUCACCAACAUACCCUUAAUAAAGUUUAGAAAAUUAGCUGCCACAAUUAAAAGCAGGCACCAAUUAGCAAAAAAGGUAAAAGGUGAGGAGUCUUUUACAUUUUUCCCAAAAAGGUAAAUAGAUUCUCAAAAAAAGAAAAGAAAAAUGGAACAAGCACCCACUGCACUGCCCCUUCCCCCUCCCUUUUUCUUUCUAGUCUCUCUCCUUUUGCUUUGCCAAAUCGAUAACUCGACAAAUUUCUAGGGUUCUGGCGACGCCCGGGCGAUGCGAAGAGGCUCCUUCUCCGGCGAUCGCCGGCCGGAGCGGCCCUUCCGGCUGCCUCAGCCGCCGCGGCGUCCCAACCCCUCUACCCUCCUCCUCCUCCUCCUCUUCCUCCUCCAAUCUCGAAACCCUAAUCUCCUCCUCCCCCUCCGCCCCAUCGGACUACUCCAUCCACCCCUCCGGCCCCAUCGCCGCCACCCUCCUCUUCUCGCGGCGGAGCGACGCCACCGACGCCGCAGUCCACCUCUGGGCCCGCCGCCUCGACGGCGCCCACGCCCUCACCCCGAAGCUCCAGCCCUCCGCCGCCGCGUCGGAUGACGCCGACGAGCGCGACCGCCUAAAGGCCCUCUUCGCCCGCCACGUCGCCGGCCUCCUCGAGUGCGGCGCUGUGCGGCGGUGCGAGGAGAAGUUGCGGCGCGCGGCGGGGGAGGUCAACAAGGUAACAAAGCUGCUGCAGCGGCCGAAGGGCAUUCAGCUCCACACUCAGCUGAAGGAGGAGAAGAAGAGGCUUGAGGCAGAGAGGGAGCAGCUGGAAGGGAGGUUGGCGGAAUUCCGGGCUGCCAUGGAGUGCAUUCUUGCUCGCCUCCACGGGAAUUGCGGUGGGGCGAUUGCAGAGAAGCCAGGCGAGGCAGCGAGAAUUGAGGUUUUUGAGCUCGGGAGCGAGCUGGAUUGGGGCCAGAUUCAUGGGCUUAUGGUGAGGGAGUGUCGGCGGCUCGAGGACGGAUUGCCGAUAUAUGCUUCCAGAAGGAAAAUUCUGAACCACAUUUUCAAUGAUCAGGUACUUGCUUUGGCAAUGGAGUCGAUAUUGUUCUCUUUUCUUACUGAUUGGUUAAGUAGCUAGUGUUGGUUGUUACUUUUAUGUUAUGUGGUGAUGUGUGGCCAAUUCGGUGUGGCCAAUUCGAAGUAUAUGGGUAAGAAAUAAAAUUUGAGCAUGCAAAUCACAUUUACAUGAGUGCCUAAACUAUUAUGCAAUUGUGUUAACUAAUACAUGUUUCAGAAUGUUUGAUAAAAACCAUCCACAGUGUUUCUAAGCGAAUGCUGUUCUUUAUAGUGGAUACUCACUCUUCUUAUGGACUCUGCAGCCUCACACUCUAUGAUCGCUGAUUGACAGUUCUAUUUCAUUCUUUUAGUAGAGAUAAACAUGCAGUAGAAAUUUAUUUUAGAUUUCUAGUUGUCAUUGGACAAUAAUCAAAUGUGACAUAUGGGAACUUCGGUUUCAGUAUUAUUUCUUCUCUAUUAGGACUUUUUAGGGGUUAAAUGAUGAUAUGACUGCUUGAAGAUGAUUAUAUCGUAGGGCUUAACAUGAUUUUCCUAGGCCAAUACACAUUUAAUCAUGUGAUAUUUUGCGUUCAUGUCUCAGCUUUCUUCUGAGUAAUAGCAGUCUUUAUGUGUAGUCGAAUUAGACGAAACCGUGAAGGGUGGUGUGGAGGCCCGAAAUCCUCUCUAAAUCGUUCCUCUACUUUUUAUCAUAGGUUAUGGUCUUAGUUGGGGAGACUGGCUCCGGAAAGAGCACACAGUUGGUCCAAUUUCUUACUGAUUCAGUACUAGCUUCUGAUGGAUCAAUUGUCUGUACCCAGCCGCGCAAAAUAGCGGCCAUCUCUUUGGCUCAGCGAGUUGCCGAGGAAAGCAAUGGGUGCUAUCCAGAUAACUUUGUUGUGUCUUAUCCGACCUACUCAUCUUCUCAAGAGUUCAAUUCCCGGGUAAUAUUUAUGACCGACAGCUGUCUCCUCCAACAUUGCAUGAAUGGUAUGGGCUUGAGUGGAAUCUCAUAUGUCAUUGUAGAUGAAGCACAUGAGAGAAGCUUGAAUACCGAUCUCCUCCUUGCAUUGAUUAAGAGGAAACUACUUGAGAGGUCAGAUCUGCGGCUCAUUAUAAUGUCUGCCACAGCUGAUGCAAGCAAACUGGCAAAUUACUUUUUUGACUGCGCUACCUUUUCUUUAACCGGUAGAAGCUUUCCUGUUGAAGUAAAGUAUUUUCCUAGUGUAUCUUCUGAACCUUUCUCUAAUACCAUCUCCAAGUCUUUAUGCAGUAAUUUUGCUUCGUAUGUUAGUGAGGUUGUAAAGAUGGUGGCCAGAAUACACAAGACAGAGGAAGAUGGAGCUAUCCUUGCAUUUUUGACUUCUCAGAUGGAAGUUGAAUGGGCUUGUGAAAAUUUUAAUGAUCCUUCUGCAGUGGUACUCCCAAUGCAUGGCAAGCUCUCCUGUGUGGAGCAAAGCCGUGUGUUUAAGAAUUAUCCAGGAAAAAGGAAAGUUAUUUUCUGCACUAAUGUAGCGGAGACUUCUCUGACCAUCUCUGGUGUGAAGUAUGUGGUUGACUCUGGCAUGGUCAAAGAAAGCCGAUUUGAACCUGGUAAUGGCAUGAACGUGCUUAAGGUCAACUGGAUCACCCAAAGUUCUGCCAAACAACGAGCUGGCCGGGCAGGACGAACUGAACCGGGCAAGUGUUACAGGCUUUACUCAGAAAAUGAUUUUGAUUCAAUGGAAAAGCACCAGGAACCUGAAAUUCGCAAAGUUCAUCUUGGAACUGCUGUUUUGAGAAUUCUCGCCUUGGGUGUAAAAAAUGUACAUGAAUUUGAGUUUGUUGACGCUCCAAGUACAAAGGCAAUUGACACGGCUAUAAAGAACCUUGUCUAUUUAGGUGCUGUUGUGCACCAAGAUGAUGGGUUUGAAUUAACUGAUACGGGUCGAUAUUUGGUUAAAUUGGGUAUUGAACCCCGGCUUGGAAAAAUCAUUCUCGAUAGCUUCAGCUUUGGGCUGAGAAAAGAAGGCCUAGUACUGGCUGCUGUAAUGGCGAAUGCUAACAGCAUAUUCUGUCGGGUUGGUAGCAAUGAGGAGAAGUAUAAAGCCGACUGCCUGCGGGUCCCGUUCUGCCACCGCAAUGGUGACCUUUUCACUUUGCUCUCUGUCUACAAAAAAUGGGAGGAAAUAAAUGAGAGUAGAAAUAAAUGGUGUUGGGAGAAUAGCAUUAAUGCCAAGUCCAUGAGGAGAUGCCAUGAGACUGUAACGGAACUUGAGAAUUGUCUUCAACAUGAACUCAAUGUUAUCGUUCCGAGUUAUUGGUUAUGGGAUCUGGUUGAACCCACUUUGCAUGAUAAAUCAUUGAGGAGGAUUAUACUUGCGUCUCUUUCAGAGAAUAUUGCUAUGUAUUCUGGAUAUGAUAGACUUGGUUAUCAAGUGGCUUUGACCGGUCAAAAUGUGCAACUGCAUCCAUCGAGUUCACUACUCAUAUACGGCGAGAAGCCAAAUUGGGUUGUUUUUGCAGAUAUCUUAUCUAUACCUAAUGAAUACUUGGUUUGUGUUACUGCAGUCAAUUUUGACGAUUUGUGUACGAUUCAACCUCCUAUGUUUGACGUUCAACUGAUGGUGAGCCGUAAGCUGCAGAUGAAGGUGAUUGGUGGGGUUGGCAACUGCUUGCUUAGAAGAUUGUGUGGUAAAUCGAAUCAGAACCUACAUAGAAUCAUUUCACAUAUCCAAAAUGCUUUCACGGAUGACCGUAUUAGUAUUGACAUAGACUUUGUCAGCAGUGAGAUUCAGAUAUUUGCUACAGAAAACGAUGUGGAAAAGGUCUCUUUCAUUCUAACUGAAGCUUUGGAAUGUGAAGCUAAAUGGUUAAGGGACGAGUGUCACGAAAAAUGCUUAUUUCCGGGGAGACCUGGUACUUCCCCUGCUGUCGCUCUGUUCGGAUCUGGUGCUGAAAUUAAGCACCUGGAGCUUGAAAAGCAUUUUCUAACAGUGGAGAUUAGCCAUCAAAAUGCACGUGAGUUAGAUGAUAAGGAGCUUCUUUCAAUGGUCGACCAAUGUGUGUCUGGUGUUGCUAACUAUCAUAAGUUUGCUGGGAUUGGGGCUGAGGGAAUAGACACCAGUAAAUGGGGCAAAAUCACAUUUCUUAGCCCCCAAUUUGCAGCAAAUGCUGUUGACUUACUGAAUGCGGUUGAAUUUCAUGGUUCCGCCUUGAAAGUGCUUCCGGUAAGUGCUUUUGAUCAUAAAGCACUACCAUUUCCAGCAGUGCGAGCCAAAGUUAGUUGGCUGCGUAGACCCAGCAAGGGACUUGCUCUCAUUACGUGUGCCCAUGGGGAGGCAGGAUUCAUAUCUAGGGACUGCCGAGACUUGAGAAUUGGCCAGAGAAUUAUCAAUUGUGAAGUCAGCACGAAGUAUGAGAAUUGUGUAUUUGUGACGGGACUUCCACAAGAAAUCGCCGAAACAGAAUUGUAUAACAUUUUCCGUGCUGCAACAAAGAGGAGAAUUCUCAACAUACAUGUGUUGAGGGGGGUCGCGGUCGAUAAACCCAUAAUCGCUAGCUGCAGAGUAGCCCUCAUGAAAGAAAUUUCUGCUUUCAUGCCUAACAAGAAUUUCCCUGACCAAAAUUUCCGGGUUGAAGUGUUGGAUCCUGGAGUGAAGGACUCAAUGAUGAAAGCUAUUAUUACGUUUGAUGGUAGUCUACAUUUGGAGGCUGCAAAGGCUUUGGAUCACAUUGAAGGGAAAGUGCUUCCUGGUUGUCAGCCGUGGCAAAUCAUCCACUGCCAACAUGUAUUCCAUAGCUCUCUUUCUUGUCCUUCUCGUGUCUAUUUUGUCAUCAGAGAGCAACUGGAGUCUUUGCUUGAGGACUUCCGAUGCCAAAAUGGUAUGUAUCCGUUUUUCCUAACUGACUCGUUAUUUGUUGUGAUCAUGCCUAACAUUGGUUUUUCAUUGUUAGUUUCUAUAUCUUUGAUUAAUUUUUCUGGUGUAGGCUAUUGUCAUUCGGAAUCUUUUUCUACAAUUUGCAUAUUACAGAUCUGUUUGUCUUUGUUUUCAGAAAAGAUGGUCAUGUGCGAUAUAUUGGUUUGUUAACAUUGGGGAAAUUGGCUGCAGAUCCCUGCUGUUUACACAAACAUCAAUGCGCCUCAUCUUAUUUUAAGACAUUUCAGAUGAUAAUCUUUUUGCGUUAAGUUUAGAUCAUAACCAUUUUAUCCACAUUAUAUCUGCAGGUGUUUCAUAUAAUCUGGAAAGGAACGAAAAUGGCUCCUUUCGGGUAAAACUUUCCGCGAAUGCCACAAAAACCAUUGCGGAUUUGAGGAAACCUCUUGAGCAGCUUAUGAAAGGCAAGACCAUAGCCCAUCCCAACCUUACUCCAACUAUUCUGCAGUUACUCUUAUCCCGAGAUGGUAUUAUCCUUCUGAAAGCCGUGGAACGAGAGACUGGAACUUACAUUUUCUAUGAUCGUCAGAACCUCAAUGUCAAAAUUUUUGGUCCUCAGACAAAAUUGGCUGUUGCUGAGGAGAAAUUGGUCCAUUCGCUUCUAUCCCUCCACGAGACGAAGCAACUUGAAAUCCGCCUCCGCGGCCGCACCCUCCCGCCGGACUUAAUGAAAGAGGUGGUUAAAAGGUUUGGGUCGGAUCUUAACGGGUUGAAGGAGAAGGUGCCCGAAGUGGAACUCACUCUCAAUACCCGGCGGCAUAUCUUAUACGUUCGAGGGGACAAGGACCUUAAGCAAAAUGUGCAAGAGUUAAUUGCGGAAGUGGCCCUCUCUAUUGAUCGAAGUGGCAUAGUCGAAUCCCCACCGGAAAACUCAUGCCCAAUUUGCUUGUGUGAGCUCGAAGAGCCCUACAAGCUUGAAGCGUGCGGGCACAUCUUCUGCAGGGCCUGUUUAGUAGAGCAAUGCGAAUCGGCCAUCAGAACACGAGACGGUUUCCCGCUAUGCUGCACUAAGGAAGGUUGCAAGAAGCUCAUCUUUUUUGUUGACCUGAGAUCGCUUUUAUCUACCGACAAGUUAGACGAGCUCUUCAGGGCAUCUCUAGGUGCAUUCGUCGCAUCAAGCGGGGGGACCUAUCGAUUCUGCCCCUCUCCCGAUUGCCCCUUGGUGUACCGUGUCACCCCCCGGGAUGGGGGGCCGGAAGCUUGGGGGCCACCGUUUGUGUGUGAGGCAUGCAGGGUGGAGACGUGCACGAAGUGCCACCUGGAGUACCAUCCUUUUAUGUCGUGUGAGAAGUACAAGGAGUACAAGGAGGACCCAGACGCGUCACUUCUCGAGUGGCGAAAGGGGAAGGAGAAUGUGAAGGAUUGUCCGGCGUGCAAGUAUACGAUCGAGAAGAGGGACGGAUGCAACCACAUUGAAUGCCGGUGCGGGCGGCACAUCUGCUGGGUGUGCCUGGAGUUCUUUCAAACCAGUGACGACUGCUACUCCCAUCUCAGGUCUGUGCACCAAUCCUACUGAGUUUACUAUUAAUCGACAUUUUCGUUGUAAAUAUGUAGUUAUGAUGUUGAUCGUAUAUACAUAUGUGCAUAGUAUAGUAGCCAAUGUUACCAAUUGACUCUUGGGUUCUCUGCUGCGUUCUCUUUGUGCAUAUCAAGAACUCAGGCUUGAGAAGUAUAACUCUGUGUUGGAAAUGAUCUUUGCUUUUAUUUCUUUCAUUUUGUUGUUUUUGGCAACAUAGUAACAUAGGAAUUUGAAUUCAUUUAAAGGGCCAAAGUACCCGAAAGCAAAACAAAAAUGAGGGACCCAAUUAAAAAUUCAAAAUGUGAGGACUAAAUAGAAACUGCACUUAGUCGGGGGCUCUAGUGAAAUUUAUCCCAAAAAACAAACCCCACCACUCCAACACCCAAACACAGGGCAAAAGCCAGAUACCAUUCUACAUGAGGCAUUCCAUCGUUCUCUCUCCCUUCUUCCUCCAUUAUCCUCCGCAUUCUUUUCUCCCGAAGCAUCGUGACCUCGGCCUCGAGCAGCUUCACCCACCGCCGGUGCGCAGACAACCUCAGGAACUCCUUAAACAGCACCGCGGCCGCCGCUUUGUUCUCUUCACCCACAUGCGAUGCUUUCUCCUCUGCUUCCCGUGCUCGUGUCUGCGACAGCCGCAGGGCUCUCAGCAGCAUUGUUGAUUCGUCGCUACCUCCUUUCUUCGCCUCAAUUCUCCUGCGAAAGAAAUGCGAAAUGUAUCGUUUGAUAGAAACCAACUUUAGUAGUUCAUAUAAAGAAUGGAACUUACAAUGGUGUGUACACCCUGGAGGGAGGAGGGAGGUCGCUCAUGGAGAACGAAUUAAGCCAAGAAGGCGUUUUCUUUUUCUUUCUUUAGGGGAGAAGCUGAUAUUUUAUAGUGCGUUUACGUAGAUUACUUGACUACUUUUUGAGAUACACUACCACCACACGUCAACACAGUUGCAUGCAGUCACAAACAAAUUCCUUGGUUUCUUUUUAAACCUGUUUAAGAUUUUGCUUGAGCCCACGGGUUUUAUAAGUUGCUUUGCUAGAGGGCCCAUAGUUCCGGUCCUCGUUUGUUAGGUUAGUGAAAGUGAUCAGAAUCCUACGUACAGUUUUGCUAGAUAUGUGGGACUAGUGUUAAUAGUAAGUUUUGAAAUGGUGUCAAGAACCACCACCACCACAGAAGCAUCUGCCCAGCGCUUCUCCGGUGCCUAUUUUCACCACCAUUUUCAAAGAAUUCGUAAACCGUCGAAGCGAAUACUUCAACAAUGCAUUUUGAAACUGCGUAUACGCGCCUAUAUGGUGAUGCUUUCUCUGUUUUGUUAUGUUAAUGUAUAUUUAUAGUUUUAUGUCAAUUCCAUUGUAACAUCGGGUUCAAAUCUGAUCCCUUCAUUUGCAUAUAUUGACAUUAAUACUACCAUCCCCAUUUUCUCAUUGUCUUCUCAACAGUACUUUUUUUUUUUUUUAAUUUGGAUUUUUUUUUUAUUUUCUUUGAAUAUACUUACAGUACAUGCAAUGUUUUCCAACCGUAGACGAAGUACUUAUCAACUAUACAAUUGUCAAAUUAAUCUACAAACUGUGAAAAACUCCCAUCGGUGCUCGAUGCGGAAUCCCCUUCCUUCGCUUUGCCACUCUCUGUGUGAUGGUGGUCGAUGCCGGCGGUGGAGACGAAAUAAAAUCCAGACCAGAAUCAUCAGAAUUCGAGCAUUGCGAGUGCUUUGACGAGUCGUCCUCGUAGUUUGAUCGAAUGAAAUCAUGCUUCUUGUACAAACUAGCCGAAUUUGAUGUAGAUAUUGCCAACUGCUUCGCCAGAAGUUAUGAAUUUAUAUGAAUAUACACAUGCUUGGUUUACACAAAGAGGCCGGUAUAUAUAUAUCACUAAUAAAUUCACAAAAUUCAUUCCAUUUAAUGAUGCAAUGUGGUCAUUACAAACUCAUUUCAUAUAAUAUUUAACAACAAAAAAAAGAAUCUGAAGCCUCUAUUCAUUGGACAUUCAGUUGUCUCAAAAGUGCUUCAGGGACCACCUACUACACCCUAUUAAGCCCCAAAUUAGUUGGUCCACGUAUGCUUUUUUUCUUUUUGCUGGGACUAUCUCAUGCUUGUUGUUCCAAACCAUAGAAAAGGAUGCGCUUGAACUUCCAAUGGUAAGGAACAACUUUGUUUCGAGGAAGAGAUGUCAAGUAGGUCGGUAUUCUGCCUACACGGCGUAAGUUGGAGUAGGUCGAAUUACAAUCGAGAUUCACGGAUGUCGUUGCAUCAAUAUGUUUUUAAGUAAAUUAAUUGUUCCUUUUCUUUCAACUUGACCUUUUUAAAUAGUGAUUAGCGCCAAUGACCUUGAAGAUGUACAUUGACAAAAUGGCCUAGCUCUGACAAAAGCUUAGAUUUCCUACCAAAGCACUCUUUGAAGUAAUGAAGCAACAUGUGCUAAGAGUGGUAAAUUUACCUUGCAACCCAGAGAACAGUAGGUGAAUGCAUCAAGGAGGCUCCUCUUGCAGUGAUCACAAGUGUUGGUCACACCCUUCCCGAGCUUCGGCUGCGGCCUUUCGUUCAAGAACACGACCCUCGCGCCGUUUAUUAUGUACGUUUGCACGCCCGAUAGGUCUAAGAAUUUGCUUAUCUCGGACACGCGAAUCACGUCGUGGUACGACGACCGCCUUAUCUGAUCAUCUCCGACGAGCCAACAUUAUAUGUCAAGGGAUUGUAAUGUACACAAACCCUACUGAAUUGUGGAUGGAAGUGUAGAAGGUACCUGGAUUGCGCGAUGCUCGCGGUGGUGGACGAUGCACGAAGAGCACAUCGCGCCGUUCCUGCAGUCCAAGCAAUACAUAUUGCAUUCAUUCUUGCUUGCAUCUUGGUGAAGUUUACAAGGGUGAAAGAAAGGUGUGUUGAGGAGAGGAUGGAGCCAUGAUGGCCACUUCUUCACCUCCCCUCUUCCUCCCAUGCCCUACAAAGUUUCAAACAUUACAGACCAAGAAGAACUAAAAGCGAGCACAAGUGAUUAGGAAUAUAAUGAGGAAAAUGCUUAACCAUGGUUAUAGGAUGAUAUAUUGUAGUUGAAAGAAUUAUUGUUGGGAAUAUGAGAUGGAGGAAUUGUUUGAGUUGGUUGUUUUACAUAGAAAAUAUUAUAAAAUACAAUAAAAACCCCCACUUUGUGUUGCUUUUUCUAUAUGUGCAUGGAUUUGUUGUAAUGAAUAUUUUAUUGAAUAAUUAUUGGUGAAUACUAAUUAGGUUUAUGUCCCAAUUAGAUUUGGUGCACUUGUAAUCCCGUACUAGGAAGAUGCAUAAUGGCUCACAUUGUGUGCCUAGCCAAUUUUGUUGGGUCUGAAGGAACGUUUAACUGCAGGGUGUAGCAUAACUUUGGCAAUGCUUUUUUUUUUUUUUUUUUGUUUCCUUUUACCUAAUGCCUUGACUAUGAAACAGUACUACCAAAGCUAUUGUGAUAGGGAAAUGCAUGUACAAAUUAUUUUUUAAUGUAGAAAAAUAAGAAGAUACCCUACUUUUCCUGAGACUAAAGCCUACCUUAGGUUCGUAUUUGUUACAUUUCUUUUGUAUCGUUAAUCUCAUCAUAUUUAAGUUUUUGGAUAAACUUCAAAUUUACCCAUGUGUUAUAGAUCAUUUUCACUUUGUAAUCCAGUGGUUUAAAAAAUUUCAGUUUACUCCCAUAUGGUUAAGCGUAUUUUUUUCUUUUUCACCCCAUAAUUCUUUUAAUUUUUUUUUAUUUUGCCAUCCUAUUUGAUAUAUAGCUUUUCGGUGAAAUAUAUAAAAAUUAAACCACAGAAUGAUAAAGCAAAAUUUUUUGAUUCAUAGACGGGCGAAGUAAAAUGAGCUAAAACUACCCUGGGGGCAGAUUGAAGUUUAUUCUAAUUUUUUUAUCACAUUCGAUAGGUACUAUUACGAAUAUCUCAAAAUACUAUUCUUAUAUAACACUAAUAUGUUGAUAAAUAUUAUAUAAAUAUAUUUAGUUAAUUCAUACAUACAAUCUAAAAUGCUUUAGAAUUUGUAAGUAUACAGUUUAUUGUCACAGUGAGACAUUCAUGACCGACCCAAAACAUUUCCUUACAUCUGAAUCAAGUUAUUAAUUGUUUUUGUUUUUGUUUUUUUGUUUUGUUUUGUUUUUGUUUUUUUCUUUUUUUUUUGGGCCUCAACCUAUUGCCAUCAGCAGCAGUCUUGUCACCCUUUGGCAACUUCUUUUUCGGUUAUCAAUCCUCAUCUCCUUUUCCACAACCUUCCUCUCAGCCAUUAUUUUAACAAAAAAAAAAACAAAACAAAACAAAACAAAACAAAACAAAAAAAACAAAAAGGCCAACUGCAUGAUUAAUUACAAGAACCUGUCAAAAGAGGGAACUAAAAGGUCAAAACAUGUACAUUCCUUAAUCCUUAAUGUCUUGAUCAGGCAAAGUUGCAGAGUUUCACCCAAAAAAAAAAAAAAAAAAAAAAAAAAACAAAAAAAAAAACUAGAACCUGAAAUUUUCUCUAGAGAUAUCAUUUAAAGGGUCCAAAUUCGUAGGCAUUUAAAAGUUGUUAAAGUUGUUUGGCCUGCUGUAUUAAUUAAUCUUCUUAUUAAGAAGAUUAUUUUAUAUCAUGACCUCUAUGAUGCUGCUUAAUUUUGGGCUUAGGGUUACAUCAAAGAAAACUAAUGGUGCAACAGACAAGCAUGAAUAGGAACAGCUGGGCUGCCCAUUUAAUGUUCAUAAUAAUAAUAAUAAUAAUAAAGAACUAAUAUCCAACAGUUAAAUCUCAUAAUAGAAGAUGAUCAAAAUUUUAGUCCCAUAUUCAAUACUGCAAAAGAUUUCUAUUCGACUAUCAACAUAAACUUUUAAAUGGAUCCGCGUCUUAUAACAUGCAUGAUAUUUGUAUUAGAUUUGCAAAUUUUAGUCUCAUAUUCAAUACUACAAAAGAUUUAUAUUCGACUAUCAACUUAAACUUUUAAAUGGAUUUGCGAUUCUGCGUCUUAUAACAUGCACCAUAUCUGCAUUAGAUUUGGAACUUUCUUAUUGCCGCUACAGUAUGCCUAGUUUUCAUUCUGCUUUAAUAAUAUAUUAUCCGAUUCGUUUAAUUUCUUUCAGAAAUAAAUAUAGCUGAAAAUGUGAAGCAGCUAAGUUUUAAAUUUGGGAUCUCGAGUGUCAACCACCAAAUUUUUUGCCACUCGCGCUAAAAACGGUCGGUACGUUGAUUGUCACGUUCUGUAAAGUCAGCAUGUUUAAAUCAUGCAUAUGUACCUUUUUCUUCCUUUUAUAAAAAAAGGGAAAGUAGGCACUGAAAUUGCUGAAUAGUAUAGUUUGGCCCUUGAUUGUGAUUGCUUUUGGUAAUGGUGGUUGAGCGCUCUCCCAACCAUCCCACCUAAUGAACUCAACAGCUUCAAAAACAAAUUCCAUGGUCAAGCUCUCUUUUAGUUUACAAAGUGACCUAAUCCCCAAUACUUCAUUAAUUUCCUUAAUUGUCCUUUUCAGAUGUUUAGUGUUGGCUCAUAAUUCUAAAGGUGGAACCUCACAGUAUCAUUUAAAUUAUGCAUGGUAUCCCACCUGUUACCAUAAUAUAUUGAUUCGUAUACAAUGCGGUGUACGGAUUAAUAAAUGCGUUUUGUUGAAAGGAAAAUAAUGUAGGAGCUCAAAAGUAGGCUAUAUUUUAUCCUACGAGCUUAUUUUAAACAAAUGAAACAAGUAUGAUUUAACCACUGGUUUAACUCAGUGAUUGUUACCUGAAUUACUGUUCUGAAUUAAGUUUGGGAGCUUGUUCUCUAACUACGCUUUCACCAAAAAGGGGUCUUGUGUUUUUAGGAUGCUAUAUAUAUAUAUAUUCUAAAGAGGGCUUGGGAUGAGAGCCUAAAGGGUAAACUUAAAUUAAAAAAGAAAUAAGAGUUGAGCUGGAAUGCUAUCGGUAGCAAACGGGUUCUGUUCCCACCAAUUUGUUUUCGAUAAUGGAGCCUCCAAAUCGACGAUCGGCACCGUUGAACAUGAUCUAUACCAUUUCAAGUGUUUAGAAAUCAAAUUUCAAAUCUUUUUGACAUCAUUUGCCUAAUGAUCAAAGGGUUUCAAAUUUUGUAAUUUUAAAGGUCGAUAUGAAGCGUUUUCUUGUUUAAUGGUGUAAAGGUAUCCAAAUCAAUUGAAUUUUUGUUAGAAAAUUCUUUAAACUAUUUAAAACAAGAUCUAUAUUGUUGAUCUUGAUUACAAGACUCUUAUCAUCAUUUUUUAAAGAAUAUUCAUUUUCAGCCAUUUAUUUUUCUGUUCACUUGAUGGAUAAAAGAACAAUAUCGAAAGUGCGUGAAAUUUGAUUUCUAGGUAGUUUAAAUGGUUUAGAUCAUAUUUAACGGAGCCGAUCGUCAAUNUUGUUGAUCUUGAUUACAAGACUCUUAUCAUCAUUUUUUAAAGAAUAUUCAUUUUUAGCCGUUCAUUUUUGCGUCCACUCGAUGAAUAAGAGAAAAAUAUAAAAAAUGUAUGAAAUUUGAUUUCUAAACACUUCAAGUAGUAUAGAUCAUAUUCAAUGGUGCCGAUCAUCGGUUUAGAGGCUCCAUCAUCGAAAACAAAUGGGUGACAACGGAGCUCGUUUGCUAUCGAUAGUAUUCUAGCUCAACUCAAGAAAUAAAAAAAAAACUUUUUCCUUUUAAUGAGUUGAGUAUAUUGAGAAGGUGGGCCCGAAUGGUAAAACAAUAUCACUGUGGACAAAGGCCUGUUCCUACAUGUUGGGCCCAAUUUUUCUUAUUGAGGCCCAUUAAUUAUUAUUUGUGAAAGAAGCCCAAUCUCUGUUUAAUGAAACUUCAAUAUGUAAACCAAUCACAAUUUUAAGAAGAGUAUCCUCACAAUGUCUAAUUAAUCUAAGUACAUAUAUACAAUAGUAAUAAUAAAUAAAAAGCGUGGAGCUGUUCUUAGUUUCGUGCUCAAUGUCAUCUUCUUUCGCCUCAAUUUGUUUCCAACUUUUCAUUGGAAACUUUGCCAUGAUGCGUAAUGGGAUCUAACAGUGUCUUAACCUCCUCCUCUAGCUCAUCAACCUGCAUUAAUUAAGCUCCUUCCUGAUUAACUUUAGCAAUAAAUAUAUAUAUACCACAAGUAUAUAUCUUAUAUAUAACUUCUCUAAAAGAAAAGAGAUGAAGUUACAUGAUGUCCAUCCAAUUUGGGGUUAAUUAUGUGCAUGUAUGUAUGCCAUCUUUUUCGCAUGAGAGUACGUGAAAUUGUCACCUUAAUUCAUGGUGCCUAAAUGUGAUUUUUUCCAUUAAUUAAUUCAAAGAAGACCCACUUUAUUUCUUUCGAUAAAUUUUACUUCCAGAGCAUAAUAAAAACCAUUAAUAUGUGCACUGUAGUUUUUGACUAACAUAUAUCUCAUUAAAAAAAAAAAAAAACUUUGCUUUCAUUCAUCAACUACUUAUAUAUGUUGUUGCUUGUACUAACACUUCAAGUAAUUAUAUAUCCUAGCGUAAAAGGAUAAGGUGUUCAAUACUUGAAGAAAUAGAAUUCCAUGUUUCUAGCAUACAAGCUCCAUAUUGUGCCAAGGAAUGUUCCCCAGUAUCAUUAAGAAAAAAAGUAUAGAGAGUUUGACUUAAUUUUCAUAACUUUUGAUGAUUUACAUAUCAUUUUUUUUAUUACAUCUUCUUAACUAAUAAUUUUUUUGCCCAUUCUAUGAAGCAAUUAGGGCCAUAAGAUGUUAUUUGUCCCGUCUUUCGACUAAGGCUCAAGCAUAUUCUAUGUAACAUUCCAUAAAUACAUAAGAAAGCAUGUAUUCAAUUCAUAGCUCUACUAUAUAAUAUUACUAUUCUUUUUUUAAAAAAAUUCUUUUGUAGACCAAAUUAAUCUUUGUUAUUUAAGCUUGACUUGACCUUCUUUUAAAUUUAAAAUCAAUUAAGAGCAGAAAUAUUAGGUUCGACGAGAUCGAAUAUGACCUUAUGAAUGAUGUCCUGGGCUAGAUGAGCCUCCUCUGCAACUUCUUUUGAUGCAUGCUCAACAAAAACAACUGCAUCUUUGAGCUUUCCAUCCUCCGGUAAACGCUCCGCCACCUCCGACGACACCUUCUCGGUCAUAUUCGCGACUUUUUCCACGACGACUGCUGCAUUUUCUACCACAUUCUCGACCAUCUCAACCUCAUCUAGAUCAAACUCAAACCAUAUUCACAAAUCAAUAGGAAGCUGCAUCAAUGUUUACUUAAUUUUUCUCUAGAGAUAUCAUUUAAAGGGUCCAAAUUAGUAGGCAUUUAAAAGUUGUUAAAGUUGUUUGGCCUGCUGUAUUAAUUAAUCUUCUUAUUAAGAAGAUUAUUUUAUAUCAUGACCUCUUAUCUAAACAUAGUGUGUAAUAAGAGUUUUUGACACUUACUUUCAAUUUGUAGCAAUUUCUUGUUCCCAAAAGGUAGUAAUAUUGUCGUAAUAAGCCCAAUGGCCCAUUUUGCCCUGAGAAUAAAUGUACUUUAAUGGUAAGAUCGAUUGAAAAAUUAAAAGGGAUUAAGGGUAAUUAACUGAUUAUUUAUAUAACCAUGCAUGGAUUCGUAUGGAAAAAUAAUUACCAAGUGGAAAAAGGAGAUUUUUGUGGUGUAGAAGGCAGUGUUGGUUUAUUAUCGAUUCGAUCGACGCUCACUUCCCUACAAAAGUGAAAAUUUAAUUCAAUUACAAUGUGUAAAAGCCACAAAAAUUAAUAAUGUUACUAUAGUUAAAAAAAAAAAUGGUAGGAAGUAGUAAUGAGAUGUACUUCUUAUUCAUGAGAUCACGAGGAUGAUUAUUCCCCCACAAAUACCUCCUCUGAUCAAACGUAGCCAAGCUUCUACUGUGAGAGGGUGUUAGAUCAUUAGAAAGAGCCCUGCGAUGGCUGGGAAGGCGAAGAUUACGACGGUAAUACGAAGCUAAACACCUAAUUAGAGACAUAUCUUGGUUUGUGUAUAUGAUCUUUGGGAUUAAUUUGAACGGUUCUUUAGCUUCUAUAUCAUGAGGUUCUUAUAUACAUGCGCGCGUGUGGAUGUGUAGUUGAUGUCCUUAUUCGAUAUAUGGAUGUAUGUAUUGCGUGUGAGAAACCUUAAAGUUUGCCUAAUUAAUUAGAGCUCCUAAUCACGUUAGCUCAUAAGAGAUUGGCGUGGUGGCAAAGUGGGAAAAUUCGUUAAGUUAUAGUUAUUGGAGCAUUACAAGGAACGAGACUCACCGACCGUUCCUAGUAUAAGUGGCAAAGAAUUUGAUGAUUGGUAUCUGAGAUCUCAAGUUCGAAUUUUAAUUGAUUCAUAUUUUCAGCUAAGUUUAUUUUUAAAUAAAAUAAACGAGAAACAAGACUCCGUGAAUUCGAAGUGCAUGUUGAAUAUAUAUAAAUUAAUUAUCCACAAAAUAUUAUUCUCUCUUAGCCUAUAAUUUAGGAGAAAAUUUUUGUUUCACAUAGGACAUGUUUAUUUUAUCAAAACUAGGCUUUAGAUUGAAAUGGACUUUGGGUUGAAGUGGAGUUGAGUUAAAACUACUUUUUUCCCGUCUUUUGUUUCAUAGUUAUAGAAAUAAAGUUUCAUUAGCUCUGUUGUUUAUUGUGUAGGAAGUGUGUGAUGUAAGACUAUAAUUUAUGUAUAAAUAAUAAAUAAUUUAAUAAAUAAAAAUAAUAUAAUUAUAUUUUUUAUAUAAUUAAAAUUUAAUUUAAAACAAUUAAAUUAUAGUAAGACAACAAUAAAAUUAUAAAGUAAAAAAAUAUUAAUACUUAAUUAAUUAAUUUUUAUCAUAUUUUAAUUAUACAAACUAAAUAAAUAAAAUAUUAAAACUUAACUAAUCAAUUGUUAUCAUAUUUUAAAUAUGUCAACUGAAUAAAAAAGUAAUUAAGAUCAUAAUUAGAUAUAUUUAAAUAUAACUAUUUUUACCUAGUAUAUUAUUUUAUUAUUUCUUCUUCAUCUCUUUUUAUCGUAAUUAAUUUCGGCCCACAUCGCGUCAAUUACGCUGUUUCAGAGUAACUCGAGUUUCGACCGUAACUUUUUAAUGACGAACAAACAAUAUAAAUGAUCAUUUAUGAUGAAAACGAUUUUUUUUCUCUACUUUCGCCCCACUUCCACCCAAAUAAAUAUGCCUGUAGUGUUAGAAUUGAUCAUGGGUUCAAAUCCUGUUAUGCAGUUAAAAAUGAUUCGGCAAUCUAUUUGUUAUAGCUAAUUAAAUAUUUAAAUUUUUGACAUAAAAAGGAGUUUUUGUUUUUGGAGAGAAAGGUAUCAGACUAUCUAUUUUAUUCAUUGAGGAAAAAAAAUAAAUUUGGCUCUAAAAGUGAGACAACAAGAUCUCAAGAUCUCAAGAGAAAGAGAAAGAAGCACAUGAACAAAAGAGAGGAAGUAUAAAUUUAUAAGAUACUGUUCUUUAACAACUUAGUUUUUUAUGUGUAAUUAUAUUAAAAGGACUUUGUAAAAAACCUUAAUUAAUUGGAGUCCGAACACGCGCAUAAGGGCCACAAAGUUAAUGGAGUUGUGACUUUGCGUGCUUUAUGAUGAGUUUGUUUGAAUUAAGAAUGCGAAGGAAAUAUAUAUAAUUUGUAAAAACGUACAAAGGUUAUUUGAAUUAUGAAUUAUUUUGAAUUUGACUAUCUAAUUCUUUUAAAUUUUAAUUUUAUCAUCUAAUUUUUUAAUUUGUUUGGUUAGUCAAUAAUAUUUUGAGUUUUAAUUUGGAUACAUCAUUUAUUUUUACAUAUUUAGUUAUCAUAUUUUAUGCAAUUUCUAUAACUACAAAUUCAUUCAAAUAAUUAAUUUAAAUUUUAAAAUCAAAAUGCCGUUCACUAACUCAAAUGUUUUAAAAGAUUGAAUAACUUAUUCAAAAUGAUUCAUAAUUCAAAUAAAUGUUUUAUAUUUUUACCAACUAUAGUAUGGCCCUUGCAGAGAGAGAAUGUGCUAAUCGUAAAUUUGAAAGCCACGUUAUUGAAAACAACUUGGUAAAGCGAUUAAGUUUUCGGUCAUUGGAUAAAGCAGUGUGCAGUUAUUGAGUAGGUAGUUGGUUGAAUAGUAUGAUCUAACGUGUGGAAAUGAUAAAAAAGAUAGAUCUAAUGGUGGAAAAACUUGGUAGCACCAAGUGCUUCAUGUUAUCGAUAGUAUUGUAGUCGGACUCUAUGGGUGUGUUUGGUUCGAAGUUAGAAUCGGAAUCAGAAUAGUUAUCAAAAUGAGUUAGAAUCGGAAUCGGAAUGGCUCAUUAUCUAAUUAUGUUUGGUUCAUCACCUGAAUUGGAAUUGAAAUAAAUCAUUCCUAUUGUCGGUAUUUGGUUCAGAUAGAUAUAAAAAACGCAAUCAAAUUAAUAUACUAACUUUAUCCUCAUAACAUAUUAAUUUAAAUGUAAACUGAAAAUUAAAUAUUAAAAAUUUACAUCAAAAUUUUGAAACAAUGUCAAAAUUUUAAAUCUAUUUUUGUAAAAAAAUUAAACUUUGAAGUUGAGUGGAUAAUCAAAAUAUAAACUAAAUUUCGAUUUAUUCAAAUUCAAACUUAAAAUUACAAUUUAAAUUUUAAUUUGAAUACAUAAAUUUAAUUUAAGUUUUAAAUAAAAUUUGAAUAAAACGUUAUAUAAAUUAAAAUUUUAUUUAAAUUCAAAUUCAUAAGUUAGAUUCGAAAUAUUUGAUUAAAUUUUAAUUUUUAAUUAAAGUUCAAAUUAAGAUUUAAAAUUAUAUAUUCAAUUUCUAAAUUUAAACUCAUAUUUUAAUUAACAAAAUUAAAAAAAAAAUUUAAUCUGAAUAAAUAUCUAUUCCGUCCGGAUUCAACUUCUAAUCCGGCCUCAUAGGCCGGAUUGGAAAAAGAAGUUAUUGAGGGAUUCCCAUUUCCCUUGAGAAUCGAAAUUGAAAUGGGAUUUUCUCGUACCAAACAUUCACAAAUGAAUUCGUCCAUUCUAAUUCCGAUUUUAGGGUGAAAAAAAAACGAACCAAACACGCCCAUAUAUAUAUUAUUAAGUUCAUUGAUAAUUAAAUUAAAUAAAAAAAUAGUGAAAAAAAAAUAUUACACUAUUUAAGCUGGGUAGCAUUAUUUGAAACAAUUCUUAUCAAUUUAUUUUGAGUAAUCAUUAAUCAUUGUUCUCAGCAAAACAAUUAAGGCACGCGGGUUUAGGCUCUCUUUUCGUGUAAUGAAAAAACCCACAAAAUAAAAUGGAAUUUUAUUUUUCUUUUUUUGCUUGAUAGAAAAUCUAUUUCAAUUAAAUUCAAAUCUAAUUAGAACAUUAGAUAUGUAGGUUUAAUUAGUUAAGAAAACGACAUUAGUAGGUUUAAUUAAACAAAUAAUCACAACAUCAAUUAAGUGGCCUUCUGUUCAUGGCUCUGCCUCCUAAUUAAGAACUUUCCUUCAAUGAUAGGCUCCACCAUUGCAUCCACCUCAUCAACAAAAUCAUCAACCUAUUCAUUUCACGAAUAAACAAAAUACUCAAUACAAAAUUCAUUUAGUGAAUAUGAAAACAUUGAAAUAACGUUCUUCAGCGGUUUAGGCUUCAAGAAAAAAAAAAAAAUUAAUAUCAAAAUUGGAGGUUCCGAAUACAAAACCUAAUAGUUAGAAAAACACUUAUACCACUACCAUCAACUGUUUGGAUAUAUAUACGUUAAAAAGUAAAGUCAAAUAUUUUGAAAUGUUAGAAUACAUAUGUAAUAUAUAACACUUCACAUUUAAAAUGCUUGUUGAAACAAAACAACUCACAAUAUUUGACUUUUCUUAUACGCAAAUAUUGACUUUGCCAAAUUGAAUAUACGUGACUGUCAAAUAUGAGUGAGGCUACUAUGCUAUCGAAAGUACGGAGCCUUUUGUGCUUUCAGCUUGUUUUCGAUUUUGCAACUUUCGAAUCGUCGAUCGGCUCCGUUAAACUUGAUCUAGAGUAUUUGGAGUACCUAGAAAAUGAAUUUUAUUAUUUUUCAAUAUCAUUUGCCUAGUGAUCGAAUGGGCUCAAAAUCAACAAAUUUCAAUGACCAUAGUGAGCCGUUUGCAAGUUUAACGGUGUAGAAAUAUUCAAAUCACGUGAAAUUUUGAUAGAAAAUUCUUUAUACUAUAUAAAACAAAAGCAAUAUCUUUGAUUUAAAAUUUUAAUGUCAUAUUAUUAUAUUUUGUAAGAUUUUUAUUUUCAGCCGUUGAUUUUGAGCCCCUUCGUUCACUAGGCAAAUGAUAUCGUAAAAUCAUAAAAUUUAUUUUCUAGGUACUUCAAAUACUCUAAAUCAAGUUUAACGGAGCCGAUCGACGAUUCGAAAGCCGCAACAUCGAAAACGAGCUGGAAGCACGGAAGGCUCCGUACUUCCGAUAGCAUAGUAGCCCCACUCGUCAAAUAUUGUUUCAAAGUCAAAUUUUCCUGAACUCCAUUUGUUGAAAGGUAAGUACAAAAACCUAAGCAGUGCCUGAUAAUAAAAUUCUAAAAAUGUGCUAAAAAAUAACUUAAAACUAUAAUGUGUGCGGAAAUUAAGGAUUAGUGAAGACUGGAAGAGGACCUUGUUGAUUACGGAGUCGACUAAUUCCGCAUCCUUGAUAACUUCCUCUGCAAUAUGCUCUACCUUCAAAACAGUUUCUUUUAGUUCGCUGUUUUCUGGGAGGGUUUCUGCUACUUCUGACGAUAUCUUCUCUAUCGUCUCUGCUGCUUGCUCCACCAUCUCCACCACCGCCACCGCGGUCUUGUCAACUUGAUCUGGAGCAUAAAUCAUCUUUUUAGGGAAAGAGAUUGAUUUUUUAAAUAAAAUAACUGAUUAUUUUAAAAGUUCAAGAUACUAAUUAAAUAAGGUAUUUUACUAUCUUUAAAAAGGAACAAAAAAUAUAUUAAUACCAAGUACAAGAAUUACUAGGAAUUUAUACUUCAUCAAUAUCAUGUAAUUUGGAUACCUUCGAUUGUUAAGAAUCUCUUGUAGGAUGGCAAAGCCACGAAUAUGAUCAUGCCCAAGAUCCACUGCACCCUGCACCAAACAUGUGCUUAAUUAAAGAGUUUAACUUUUUAAUUAAAUUACCUUUAAAUUUUACGAAUGUGCUUAAUUGGUUUUUUUUUUUUUUUUUUAAUGACAAAUAUGCUACGCGGUGGAGUUAAAUUAGGAAGUAGCUAGAGAAGAGAUGAUUAAGUAAAUUUACUACGCAACAACAUGUAAAAUAUGCAUACCAUGUAGCGAAAUUGAAUAGAGAAAAUUUUGGGAGCCCUGGACUGCUGGUGUGAUUGACAUUUGUCACCCUACAUUUUUAAUUAAUAAAGGAUCAGUCACAAAUACCUAAACAAAAAAAGAAAAAGAAAAAAAAAACAACAAGAAAAAUAGGCAUGCAUAUAUAUAUAUAUAUAAUGAGGAGAUUGCGUACUUUGGAUUGUCUUGAGCUGGCUCAGCGCGGUUGGAACGAGGCGGUUGCAUUGCUCGAACUAAACGCACCCUCCGAUUCAUGCGGAUCCGUGGAGAAAUCAUGUUGGUGAGGAGGGGGUAAUUAGGGAUCAUAAUUUUAUUAGCGAGCCGAGGAGGAGAGAUGAAAAGUGCUGAGGAGAGACACAGCUUAGAAGGAUUGGGAGGAGCAAAAGAAUGAGCCAUGGCUUCUCCAAGUAGAGCUUAAUUUGUUUCAGUUUCUACGGUGUUUGUGGCUCUCUUUUUUUUUUUUUUUUUGUUUGUUUGUUCGAUUAAACAGCUUCUACGGUGUUUGUGGCUCUUGUGCUGUAGCAUUAUAUACAUAGGUCAGGUGGUGAGAGAGAGAGAGAGUACACUUUUUUCUUCAGGAUGCAUCAACCAAAUUGGUCACUGCAUCUUUUAGUCAAUUGUUGGUUAAAUGGUUGAAAUAUUAAAAUUUAAAUUUAAAAUUUGAGAUCUAUGAUGCAACUUUUAAGUCUCUGGAAAACUGGCGCGAGAUGUAGGAAUAAGAUGGUGCAAUUACAAAAUUAAUUAAAUUUAAAAGCUUAAGUUUUAUACGCAUUUUAAUUUAAAUUUGAAACUAUCAGGUUCAGAAUAUAAAUUUAAAUUAAAUAAAAGAAAUUAAAAUAAACAUAGAAGUUUGGUGAGAGUCGGGUUAAGACUUCUAACCGCGUUCCACCCUAAGAACGUCAAACUCGUGCUUCACGUGUUCAUUCCUAUCUAUGCGGACAUAAUUUCAGGGUGAAAGUACGGACCGGAGUUGUGGGGUUUGAUCAAGUGGGAGUACUUAUAACUAAAUUGUCAAUAUUUCUUUUGUAGAAGGGAAUGGAAUUUUUCGCAACUUAUAAUUUUAGUUUAGCUAUUUGAUCUUUAAAUAUUUUAAUUUUACUAUUUAAUCUUUCGAUAUAUUUGAUUUGAACCAAUCAAUAAUACUUUGAUUUUAAAAUUUAAAUGCGUCGUUUAUUUUUACUGGUUUAGAUAGCAUAUUACAUACAAUUCUUAUAACUAUAAAUUUUCAUCUGCUUAUUUUUAUUGUUAGAAAACUCCGUUGUCAUUUUGAGUUUCGCAUGUAGUGUUUGUGCGGUCUGUGUGCGGUUUGCGUCAGAAUAUUGAUAAUUUUGAAAUCCAGCUUUUUUUUGUUGUUUUCUUAGUUUGGCAUGAAACUUUGGGCACAAGUCAAGAAGUUACAUUAAACACUAUUACGGGCCUGGUGGCUCAAACUAGCAUCGCGUUGAUUUUCAUUUCUGUGCUUUUUUUUUUUUUUUUUGGCACAAAAUGAUUCUCUUAUUUAUUUGUCGUGUCAAUGUUAUAAUCGUACUAAUAUCUGAUUAAGCCGAGCCAACACCAAUACGAGGGCCAGCACUAAAGCUGCACGAUGUUUUUGUCACAUUCGUUCACCGUACCCUCCUACUCAGAAAACGGUGCAACCCACCUUCAACUAUGAGAAAUUAUUACCGUAUGGGCUUUACCCCAAUUUUACGGGUAACCCCAAAGCCCAUGGGCUCUGAUGUACCGCAGCAAACGGACUAUGUUGAUGGGUGAAGGCCCAAAAAUAGCUAGGCUUUUAGAUUCAAAAAGGAAUCUGUUUGGAAGCAUAUAGAAAUAAACUUCUCCGUUAACAUCCCACAUGUAAUUUGCACGACACUUCGCUUUGAUACUUGUGAAAACAGAUGAAAUAUUUUAUAUUGUUUGUGUUCUCUUUUUUUGGUAUACAACACAUUUUGUUGGCAAUCUCCAACGUAACAUUUGUAGCGUUAACAUGUAUAGAACUAAUUAAAAUAUGUGUGUCGGUGGAGUUCACCAUCUUCUGCUUUUUUUUUUUCUUUUUAUUUUUUCUUUCACAAAGAUUUUUUUUCUUUAGCCAGGGGCCCAGGAGCCUACAAUCCUUCUAAGGUUGAUUUUAUUUUAUUGUCAUCUUUAUUUUUUUGUUGAAUCUGGGCUAAAGGUAUUCACCACCAGCCAUUUGUUGAAGAAUAAUGACUUUUAGCUUCCAAAUUUUGCUAAAAAAUUGUCAAUUAUAUAUAUAUAUAUAUAUAGAGUUGGACUGGGCUACUAUUAGUAGCAAAAUUCCAUUAUUGCUAUCAGUUUAUUAGUCUUUGGAUCAACUCUUUUUACUAUUUCUAACCAUUGGAUUAAAUACUAUAACCCAAUGGGGACCCCUCAACCCUAGGGGACCACUCAACUCUAACUGACUAAUAUCAUCCUGACCCUACAAUUUUUUAUCCAAGGGUUAAAAACUUGAUAGCAAAAAGAACGUUUUACUAUUAAUAAUAUUCCAGCCUAAUUAUAUUUUAUAUAUAUAUAUAGAGAGAGAGAGAGAGAGAGAGAGAGAGUUGGACUGGGCUACUAUUAGUAGCAAAAUCUCAUUGUUGCUACCAGCUUUUUAGCCUUUGGAUCAAUUCUUUUCAUUAUUUCUAACCAUUGGAUUAAAUACUAUAACCCAGUGGGGACCACUCAACCCUAGGGGACCACUCAACUCUAAUUGACUAAUAUCAUCCUGACCCUACAAUUUUUCAUCCAAGGGUUAAAAACUUGAUAGCAAAAAGAGCGUUUUACUAUUAAUAGUAUUCCAGCCUAAUUCUAUAUAUAUAUAUAUAUAUAUUGUACUGACAAUGACUUUUUUUAAAAAAAAUANAUUUACUAAUUUCGCCUAUUAGGCGAUGAAUUUUUUUUUUUUUCUUUUUUUUUUUUUCUUUUUCUUGAGAUACUACCCGUAAUCUAAGAAGUUAGAGGAAUAACCAUUAAAUAAAAAAAAUUUUUUUCAGUAACAGUCAUGUUAUAUAUAUAUAUAUAUAUAUCUUAAUCCGACCUUAUGAUAAUUAUCAUUUUGCGAGAAAAACGAUAGUUCAAAAAUUGGGAACCUACUUUUUAAGUAAAUAAAUUUAGUUAUACGGAAUGAGCCAGCAAGGCCUCAUAAAAUGACAAAAACCAUCGGAAGAAAAAGAAGGUUAAAAGAAAGCAAAUCCAAAAGAAAAGAAGAAGAAAAGGAAACAAAAAAAAUUCAUAAGCGUCACCCAGCUUUACAAUACUCAGUCUACUCCGUUAUCAGCGUGUCAAUACGUUAAGCAAUUCAAAUAGCGUAGGUAGAUAGAUUUUUAAAAAUAUUAUUUCUUUCACACUAGGUCAUCCACUACGUUGCUGCCAUUAGGAUCUUUGAGCGUCCAUCUGAAUACCCUUUCGUUGCAACCCCUCCCAAAUGAUUUUGACAUCUUUAGUAAAGGAAAGAACGUAAAAUUCUUUGAGGUUCAAAAUAAAUAAAAAUUUACUAACAACAUAUCCCACCAACAGAUAAUUCAAUGUCUCAAAAACAACGCCACACAUUACAUACUAAAGGCUCCUCAACCAUUUCCUUUUUAGAAGGUUAUUUACAGUAGGCAAUUUAGCGCGAACCAAAUAAAAAUUUAAACUUCAGUUGAAAUUUUGAAUCUCCAACUGAUCUGCAUCAGGGCAUUAUAGAGUUCUUUUUGACUUAGUAAAAUGGAGGAGAAAAAUAAGCAACAUCUUUCCACUUUUUUAAGAACAAAACCUUUAUUAUUCUAUAGCAUGUAGACAAAAAAAGUGGUAGUUAAAAGUGUACAUCCUCCACUUAUGCAUGGAUACUGAUUCUACUUUUGUCAACAAUCAAACACCAACGCGAGAAAAUAUUAGAUAGAACCAGUCUGCCAUGUCAUUUGUGGAAUAAACCAAUCAAACCUUGCAGCCCUCACUCCUGUCUAUAUAUAUAUGUACUUUUCUACAGAAUAUAUAUAUAUANAUUUAUUAUAAAACGUACUGUAUUAAUACUAUAUUACAAAAAAUAUUAAAUCAAACAAUUUUCUAACCUAUAGGAUCAAAACAAACUUUUUAAGUUAUUUUUACAUAUAAUAUAUCUAUUUGAGAGUGCUUUAUUCUUUUUCUUUUUUUUUUCUUUUUGUAAAGAUCAUAUUGUUUUCAAAAAAUAUUACUUGUAUUACUUGAUACUUAUAUAUACAAUAUAACUUAAAAAGUUUGUUUUGAUCCUAUAGGUUAGAAAAUUGUUUGAUUUAAUAUUUUUUGUAAUAUAGUAUUAAUACAGUACGUUUUAUAAUAAAUUUUUUUUGGUAAUUCUUUUUCUUUUGGCAGAAGUUCUAAACUAAAAUUUCUAACUUUUCAUUACUACACAAGUUUCAAAACUUUUUAUAAUUUAAUUUAUUCAAAAAUAAUAAUUUUAAGUAAAAAUAACAUUAGAAGUUUAGCCGCAUAAAGCAAUAAAUGAACAACACAUUACUUGUUGCCCCUGGAGAGAGAGAGAGAGAGAGAGAGAGAGAGAGAGAGAGAGAGAGAGAGAGUACCGUAGGUUCAUAAAGGAGUGUUACAAGAAAUAAUUCUUCUAUCCAUAGCUUCAUGCACUCUUAUAUACGUAUAUAUAUUGGUGUAUUUUGAUUGGGUGGUCUACGAGUGACCUGGUAGACCGCAUAUAUCAACACCGUGCUACAGUGCCCAACAGGUAGAGUGUCACACCGUUAUACUGAAACACCACCUAGCCCACCAGAAGCUUUCUAGACGGAAACCGUUCCUGGACCGAGAUCCACCGGAUCAUCCGUAGACCGCCUCAUAAUCCAUAUUUCUCAUCAAUCCUCGCCACUCAAUUAGCGGUUCACGGACGACGUGGUGAACCUAGUCCAUAGAAUAGUUUCUCGCGUCCCUUUAAACGCACUUCACCGAGCUCUUUAGCCUUUAUGCGACGUUCUCCUAACAGAGGAGGGGAGAAAGGGAGAGAGAGGGAGAGAGAGAGAGAGAAACCGUUCUCGUUCUCUUGGAAGCUUCGAUAACCCCAUCCAUGGCGCCGUAUCCUCGGCUGCUCUAUCCAUGGCCGAGCAAUGCCACGGAGUGCUCAUCCGACUGCUCGCCCUCGUGCGCUUUCUAUGGUCUCUGCUCCUCUCCUCCCCACUCCUCUCACCCUCCCCCUCCUCUUCCUCCUCCUCCUUCUCCUCCUCCUCCUCCUCCUCAUCCUCACCACCCCGCCACCUCCAACACCACCACCCACCGCCACCAUCGCCUCCUCUCCCUCUCCCUCUCCCUCUCCGUCUCCGCCGCCUCCUUCUCCGCCCUCUUCCUCCUCCUCCUCGCCUGCUGCGUCGCCUCCCGCCUCCUCCGCGGGCGACGCCGCCGAUCCGCCGCCGCCGCCGCCGGAGAAGGAGACGGCGAUUUCUACGAGGCGGACCACCACGUGUGGUACAUACGCACCGUGGGGCUCGACGAGCCCACGAUCGAGGCCAUCGCCGCGUGGACCUACAAGGCCGGGGACGCCGGGCCCCUCGGCCGCGCCGCCCGGGAGUGCGCCGUGUGCCUCGGCGAGUUCCGGGACGGGGAGCUCCUCCGCCUCCUCCCCAAGUGCGCCCACGCGUUCCACCUCCCCUGCAUCGACACCUGGCUCCGCGCACACGUCAAUUGCCCCCUAUGCCGCGCCCCGAUCGUCGCCCCGCCCACCGCCAUUGAUGCGGCGCCUCCUCCCCCUCCUUCGUCUUCGUCGCCCUUGCCCUCUUCGUUGUCUCCUCUGAUUGAGCUGACCAAUCGGGAGGAGCCCGAUUUGGGCUCUUCUGCCCUAAUAGAGAUUGCCCAAAUCGAUGUAGGCCAAAUAGGGAAUGGGGAGGUCGAAAACAACGGAGUAAUCGCACCAGUGUCCUUCUCUUCUUCUUCUUCUUCUUCUUCUUCCCUGGGUAGUUCUCAAGUGAGGCUCCAACUGCUUCACCGAUCGAGGUCUAUGGACUGGUCGUCACAUACUUCUCUCAUUGUCCCGGUGGAGUUGGAGGAGAAAAGUGUAGAGGAGAGUAAACAACAUAAGCUCGAAGAGGAGUAUGGUUCUAAGAGCAGGGGAAAACAAGGAAGUGCUUCAAAGGGAGUUUCCCGGCUGCAGAAGAGUCCUCUAGAUGUGGAAUGUAUUAAGAUGGAAAGGUCUCUGUCAAGUAGUAGCAGUUCAAGGCUGCUUUUGUCGCGGCACGGACGGGCACGGAGCUCAGUUCUACCAUUGUGAAGAACUAUGAGGAGAAAUAGGGUGCUUUCAUGGUGAGAGUUUUGCUUCCAAGUUUCGGACUGUUUAGCUCUACAUAUACCGCUGGUACAAAUACAUAUAUAGCUAGAAAGAUAAGAAAGGUAAUAUCCCUACAUGCUUCGUAUAUUUGACAGAUUGAAGUUAUAGAUUAUAGAUAGUAAGAGAUGCUUUGGUUUGGUAUAGCAGCUUGAUAAAUGAAUGGUCUAGUUAAUCCGGCUUUAGUUAUAAGUGCCGGAAUUGUAAAUAGUGAUGUUGAAGGAGGUUUUCAGUAUUGAUGCCCCUCCCCUACAUCCCUUUUGGAGUGAUACACAUUAAUUAAGAGCAUUUGUUGACUGCAUUGCUUAAUUGUCUUGCAAUAAUUUUGUGGGGGAAUUUACUUAGGUAACAUGAUUAAGCUAAUUUUUUAGUCCAUUUGAUUAAUGGUGCUAUUCCUCUCCUGUAGUUUUUGGCAAAAUACCAAUUAGCUUUAGGUAAGUCACUUAUAUUAUGCUCUCUUGGCUUGUCAUAUGAAUGUAUGCAUAUAUAAGGACAACUUAAAUAAUAGGAUUGUUAACGUCAUACUAGCUUUGUAUCCAAUAUAUAGCUUUUAAAGCUUUUAACAUCAAAUGCUAUAUAGUAGCUAAAAUAUACUUCUCUAAACCAUAUAUAUGGUAGUAUGCUUGGAAAAAUAGUAGUAACUUAAGUUAACAUACAAAUACUGGUUGUGAUAAUAGAGGCAUAAAGAGGAAAAGUUACUUGUAAGUUUAAAUGCCCUAUACUAGCCUCUACAGAAAUUUAUUAGCAAGUUAGCUUUACCAGAGCUCAUUAGGGAGCUAGCUUUCAUAUCGUCUAACUUAUCAUUACAUAGCUCAGUUCUACUACUAUGCCCUUAAACAACAUUUAGGCUUCGUUUGGGAUUGCGGGGAGUUUGCGUUACGUGCGGUGAGAAACGACGAUAGAAAAAUACACCGUUUGUUUCCGUACGUAAUAUUGCGUUCCGCGUAUUGCGGUUAGUCGGUUACGAUAUAUUUUUUGCAGUCCCAUCGGAGAACGCAGAAGCAUAUCCCUAUAUGCUUUUUCUCAGCUCCAUUCUAUCUAAUAGCGUUAGAUCCGCCUCAAUACCAAACUAAGCCUUAGAAGCAUCUAUGCCGUUGAAAAUGUGAUAAUGUCUGAUUCCACUGGCCAAAGAUCAAAAUUUGUUUUAUAUCAUUUGGAAAAAUAUCGUUUGUAUAUCUAUUGACUCUCUUUCUGGAAGUAUAAGUUUGAUAAGGAUCCAAUCCUGUGUAUCAUGCUAACCCAAUACAUGCGAUUCUUACUUUAUGGAGUGAAAUUAAAGGAAUCAUUCCUCAAAACUAAAGAUCCUUGCACUAAUCAAAUAGCAAUGUUGUCCAAUAAUAUUUACUCCAACGGUCAAUAAAGAGGAGUGUUUUAUGGCCGUUCAGCUUCUAGGAUACAUGAGAUUUUUGGAUGUGUAAAUGCAAAUUCUAGACUUUUUGGACAGGUAUACAUGCAACGUUUAAUCUUUGAAAGCAAAUAUGCUCCUUUUGACUAUAAAUAACCUAUAUCUAUAUGACAUGGGUAUAGUUCUUUUGUAUUGUAACUUUGUUUAUUCAUGAAAUCCAUUGAAAAUGGGAGCGGAGGAAACAAUUUCAGUUGAGAAAAAUAGUCUUUCAUUUCCUUUUUUUUCUUUGUUGAAUGCUGCUCUUUACACAGCAAUCACUGUGAACUGGACAACUGUGUCAGCUUCCUGAUCACUAGACCAUAGAUGUCCACACAAAGCUGUGAAAAUUUUCUUGCCUGACUAUCCGUUCGUAACUACAAGGUGCUACUCACACAGCUAUGAAAAUUUUCUUGCUUGACCUUUUGUUCUUACUUAUUUUGUGCUAGUCCAGUCUCUUAUUCUUUUCUUCUUUUUCUGCAGACUUCUCAGUUCAUUGGUGUAGGUUGUCUUGCUGAUUGCUGAUUGCUGAUUGCACACUUCUUGUGGUAAAUGAUUUAAGCAAGACAAUUUACGAGUGCCAAACUUAUUUCCUUUCUCAUAACACUCUAAUGAGGAACAUUAUUUGAAAAUCAGGUCUUGUUUGUGUACUUCAGUCCGAAAAGGAGUUAUGACUUCCUUUAUAAAAUAGAUACACAUAAUUGGUUCUUAUUCUUUCCAUUAUAUGACUAUCAACAUGGGAUUCGUCUUUCACCAUAAGAAUCAUCAAAUAGUUUUUAGCUAAAUUAGAUAGAAAGAACCAGAAAUAACUGAGAAUAAGAAAUAGCUGACAACCAUGUUUGAUAAUGCUGAUACCUAACAACUAAAUGGGAUGGAAAGAUAAGGUAUCUUCAAUUCAUUCAUCACCGAAGAGUUUCGGUGUAGUAGUUUUGACAUAAUGUUGCAUAUGACUCAUUAUUUAUGUUCUUUGUUAGAUACUGCUACAUUUGCAAUCAGCACUAAUUAUUUAUAACAUAUUUUCAUCUAGUGACAAAUUGUAUUGUUUUUACUGUCUAUCCACUUGAGGUUGUGUUCAUUUUUAUCAAUUGGAAAUGUCCCUCAAGAGUUGUCUGGACACCUAAAUAUGCAGUUUUGAAUCUUUGACUUAAGGUAGAUUUGAUUCAGAAAAGGCUUUCAUGUUUGUUUAUUCUUAACAUUUUCAGUUAUCUACUGACUUGGCUUAUUUGUAGAUCUUUCUGUUUUCACAAUUGUCCUUCUAUCUCUAAUACUAUUAUCCUGCCAAUGUCUCUAUAUCAUGUACUCGGGGCAUUGAAAUGUAUUCAGAAUGUGCUAAUUUGUGCACUGUUCAUGACAUAGUUAUGCAACCAAGUGAUAUCAAUAGGACAAUUUUUAUACACUAUGUUAUGUGCAUAAGACAAUUUGUACACUACAUUAAGGAUAUCUCUAAUGCUUAUAUGAUGAUUUCAAUUAUCUGCUUCAUGUAUUGAGGGCAUUGAUAUAAUGAGAAUGCGAUAAUUUGUCUACUGUUCAUGAGAAAGUAAUGUGACAAUUUAUACACUAUAUUUUGUGAAUAUGACAAUUUGUACACUAUAUUAUGUGGAAUUAUUGCCUGGACCUGGUCUACAGUCCAUGUUAGGCAGAAUUUUGGUUAUUGAGAGAGCAUGUAGAAACAAGAGAGCACUUAAUUAAUGGCUAUGUUUUACAGUUUUACUUGUCUGAUUUGUUAGGGAUAUUCUCAAGCAGUGUCCUAUCAGAUCAAUUUCAGAUCAAGUUGGUGGGUACCUUGAUCCACGGAUGUCCUGGUAGAUCAGUUUAUGCAUCAGCUCUGCCAUGUGCAUCAUAGGUGAGGCAUGAAUGGAAUUUAACAGUGGAAAAUAACGUGAAAUUUUAACCCAAAUAUCUUUAUGUUAGGGAUUUUAACCGGUGACCUCAUGUGAUGAGAGGCGGGUUUACGGUCGGCUUUAAUACCAUAUUACCCAAGAUCACUAAGCAGAUUGGAAAUAACUAGGAAUAUUCUUAAUAUUACUGGCCCAAUCACCCAUAAGCGAAGGAAAUCUAUGCACUGACAAGCACUUGUCAUCUUUUAGCUUUAGCCUGAUGGGAGUCCAGACAAUCAAGUCUCAAAUUGCAGUGGAUCUUCUGUUGCUCAUUUUGGUCUAUAGCAUUAUUAUGAUGCCUACAUCCAACAGAAUAAUUGCACCAAAGCAAUCAGCUAUAGCAUUUUGGGACCUGAAACCCUGCCCUUUGUUGAAUAGACAUGGUCAGAGUAACAGUGGACUAGUGUUAUUUAAUUUAUCCUCUGCUUCCUUUCUUUCCAUCUGUUCAUGCAAAAUAGUAUGUUCAAGCACUGUUUUUAACUUUAAUGUAUCACAUGAUAGGAAUCAGAGUACUGCUACAUGACCCCAACAAUAUGUUAUUACACAUGAUGUGAAGAUUUUUGUUGUCAUGCACGCAAUCUAAAAAUAUCAUAUAUUUUUGUCAUUGACAACUUUCUAAAAAACCUAAGGCAUUUUCGUAGAAAUUUUCUUUUCUUCUCUUUUCCAUCCGUCUAUUAUUACGAGUCCCUGUAUUGAAAGACCCGCAAACACAAAUUGUCCAUUGAGUGAAUGGUCAUUCAAUAUUCUCCAACAUCUGCUCCUAUUUUCCUUGUUUCACUGUUGCUUUUCCUUGUGAAUGGUCAUAAAUAACUGCAACCACUCAGAAUUAUGCAUAUUCAACUGAAAGAUUCUCUUGUAACUUAUUCUGCCCACUUCUUGUUCUUUUUCUCUUUCUAGUCUUUUGCUUUUCCUACUAGAACAAAACCUCUCUUUGAAUUGAGAGAAGCUUCUGCUUCACCAACUAGAUGCUUCUUUGGGUUCCAAUGCAUUACCUACUUAGAAAAUAAUACAUCUCACCUGUGCCAUGUUGUUACCUAUUAGACUAAGCUCUUUAAAUAUUUUCUUAGCCUUAUGGUGGUAGUUGGCAAUUGACCAUUACCAUUUUAGUUUAUCUGGGAAAAGAUAUUAUUUAAUAAUAAUUUCAAACAAUAGAAAAUUUAACUCUUUUUUUUCCUGCUUGGUCUUAAGCAAAUUAAGAGAGAAUGAACAGUGAAGUGUUACAAGAAAUUACAAUGUUUAUAACAGUGUGCACAUUAUGUUCAGUUGUCAAAACCAUUUUCUCCUACUGAGAUCAAUCAUCUCAUAUGUGGAAUAUACUAUUCUAAAUUCACGGCGUUGAGACCUUACAGGGCACUGGAAGCAGUUUCCUACAUUUCAAUUCCAGAAGAAUAUAUAAUCCACACAAGUUAUCACUCAGUAACUUGUUUCUGACAUCGAAACAGGUCUUUGAUCAAUGGAUUCUAGAAAUAGAAACCCAUUUCUUAUCUUAGAGAGCCUGUUUUAUUUUUGCUGAAAUGGAUCUCCAGAGAUUCUGAUGCCAAACCUUUCAGGGCCAUCAUGAUCAGCUAUAAAUCGUGCACACACUUAAUCUCACACACGAGACCUCCACAAUGCUUGUAACUCGAAAUCACUCUAAAUGCUGGGAAUUUAUUUACUAAACUUAGCGUCCUCUUCAAUCCUCCCUAUCAUCUGAUACACAGUUGUUGCAAUCUCAUCCACAGAAGUAAAAUGGCAAUCAUCCGCUACCUGCCAAAUAAAAGACAAAGAGAUGCAUUAGCUUUGCAAUUUCACAAUACCAAAACGUUGGUAAGGGGGGAAAAAAUGUCACCUCCAUUGUAUUAUACCUUAAGGCUAAAUGAGUAGAGAACCAUGUCAUCCACAGUGGUCACAUUCAGAUGCAGCGGUAUGAACCGGAGAUUUUGCAACCCUGCCACCAUCUUCAGAAGCUGUUUUGGCUGCCGCUUCGACAGAACCUUGAGAUUGACAUGGCUCUCGACCACCGUCACCUCAAUGUCAGCUACUGCUGAUUGGUUGUCAGUAACCGUUCCGCUGUUGCUGCCGCCGCCGCCGCCUCUGCCAGAGAAGCUCGAGUACUGGGGAAAGGCAAAGAAGUUGGCGAAGGGAGAAGCGAGACUGGUCGAAUCAGUCUGCACUUGCUUUAGCCUCUUUUGGACUUCGAGGGACUGGAGAAGUUGCUCGAGCUCCUUCACGUAAUUUAUCGCGCCACCGACAAUUGAUGCUUGAUCACCCUAUACUCCAAGGACAGAAAGAUAAGCUCUGAUGGACUUGGAUGCUUUAGUAUUUACAUCAUUCGAAAAAUGUUUAUGACACAACUAAAACGACGAGAUGAAUAUAUGUACCCUCUGGACAUAGGAGGGGGGCAUAAGUGACCGGAGAAUGGCCAGGUACUCGUUCAUUUGCCGACGGCGGUUGCGCUCGACAGCAAUGUGGGUCAUCCUCUGGCUCUCCACCUCCUCCAUAUUCUUAACACUCCUCGUCCGCCGCCUCUUCCUCCGUCCAUCCACAGCCUUCAUAGCCUCCUCCCCCUCCGCCUCCACCGCCACGCCCCAAACUUCAGCCGACGAGGAGUUAAUCUCCCACUCAUCUAGAUUUUGCACAAGAGAAGAAGAUGAAGGGUUCCAGUUCUCACCAACCCAACCACCCAUCUCACAUUCUGACAUUUCCAUCUCCUCCACCACCACCAUAUUGGCUAAGUCAUUGCCCCAUAUUCCUCCCAUAUUGGUGUAUAAUUCCUUACAAUUGUAACCAAAUAUGUCUUGUGGGAACACCACGGCUUCUAAUGCCAUCUCUCUCUCUCUCUCUCUCUCUCUCUCUCUCUCUCUCUCUCUCUCUCUCUCAAUCUUUGAAGCUAAAUAGUGGCACAAGAAGAAGCAUACCCAACUUAUAGCUUUUCUCCCAAUGGGGAAGAGGGUGGGCUUUUUAAAGGCAACAAAAGGGAGCAGAGAGAAACAAGCAGAGGCCACGUGAGAGCAAGGGAGGGGGGAAGACACUCUGUGUGAUUUUUUUUGUGUUGGGGGAAGUAAAAUUGCAAGGCUACAGCAAAUAUAAACAGGGUAUGUAUUGGGCAGUGGUGUCUCUUAGACCCUUUUGUUUGAUUUGCAAAUAAUGGGACAGGCAUCUGCGAAGAUAUCGCGUGCACCAAGUGCUCCUGCGAAUUCAUGUACCGCACUGCUGUCAUCUAUCUAUCUUUCAAUCUAUCUGGCGUUUUGAUCCAUGCCGUAUAGUAAGUUGCAGUUUUUUCUCUAAUUACAAAUUGACUGACUGGAUUAAACAGAAGUAUGUGUUGAAAGAUUAGAUGACUUUCAAAAGCUAAAUGCAAAAUUAUAAGAUAUUAGAUGUGAUCUUUAAUCUCUAAGAAGUACGCAUUCAAAAGAUUGUAGUUUGUGAAAGCCUAGCUAUUUGUAAGGAAUCAAGUAGCUCCAAAGUCAAUAGUGCUGAAAAAAAGACUAUUGCUCAUCAGAUGACAAAAAUAUUUCACAAAAUUAUGAGUUAUAAGGCUAAGUUAAUGGGAGGGUGAGACCCCACCAUGCCUUGUUUAAGUGCAAGUUGUGUGAUUUUUCCAAAUGAUCAUUUGGAUUGUUGGUUUGGUUUUCUCCCUUAUGGGCUUGAAUUUUCUAAUCUUAGUAAAUUUGUUGAGAAUAUUAUCUUCGUUCUACUCUUAUUAAGUCUCCUACUCAAAGAGGGGAGCUUGUGAAUUUGCUACAUAGAAUCAUAUAGUACUUCAUAGGUUGUACAAUCUAAUAAUUUGGUUGCUGAAAUAAUUGAGAGCCUUCUCUAUCACUACUACAGGAAAAAGGAAAGGAUACAAUACUCACUAGGUUCUACCUAAUAAUUUUUAUGAUAGUGCAACUACAAUCUACAUGCAUGCUGAGUACCAAGUUGAACUGUUGACAAAAGUGAUAUUAUUGUUGAUACACUUAUCUAGUUUCCAAAACUAAUUUCUUUUCCAAAGCCAUACCUAACAUGGUGUAAUGCACCCUAUUGAUGCCACAAUCAAACACAGUGAGAAGGAAAUGUUUACUUAAAACCUUGUAAAAUAACACAUUCUUUUUUCUUUUUUGUGGAAAAAAUAAGCACUGUGACAAGAUGCGUGCUUAUGGAGAACGAUCAAGAUGGUGAUGGCAUUACAAAACCACCAUUUUGUGAUGACGGAUUAAACUUCUUAAAUCAGCGGCUAAGCACCGGUUUUUUCUUUAAACACACCCCGGCAUUCGACAAAAUCCAAUAUUUGGCAGGAGCUGACGUUUUGGAAUUUCCUAAUUAUUUUUUAAUAUUACUGGGAAUUCAUGAUGGCCACGAGAUGUGGCCUUUCUCUUCAAGGCAACACACAAAAGCACAUCUAAACACUGCUCUUAAUAUAAAAUUAAAGGCGAAAACCAACUGGCCCCGUCUCUUAAUCUUUCUCCCUAAUCCUCGUUUACUCGAUUCGAUUGAAAGAUUUGAGCCGCGACUAACAAAUUAAGAACAGUGCAAGUUGCUUCCUCCCUUGUCCUCUGUUAACUACAAUAAGGCUAUUAUUGAAAAGUAGCAGAAUCAAACUUGUUAUCCUAAUUAAUGUCAACUUAACACCACUGGAAGAUACAAUUAGUAACUUAAAAUAAGUUGAUCAAGACAAAAACCUAAUCAAUCUACUGUGUUACUUAACAUGUUGGACUGCACCCUGUCGUCCUUAGCCUGGUCCAAUUAGCACAAUUGAGUUAUUAUAAGCUGAUUAUGUUGCGGUGAAACAUCGUCUAUAGAUUCGGAAUAUCGCCGAUAGAUUUGGUGGGAUCAGUUGAUUACAGAGUCGGAUUGAGUUGAUCCGGUGACCUGAAUCCGGCGAGUCCACAUGUGGGGGAUGAUUCACCCAAUUAAUUUGGUGUGAACAAGGGCCCCAUAAUGUGGUCCAGGGUGUACCAAAACGGUAAGGAAAGAAUGACUUGGUUCUGAUUUCAGUUCAAAGAAAUUAUUAUGUGGACCGUGGUCUAUAGACCGCAGGCUCUCCAAAACUCAAGUAUACAGGCACUAAAAUUUGGAUGUAAAUGCAUGUAAGAUUAAAUGUUGAACAUCGUAGUUCUUAUUGCCUAAUGUAAGGCUUUAUCUUUGAGUUUUGGAGACUCCGGUGUAUUGAGCGCGGUCCAUGCAUUUGUGUUUUUUUUUUUUUUUUUUUUUUUUUUUGGCACUCAUUUUGUUGUUCGAAUGUUUCUGGAAAAGGCUUUGUUUAUUGUAUGGGCCGUGGAGAAUCAGAAGGGUAUCAAAUGUGGGGCUUUUGGAUAGCCGCGCACGAAAUGGUUUGGUUCAGUGCAUGGUUUACUCCAGGUGUGAAAACAUUGAAGUAACAGCAUUUGCAAACUUGUUUGUAUUAGGCUACUAAUUGUUUUCUUUUUUUUUUUUAUAGCAUUCUAUUGAUUGUAUGAAUCACUUCUCUCAAUAAGAUUUCCUCCAAUGCACCAGCUCAAGCGCGGGGUUGUUUCACAUGUCCUGAUGUUAGAGUAAGAGAUCAUGAGAAGCCGAUGUUUUAAAACUGUUGGAUCAUUUGCGCUAAUUAUUAAUUCUAAAAGUUUGAACUGUUAGAAAGAUGUGAUCAAUUUACUAAAGCAUACAGACACCACGCACAUGGGUUUCAAUUGUGAUUCAGUCCAACUAGUCUCAUGCCACUUUGAAUGUUAUUCGUCUCAAUCCGAUCACUCGUUAUUUCGAAAGUGACUCGACCCAACUUAACUUCUCGUCAUAGAAAAAAAUAUUAGUUCCUUUAAUCCCCAAAACUAUCAAAACAAAUCAAAGAGUGUUAGAUAUAAAAACAUUAAUACCGACGUUCUCUACAACUUAAUAACUUUUAUGAGCAACAAACAAUUAUUUCGCAUCACGAGCGGCGAAAGUCCGACCAGGUUUUUAACUCAGACAGAACUCAACUUAGACCUUAUAUGUGGAUUCCUUUUGUAUAACAAGUUGGCUGUAGGCUUCCUAAUUUGAAGAAACGUCUCAAACUAACUAUACGGCGCAGAAUACUUCUGCGCUUAUUCGCAAUGGGCUUAUGUCCUUUGCCAUCUAAGCUAAGACAGCUAGGUGAGACGGAUUAUCAUGUUGUGUCGUUAUUUUUGUAAGGUAAACCAUGAUUCGUCAUUAUCGCGGUCAGAAAAAAAAAACAAAUCCCAAUUUUUUUUUGAAAAAAAAAAAGGCAAACUAUUCGUUCUGUUUAUUUUAAAAAAAUAAAUUCAGCUAAAAAUAUAAACUUUAAAUAUAAAAUUUCGAAUAUCAACUAUCAAAUAUCAAAUUUUUAACUAAUUAAGCUAAAUAUAUAGUUCGUACUGCGUCUCCUCGAUCUGCUUAUUGGGUAGGUACAAAUACACAUGCAUGUAGCUUGUUGUCGCUUCCUCCCCUGCAACAGUACUGCUACAGAUUCAAGUGCAGAAACUCAGCUUUUUUUUUUCUCCAAUAAACCAAACCUGAAUUUCAAACGUUUCCCUGGGUUGUGCCAGCUGGCGCAGAAUCUAGUAUUUCUCGUAGAUCGAAGCAUUCUUUGCUGACGUGGCAGCCUACGAGUCGAUGUGUGUACGGUAAGAUAGAGGAAAAAUUCUAGAAUGUAACGGACAUAUUGGUGACAUGACGUAACAAAUCAAUCAAAUAUCUUCAUUUAGAAGUAUAUGUUCCAUCAUAAUUGUAAAAAAAUAUUUUUAUUGUACUUUUGUUUGAAAAGAAGGAAUGUGAUUGACUUGCUAAUUGAUGACGUGGUGCAAGUGCGAUACUGUAGAAUACCUCGAGGUAGAGACCCAAUAGAUGCCCGAGAAAUUAUUCCAUGGACCGCGGCCUGUAGACCCGGAUCGAUCUCCUUUAACUCAAUUAAAAACGCCCGAACACAAAUUUUUUAAAAAUUAUUACAUUUGAUCUACAAAAAUAAUAAGUGAUUAUGAUUACAAAAACCAACGGUGCUAAAAUAUCUACUACUCGUUAUAAAAUAAAAUUAAAAGUAUGAUGAGAUUCGAACUUAAUAUUUCAAAAUAGUUUACUUACUAUUUAUGUGGUAUUGCACUCUUAAAAUUGUAGAACUAAUUUUGGUAAUUAUGGUAGAUGCAUGUAACGCUGCGAUUAAAAGUAAUCUAAGCAAUAAUAUGAAUACUUUUCCGAGAACAAUAUGUAACACAGGCCCAUUCUUCUCCUGUUCCACCUAACCAAAAUCUUUCUCAACAAUAAGCAAACAGGUAGGUUCCGACAUUCAUGCUACUGUAAUGGUGCCCGUUUUGUCACAUGCAUCAAACCUAUGUGCCAGGCUCCUCCUAGGGCUAGGGUUUCGAAGAUAUAUAUGCCAUCAACUGUGACAAAAAAACAGUCAUUUUUCCGCAUAAAAACACUACUACUGGCAUGAGAAUCUACCUAUGUUAUUUUUAAGAGUACUGAUGCCAGUAAUUAAAUUUGGAAGGUGUUUUUAAAAAGGUUGCUUGUAUACUGAAAAUAUUGUAUCUGAUCAAUACAUCUUUUAAAACUAUGAAGGAACAGUUGAUCGGUGUUGUAUAUAGAUACCGAGUAACGGUAGAUUCCUGCGUGUUUCAAAUUUGUUAAUAAUAGUAGUUCAAUGUUGUAUAAAAACAAAAAUCUCAGUCCAUAUAUAUAUAAAUUUCACUCUUUAUCAUGAGUUUUAACUUUUUGGAUUGAUUUUCAAAAUAUGAAGGGUCUCCACCACUUUUGAUUUUUCUAAUUUUGUUUGAGUUGACAAAAUCAUCAAGAGCUCAAAUGCAAAUAAUCUAGAAUAUCAAGGACUAUAUAUUAAAUUUUCUCUUCUCGAGACCCUAGUUGUCUCAUCUCUGUAGCCUAAUUCAUUUAUUCAAUGAAUGAAGCAUGCUAUCUAUUCUCAAAAAAAAAAAAAAAAAAACAUGUUUUUUGGGGCACGAGCCCUUAUAACCAGGCCAAAUAACCUUGUCGGCAGGAGAAUCUAAUGAAUAGUUUAUUUAGGUCCGUACACAUGCAAUUCUUUUUUAUUUUAUUUUUUAGGAAAAUACACAUGCAAAUUAAGUAGAAGGGAAUUUAAUAUGUCUCCGAGGGAUCAAUAUUUUGGUGUGAUUAGUUGUGGAAUAAUUUUGAGGUGAGUGCUUUAAAUUGAACCCAGUAAUUAAAUCAAAUAUAUAACAAACCAUGUUUCCUCACCACAUUCUAUAUAUAUAUAUAAAUAGUUGCAUAUAUGCCACAACAAGAGACAAAUUUAAUUUAUGGCUUUGUGUGGUCGUCAACAUUUGUUCGUCGUGAACUUUAGGUCGCAAUUGCAUGAUGACAUUUUCCACGACCGAGUCUGUGGAAUAAUAUUACAAAUUUUAAGCAUUUUAUUUAAAUUAGAAAUCAAAGCUUUAGAUUGGAAAAAAAAAAAAGUUUCAAAGGUUCGGCCAAGGAAGCAUUUCAAUAGUUAAAUUAAAACUCUAAAUUCAAUUAGAAAACAUGAACAUGGCCGAAUUCGGGACUGGAUUUAGCAGGACAGAUUCGAAAUGGAUUGUGGACAUAUAUAUAUCUAGCUUCAUUCAUUUAACGGAUUCGGACGAGGACUCCACCAAUGUGAAAGAGUCUCAAAUGGCCCCAGUGUCUCGUCACGUUUAUUUCCUUUUGGACUUAGUUGGGUCGAGCCAUGCAUUUGGAUUCGAACACGUCCCACGGCAUGGACACGAGCGCGACAAAGCGACCGAGUCCGAACGAGCGUUAAAUUGUCGCGGCGCGUUUGGACGUAGCGCAAAUACGACAUUUGUCCACAUAUGAGCCAUCCACGUGGCAAGUAUGUUGAUUAUUGGCUCAUUGGGCCCCAUCUCCACGGUCCAACCUGGAGAACUUUCCAUCGAUGCAUUAUUAAGGAGCCUCCGUGCAACCACCACCAAGUAUCAGUUUUAUUUUUAUUCCAGAGUUCAAAUUUUUUCUUCUAAAAUUUUAAAUUUUUUUUAAAAAAAUUUGUAUCAUAAAGCACCUAAUAAAUUUUAGAUGAAGAUAAAAUUAAUACAUGGUAGAGAAUAGGACACGCUAAAUGAGGUGUCACUGGAAAGCUCCACUACAACAGAAUUAGAUUAUAGGGACACAUGUUUGAGACACUUUUGAGUAAGUGUCUCAUUUAUGCUAAAACUUAAAAACACAUCUACUAAUGCCUAAAUAUAAAGCCCAAUCUAACCAAAAAUAAAAGAUUGCUCUACUCAAUCCACCACACCCAGUCCAUUUGGCCCGAUUACAAACAGAAAAGAAAAAAAAAAAAAAAAUUAAUUACCAUCUUUUCUUCUCUCUUCACUCAAUCCACUGAAAUUCUAGAUGAAGGGCCUUUACUGUCGUCCUCCUCCGCCACCGCAGCCAACGAGAUAGAGUUUCGGCUGUUGCUAAAUGCUUAAAUAAGUGUUGGUAAAUUAGCAGCACUCUUUUAGAUUAUAGCGACACUCUUUAACUGUCACAAUAUACCUAGCGACCCCAUAUAUAGCAACACUUUUUAAAAGUGUCGGUAAUUUUAGCUAGCAGCACUUUUUUGAUAUGUACCUACAUUUAAAAGUGUCGCUAUAGACCGUUUUUGUUGUAGUGCUCCCUGAUGAAAUUUUAUCCACGUACCUUGUCUCGCACUAAACCGCUUUUCCCCGCUAAACAACCAACUCCAACCCCUGUUUUUAGUAGCUUAUUGCCUCAGCCCAGUCAGCCCCGUUAUCAGUGCACCAGCCAAUUAAAUUACGUUAUCUAAGUUUAUUUCCAAUCACUACCAUCAACUUGGUAGCAAUUCUAUUUUUCGCGUUUAAAAUGAUUUUGUGUAGAUUUAUCAGUUAUUAACAUAUGAUGACGAACAAGGUCCAAGCAACAUUACUUUCCUCUGAAGUUACAAAUUUCUAUUUAAUGUUUUGAAAUUAGCUAGAAAAUGGUUUAAUAUUCUAGCCUAUAUGCAUGUGGUGACUUAAGAACAAUAUUUUCGAAUAGCUUGCUUGUGCAUAUAGUAACAUUAUCAAAAAGUUUGGAGGCGUUCACUGCUGACGAAUGCAUUCGAGCCAUUCAAUGCAAAAAGCUUAAAUACAUACAUCCAGUUUCUGAUAAGCAGCGGAAUUGUAUAUAUCCUGUACGAGCGCUCGGCUUGCGUACAACAAGUGCCCAAUGUUUGAUAACAGGAAUAUAUAAUUAAGAUCAUGCGAUGCAGGACGAGUUCACAUGAGGAUCAGGAUAUCUAUGUAUCAAGGACCAGACACACUGAGAGGAAGGGGACAAUCUAUUUUUAACCUAUAGACCCUUCUCUCAGGUCAAAAUAUUCCACUCACACAAAUCAUAUGCUCCCUUGAAUACAACCACUGGAUCCUGUUAAUUUACGAGCCAAUUUUGUACUAGCUAGCUAGUAAAAUUUCACACUUUUGUGCACACGUAGUGACAUCUAGUGAUAUAGAUAUACAUGUCUACACUUUCGUGCGUCCCCAUAUAUAUAUUUUUUCUUUAUAUUUCCACGAGGUUUUAUGUCUUUCAUGGCCACAGUAGAAUCGUUGCUUUGCCUCUCAAAGUUAGCUUGAAUGAUAUAUAAGCGGGAAAAAGAAGAUUAUGAAGAUGCUAUUUUAACCUGAGUUCUAAAGCAUCAUUGAUUCUACUAUUUAGUGGUAGAAAAAGAAUGUAUCUAAUUCAGACGUACGUGUUUGACAAAUUCUCUUUUUUUUUUGUUCUGAAAUAUUAGUAGGUAGUGCAGCUGCUACUCUAGUCGAGGAGAGAAGCAUAUUAUUGUUGUUAGGGUUGUCGAUCUCAUGGUUGUAAUCGGCUAUAAGUUUUGUAGUUCGUCGAUUAAAAAUUUCAUUUUCCGGAUUAAUUAGUUCAUUUGGACGGUUUAAUAUAUAUAUAUGCUUGAGUAUUGCUUGUUUGAUAUAGCUUGUAUAAAUAAGGUGAGCUUGAAAUUAAUCCAGUUGGGUUACAUAUUAGUUUCCGUUUCUAAAAAGAAAAAAAAAGAAAGAACUAAAAGAGAAGAAAGGGUGAUCAGUUCCAUAUAAAAUAUAAAUCGAGAGAUUUAAAAUCAUUGAUAUGUCGUAAUAGGGUCAUCUUUACUAAUUAGAAUGAGUUUGAGGACUUUUCACGGUUUCUCUCCUUUCGCACAACAACAUAUAGUAAUGGUUUCAAGCAUAAAGGCUUAAACUUUUGCACUAGACAGAUUUUAUUAGAAUUGUCACACUCUGAGCUUAUGGCAAGUAACUGAUCUAUUAGUUAAUAAUUAUUCAUUAAAAAUGACAAAGGAAGAAAUAAGGAAUAUGUAUAUCUGAUCUGAAAUUAUCUACAUAACCAUAAAAGGAGGGGGAAAAUCAAAUUUAAGGCUUGAACUAUAUUUGGUUCAAGCAAGCGAUACGUCACUUCUCUACUUCUAAUUCGUCGACAACAAUAAUGUGAACCAAACUUUGAUUAAGUGAAUCAUUUGUUGGUUCAUUAUAUGGAUAAACAAAUGCUGCAUUUUUCACUUCAGCUCGGCCUGUUUCUCCAUCCUUGUGCUUGCUUUCAUAGCCUGCAAAAAACACACCAAGAGAGUAUGGAUUGAAAUGAAAUCGGAUUGAAAUGAAAUUUAGAAAAUUAUGAAAAAAAAAGACCAAAAAUUUAAUAAUCUCACCUCCUUAUCCCAAUCACACCGGAUCGUUAGAUAUGCGAGUAUUAAUGUUUGAACUGCAGUUCCACCAAUCAUUCCGGCCCAUAUACCCUGUAAAUAUCAUAGGGGUCACAAAUGGACAAUUAUAUAUCUUAGGUCAUAGUUACAAGAUCCAAAUAAAAAGACAUGAAAUAUUUUCUUCUUUUUUUCGCUUUUUGUUCCAAUUGCGAUGAAUCACAAAGCUUGCAUAAAUUUCAAGUUAAGGAGUAAUUGUAAUGCUUAGAAAAUUUGAAAAAUAAUUAUAAAAUUAACGACGCAUAGGGCAAAAUAACUUGAUUCUUGGUUAGAUAUAUAUAACGAAUAUACCUCGCUAAUUUUGUUAUAACUUUGUUCAAUCUAAUAAGAAGCAAGUACAGCAAUAAUGUAGCUAAGGAGUAAUUAAAGAAACAAAGCAUACCAAAACCCCCAAAUGGAAGAGCCAUCCCAUAAGAACUCCCAAAGGAAUUCCAAUGAGAUAGUAUGACCCAAUGUUAACAUAAGCCACCAAAGCUUGCCACCCAGACCCCACAGCUACACCUACAUUAAUUAAUUACAUGCAAACACACCAACAUUAGAAAAAUUCCAAGUCACCAUAAGUAAAACUAUAUCUAUAUAUAUAUAUAUAUAUAUAUAUAUGUGUGUGUGUGUGUGUGUGUGUGUGUGUGUGUGACAAAAGAGCUAAAGAAUAAGAAGCAAAAUAAUGUACUGAGAGGUGAAUAAACUCACCGGAUAGAACAGGUUGUAUGCUGUUUAGGAGGAUAGUGAAAGCCAAUAGAAUAGAAAGCUUAUCGACUGCUUCUAAUACUACUUCACUUGACGUGAAGAUUAGCGCGAACUUGUCGUGGAGACUCAUGAUCAAGACGCAGAAGAAGAGGCCUAUUAUAAUUGAAGUUACCACGGAAACUAUCGUCGCAAAUCGGGCGCCCUUUCCAUUCCCCGCACCAAGUUCGUUGGCAACUCGGACUCUUUAGAUCAUAAGAAUAAGCAUUAUAUGAGAUACCAUAAGAUGUGCGAUAAUCUCUUGAUAUUUGCUUUGUAGUUGUACAAAAAAAGUAAAGAGAGAUUUAGGGUUAAGUGUUCUAAUUAAGAAAUGAAUUGCAAAUCAUAAAGCAACAUAUAUAGUUGAUAGUUGAUUAAACAAGAAUGUUAAACUUGGGUCCGGUUGGCUUCGGUCCGAGCUCAACUAUUUCGGCUCAUUUUGAUUUUGAAUUCAAUGCUCGAGCUGGCCCAAUCAAUCUCGAUCGAAAGAAGCCCAUAUUACCUACCUUGGACAACGUGGUCCAUGACGACACUAAACAGGAUGGGCCUGAGCCCUUCUUUUGUGUGUGUGUGUAUAUAUAUAAAAAUAUCGACAUAUACUAAAAGGUGUGAUAACAUAUCAAUAUUAAAUUUAGGUAAUUUUCAUCCGUACAUAAAGACCAAUUUCAACAUAUUUUUUGUGAUUAAUGGUACGGAAGCUAUUAGUGUCAAUAAAUAAGUAAUUAAAAAAAAAUCUCUUUCUUUGAAUUGGACGAUAUUUCAUUUCUUUAAUUAUUGAAGUAUAGUUUCAACUAACUAGGAGUUGAGUGAUCACUUAAUUGCGUGCUCCUUUCUAACUAAAUACCCUACAAUUUUCUCAGGUAGUUUUAGCAAACAAGGGGAAUUUCCCUAUCACAAGGGUGGUGCUGCUGAUCAAAUAGAGUGAUUCAUCCUAGCAAAAGAACAAAAGAGAUGAGGCCAAAAAAAAGAAGAAGAUCAAACAAUUUUUAUCAUGUAACCAUGCAAAUAGAUUUGUUCGUGAAAAUUAAUUGAGUCAUUUGUUUUGUGAGUAAGUCUCUUGUGAGAUGAAUACACACACAUUUUAAAAUUUGUAAUUUUAAUAGUCGAUACGAGGCGUUUUCUCGUUUAACGGCUUAAAAAUAUCCAAAUCAAUUGAAUUUUUGUUAGAAAAUUUUUUAAACUAUUUAAAACAAGAUCUAUACUCUUGAUUUUGAUUACAAGACUCCUAUCAUCAUUUUUUAAAGAAUAUUCAUUUUCAGCCGUUUAUUUUUGUGUCCACUCGAUGGAUAAGAGAACAAUAUCGAAAAUGUAUGAAAUUUAAUUUCUAAAUACUUCAAGUGGUAUAGAUAAUGUUCAACGGUGCAGAUCAUCAAUUUGAAGGUUCUAUCAUCGAAAACAAAUGGGUGGCAACAUGGCCCGUUUGCUAUUGAUAGUAUUCUAGCUCAACUCUCUCUCUCUCUCUCUCUCUCUCUCUCUCUCUCUCUCUCUCUCUCUCUAUAUAUAUAUAUAUAUAUAUAUAAAAGAUGUAACAAUUUGCGGUUCUUGACUAUUAGGCUCAAUACCUAAAAAGUGUCAAGCAUUAAUUAUAUUACACACACACAUAUAGAUAUAUAUACACACACGUAUAUCAGAUGUCACAAUUUGUGGUUCUCAAUUAUUAGGCUCCGUAUAUACCUAAAAAGUGACAAGCAUUAAUUAUAUUAUGUUUAGUUGGCACCUUCAUCGAAUCUAUGUGGGACACACACACACACACACACACACACACACACACGUAUAUAAGAGGUAACAAUUUGUGGUUCUCAAUUAUUAGGCUCCAUAUAUACCUUACCACACACACACGUAUAUAAGAGGUAACAANGUGUGUGUGUGUGUGUGUGUGUGUGUGUGUGUGUGUGUGUGUGUGUGUGACAAAAGAGCUAAAGAAUAAGAAGCAAAAUAAUGUACUGAGAGGUGAAUAAACUCACCGGAUAGAACAGGUUGUAUGCUGUUUAGGAGGAUAGUGAAAGCCAAUAGAAUAGAAAGCUUAUCGACUGCUUCUAAUACUACUUCACUUGACGUGAAGAUUAGCGCGAACUUGUCGUGGAGACUCAUGAUCAAGACGCAGAAGAAGAGGCCUAUUAUAAUUGAAGUUACCACGGAAACUAUCGUCGCAAAUCGGGCGCCCUUUCCAUUCCCCGCACCAAGUUCGUUGGCAACUCGGACUCUUUAGAUCAUAAGAAUAAGCAUUAUAUGAGAUACCAUAAGAUGUGCGAUAAUCUCUUGAUAUUUGCUUUGUAGUUGUACAAAAAAGUAAAGAGAGAUUUAGGGUUAAGUGUUCUAAUUAAGAAAUGAAUUGCAAAUCAUAAAGCAACAUAUAUAGUUGAUAGUUGAUUAAACACGAAUGUUAAACUUGGGUCCGGUUGGCUUGGGUCCGAGCUCAGUUAUUUCGGCUCAUUUUGAUUUUGAAUUCAAUGCUCGAGCUGGCCCAAUCAAUCUCAAAAGAAGCCCAUAUUACCUACCUUGGACAACGUGGUCCAUGACGACACUAAACAGGAUGGGCCUGAGCCCUUCUUUUGUGUGUGUGUGUGUGUGUGUGUAUAUUUAAAAAAAUCGACAUAUACUAAAAGCUAUGAUAUAACAUAUCAAUAUUUAAUGAGACAUGCAUCACAUACAUUAAAUUUAGGCAAUUUCCGUCCGUACAUAACGACCAAUUUUAACAUAUUUUUUGUGAUUAAUGGUACGGAAGCUGUUAGUGUCAAUAAAUAAGUAAUUAACAAAUCUCUUUCUUUGAAUUGGAUGAUAUUUCAUUUUUUUUUUCUUUUUUUUUUUGAGAGAGAUAGGUAGCACGCUACCCGCUUCAUUUAUUUCAUUUAGAAAUAAACUAAGCUGGAAAUGUGAAUCAACUAUGAUUCAAACUUGGGUCUCAGGUAUCAACCACCAAGCCCUUUAAUACUUGCUCUAGGGAUGGCUGGUUCAUUUCUUUAAUUAUUGAAGUAUAGUUUCAACUAACUCGGAGUGAGUGACCUAAUUGCAUGCUCCUCUCUAACUAAUUACCCUACAAUUUUCUCAGGUACGUAGUUUUAGCAAACAAGGGGAAUUUCCCUAUCACAAGGGUGGUGCUGCUGAUCAAAUAGAGUGAUUCAUCCUAGCAAAAGAACAAAAGAGAUUUGUUUGUGAAAAUUAAUUGAGUCAUUUGUUUUGUGAGUAAGUCUCUUGUGAGAUGAAUACACACACAAAUAUAUAUAUAUAUAGGGUCCGGCUACUAUCGUAUCGGUAACAUGGAGGCCUCCAUGCUACCAAGUUGUUUUCAAUGAUGCCGCUUCCAAAUCGACGAUCAGCUCGGUUAGACUUGAUCUACACUAUUAAAAAUAUUUGGAAACUAAAUGUCAUAAUUUUUCGACAUCAUUUGGUUAGUAAUCAAAAGGUCUCAAAAUUGACAAUUUUAAUGAUAGAUGUGAUGUAUUUGUGAAUUUAACGGUGUAAAACAAUUCAAAUCUGAUAAAAUUUUUAUGUAUAUAUAUUUUUUCUAUUUAGAGCCAGAUCAGUAUCUCUGAUCUUAAAUUCAAGUCUUUUAUCAUCAUUUUUUAUAAAAUUUUUAUUUUUGGCCGUUCAUUUUUAGAUUACUCGUUUGAUAGCCAAAUGAUGUCGAAAAAUUAUGAAAUUUAUUUUCCAAAUACUUUUAAUAGUGUAGAUCAAGUCUAACGAAGCCAAUUGUCGAUUUGGAAGCGGCAUCAUUAAAAACAACUUGGUAGCACAGAAACUUUCAUGCUACCGAUAGUAUACCAGCCUAGCGCGCUCGCUCUCUCUCUCUCUCUCUCUCUCUCUCUCUCUCUCUCUCUCUCUCUCUCUCUCUCUCUCUCUCUCUCUCUCUCGUAAUUAUAGUAUAUUAUAUAUAUACUUAUAUAUAUAAAGAUCGUUAACAAUUUGCGGUUCUUGCACUAAUAGGCUCAAUACCUAAAAAGUGUCAAGCAUUAAUUAUAUUAACACACACAUAUUAUAUAGAAUAUAUAUAUAUAUACUUACACGUAUUAACCGUAUAUCAGAUGUAACAAUCUGGGUCUAAUAUAGGCCCACUAGUUAAAAUAUCUACACGAUGCUGCGGGAUUUUUUUUUUUAACAAUUUUAGUUUUUUAUAUUUUCAAUAAAUUUAUUAAGUCUAAUCUAUUAAUUAAAAGUAAAAGUUAUAUAAAAAUAAUUUAAUGGUUAAAUUUUAUAGUUAAAUAAAAUUUAUUAAAAUGGACAAUUAUUUUUAUAAAGAUUUAUGCAAAAAGAGAUUUGUUGAUAAAUCAUAUUCAAUAUAAUUAUAAAAAAAUAAAGUUAGAAGGAAAAUAAAAUAAUGAAAGAAUUGGUUUAAUAAAAUAUUAUAUAUACACCAUCACGCACUAUAUUUUAUAAAUCCUUCUCCUCAAUUUAAAUUAUGUAUUUUUUCUAUGUAUCAUCGAUCAAAUUAGGAUUUUAUUUAUGCGAUUUAUUAUGGCUGUAUUAUUAAUAUCAUUAAUUAGAUUAAUAUGUAUAUACAAUGAUUUAUUAAUAAAAUUAAUUGAAUUAAUUUAAUUCAUAGGAGUUUAGAGAUUUAAAAAUUUUUAGUUUGUAAGUUUAAUUGAAAAAUAUAUAUUUAAAUUAAAUUUUAAAAUUUUCAAAUUUUAAAGUUAUCAAAAGAUUUAUUCUUAUAUAUAUAUAAUAUAUAUAUAUUAUAUAUAUAUAUAUAUAUUAUUAAAUAUAUAGGGAGAGAGAGUAGAAGGAGGGGUUUGGUAGCCGGCAACACUCGUGUCACUAAGGUCCCCCAAUUCCUUCUAUGUUGGAAAAAAAAAUACAUAUAUACCUUAAAAAGUGACAAGCAUUAAUUCUAUUAUGUUUAGUUGGCACCUUCAUCGAAUCUACGUGGGACACACACAUGCACACACACUCUAACACACACACACUCUAACACACACACACUCUAACACACAUAUAUGUAUAUAAUAUGUACCAAUUGGUGAUUCUUAAUUAUUAGGCUAAAUACCUAAAAAGUGACGAGCAUUAAUUAUAUUUUGUUUACUCGGCACCUUCAUUGAAUCUAUGUAGGACAAAGGAAAAUCACAAGAUAAGGCUAAGCAUCAUGGAUACCACAAAAUUGCGAAGCCCUAGUCAUGUAACCAAAUUGAACCAUCAAACUUUUAAUUUUUCUUUUUUCCCCCCUCUUUAAGUCUUUAUUAGCCGUGUGAGGACGAAUUCAAGAAAUUGCCUCCUGAUAAAAUUGCUUAAAUAGCAUAUGUCACAAAAGUGGCUUGAGGUUGCGAUAGUUUUGAUUCUACGGAAUUUAAUUUUCAUCUUUAGUGUAAUUGUACGAUCGCACACUAGACGUACUUCUUUUGUUUAUACUGUAUAAUUCCAUAUUGUAUUUUAAUUCCCCCCUUGUUUUACUUGUGUUUGAGUGUUUGUUUGCUGUGUCUGUGUCUGUAGAUGUUUUCCUCAAAAUUAAAAAAAAAAAAGAAGAAGGAAAAAAACAUCUAAGAGAUCAUCAUUUUACAUACCCUGUACCAGCGAAGAAGGCCAAAGGAAUCAUCAGCUCCCAUCCAUUUAUGCUCAUACUGUUCCCAUCGUAAGAGAAAAACAAAAAGAGGAGAACAAAUGUUAUAUGUCCAUUUCGAUCAUCUUCUUUGAUAAUCUUAAAUUGCGUAAAGACAAAUCAAAUCAAAUCACUAUCAAGAUGGUAAAAAGCAUUUUCCACGAUCGAUCUUUUGAUUGUUUGAUUGAAAAAGAAAAUUUGACAAUGUUAUCUUCUUCUCAUUGUCUUUUUCCUUAGUUCAAAAGUUGGAACUAGCUAGCUAAGAUUCUGUUUGUACCUAUCUCUCAAAAAAAAGAUUCUGUUUGUACCCAUCUUAAUUAAUUAAUUAUUUGGGUGGGUUUCCAUGUAGACAAUUAUCCCAUUGUAUUUGUUAAUCAAAUGCAUGAUGCAUAUAAUUUAUUGUAUGCUAAUAAAAGAUCUUCAUAAAUCAUCCCAGCUAGCUAGCUCAAAAUUUUUCAAACGGUUAAAAUUGUAUAGUAUUUACCUAAACUAUAUACUAUUUUAAAUUAGCUAUCUAAUUUUCCAAAUUUUUAAUUUUACUAUUCAUCCUUUCAAUUUGUUUGAUUUAAAUCGGUCGGUGAUAUAUUUACUUUAAAAUUUAAAUAUAUCGAUUAUCUUUACGUGUUUAAUUAGCAUAUUUUAUAUAAUUCUCCUAAUUAUAAAUUUAUUAAAAUAAAUAAUUAGCUUAAUUUUAAAGUUAACGUUACAUUGAUGGAUUGAAAUUAAAUAACUUAAAAGGUUGUAUUGCAAAAUCAAAAGUUUGGAUGGUUGAAUAGCUGAUUCAAAAUAUUCCAUACUUCAAAGAAAUUCCGUAUAGUUUUACCUAGAGAAUUUUGUGCUAAACUGUUCGGCAACAAUUAAUGGAAUAAAAAGAAAAUAUAUAUAUUCUAAAGCAACGUACGUACCAUACGGAAAGGGCAUCCACAGCUAUCUCGGCGUUCUUCAAGUUCCCCGUCAACAAGAUAAGUAUUCUAUAGUACCAGUUCUCCAAACUGCAUAAAAUUAAUUAAUAAUAACAAUUAUUGUAUGUAAAAUGUUUGCUACUAAAAUUCUCAAGCAAAUCACAGUAAUAUAUAUAAUUAAGCAUAGAAAUAUAGGCACUAACUAGGAUUAUAUAGUGUGUGUAUAUAUAUAUAUAUAUAUAUAUAUAUAUAUACCAUAACAUAACACCGGAAGCUGCGGAGAGCUUGAGGAACUCCCAGAGGCCGGCGAAGGCCUCAAGGGAGAAGCCCUUCCAGGUGUCGGGGCAGCCACCGCAGGCGACGUAGGCGAACUGCAGGAAGGCGGCGACCCACCAGGAGAAGUUGAGGGUGGCGGCGGUGCCGACGAGGCCGAGCUGCAUGCGCGACACGAAGAGCCACGUGACGAAGACGUGCACGACGAGCGCGACGGCGGAGAUGACGGCGUUGACGGCGUUCUUGAGCUGGCACUGCAGGAAGCGCUGCAGGGGGAAGAGGAAGGCGAAGGAGAAGUGGAGGGGGAUGAGCCACAUCGACACGUCCCCGGCCUGCGCCGCCAAUUCGGGGGGCUGCCCCAGCAGGCGGAGGAUCGGGGUGGCGAAGAAGUACAUGGGCAGGAGCACCACCGCGCACAGGAACAGCACGAUCCACGAACGCUGCAUGUACACCCCCAGCAUGUGGUAUUUCUUCGCGCCGAACGCUUGCCCGCACAGUGUCUCCAGCGCGCUCGCCAUGCCCAGCUGCAUCCAUGCAUGCAUGCAAUAUGUUUACGUCCAACGUUCUAUAUAUAUAUAUAUAUAAUAUAUAAUGUGUGUAUCAUAAAUCAUAAUCAUAAUAAUAACUAUACACCAUUUUGAACAGCUAAUCAAUCUUUCAAAAUUUUAAUUUUGAUUUUAUUAUUCGAUCUUUCAAUUUGUAUAAUUUUAGUCGGUUAACGGUAUUUUGGCUUUACAAUGUAAACUAAUUAUUUAUUUUAAUAACUGCAUGAAAAAUACCAACUAAACUCAUUCAAAUUUUGAACCCAAGAUGCCCUCGACCGACUCAAAUCAAACAAUUUAAAAAAUUUAGUAAUAAAAUUAAAAUUUAAAAAAGUUAAAUAACCAACUCAAAAUCAUCUAUAGCUUGGAUAAGCUCAGUAUGUUUUUAUCUUAAAAAUAUUAUUCUUAUAAUUUUUUUGCCGAGUUGACAUUAAUUUUAGAAUAUAAUAUUAUUAAUCACGAUAGAACGGCUCUAAUUAAUCAUUACUGUCCCGAUGACAAGGCACUUAAAUUAAUGGAAGGUCGAGGUUCCAGUAUCAAGUGAGAAAUGAGGCAUUGAAAACCAAGCUCCUAUAUAUGAUUUUAAAACUUAAAAAUAACACAUAAAAAAUAUAGAUAUGGUAACCAACCUAAUCCAAAGCAAACUCCACUGCAUGUACAAUCAUUUUCAUCCAUAAAUUUGAUUUUCCUUUGUAGUUAGAAAUUGUUAUUAUUAUUAUUAUUAUUAUUACUGGGCAAUCUGUGUCCUUCUGGUCCAGUUCAGGAUUUGCUAUUUAGCUUAACUAGCUAAGGGCCUGCGUGACGUGGUGAAAAAUAAUAUUUUAAUUAUUUUUUAUAAUAUUUAUUUUUUAUAUUCUCGUAAUCAAAGAUAUAACUGUUCCAUAUCAGAUCAUUAUUUCUUAGUAUCUUAAAUAGAUCUUCUGCUGUACUGUUAUGUAAUGUACAUAAUUUUCUUAAAAAUAAUUAUUUUAUUAAUAUUUUUAAUUUUUAAUAUUUAUAUAGUUAAAGUAUUCUAAUAAUUUUAUUUAAAAUUUAAUUAAAUUUGAUAGUUUUGAUACCUAUUUUAUAAAUAAUUUUUUGUUUAACUAAAAAACUGAAGUUGGAGGUCUUAUAUUAGAAUAAUUAGAGCCAAACAAAUAUAUAUUGCAAAACAUAUCUAAAAAAUAAAUUAAACAAUAAUUUGUAUCUAGACUGCAGUAAUAAUUUCGAAGAUGUCCUUAUUUUAUUAGACCCAAACAAAUAUAAAACUGAGGAUAUAGAAUAAAGGUAAAGAUCUAUUAAUUUUUGUGUAUGAAUUUUUUAUUAGGAAAAAAAAUUCAAAUACCACCUGUGUGGUUUCUCACUAGGGAUGCAAACGGAUCCGGGUUGGUGGAGCUCCCGCCCCGAUCCGCUCCGACGGGGGCAGUAAAUAGGAGAAAGUAAACGGAUUCGGGGCAGAAAACGGGAUAAGUUUUACGAUCCGAGACGGAUUCGGGGCAGAAAACGGGAGAAAUUUUCACCCGCCCCGAAUCCGCCUCCCAUGAUCCACCCCGAAUCCGUCCGAAUAUCAUUUCUAUUUUCAAAAAUAUUCCUAAAAAAUAAUAUAUUACAAAAAGUUCAAAAUACAAAUAAAUUAUUACUCGCAUUUCUAAUGUAUUUGAAACAUUUGAAUUUUGUCUUGAAUUUGUGAUUGAUAUUUUUGAUUUUUACAAUUAAUAUUGUUAAAUUAUAUAUAUAAUAUUUAUUAAAAUUAUUAUUUUAUAUUUUACAAAUAUUAAUAAUAUUUAUAAUUUUAUAAAAUAUUAGUUGCGGGGCGGAUUCGGGCGCCGGCGGGAGGCGGGUUUAGGGUGUCAAUGGAUAUGGAUACCCGAAAUUUUAUCCGAACCCGAACCCGAAUGUAACGUAUAUAUCCGAUGGAUAUGGAUAUGGAUUCGGAUGUGGAUAUCAAAAAUAGAAACCCGACGGAUAUGGAUUUUGAUUGUACCCGACCCGAACGCGAACCCAACCCGAACCCGACCCGAAUCCGAAUUUAUUUUGUAUUAUAUAUAAUAUAUAUAUAAAAAUUUGAUGUUAUAUUUGAAUUUGUAUUUUAAAAAUUUAGGUUUAAUAUAAUAUAUUUUGAAAUAUUGAAAAAAGAAAUAAUUGUUUCGGGUUCGGGUUCGGGUUUCGGAUUUUUGGUCAGGUUCGGAUUUGGAUAUGAUUUUUUAAAAUCCGUCGGAUUCAGGUUUGAGUUCGGGUCUCCGAUUUGGAGUCGGGUUCGGGUUUGGGUUUUUAAAAAUCCGCCCCGAAUCCGACCCGUUGACAUUUCUAGGCGGGUUACGAGGUGGGGUGGAUUAUGGAAUGUAUUUUUUAACCCGUCACGGAUUCGGGGCGGGAGGCGGGGCGGGAUUUUGCCAAUCGAGGCGGAAGGCGGGGCGGGGCUCCCGCCCCCAGAUCCACCCCGUUUGCAUCCCUAUUUCUCACUUUAGUAUCCCGUGAUAUAAAGUGUAUCAACUUAGUAUCCUGUGGCUUCACUUUUCUCUUUUUAUUAUUUCAUUCUGCUAUUAUUUUUUUGUUAAAUCAGUGAAAAAGUUAAAACUAAAAGGUACUAAAGUGAAUAUUUGAUAAACCUAAGUGGAGCAUCUGAAGUGUUUUGUAUAUAAUAAUUUAACGAAAUAUUAACGAAAGAGCUAAUGAAAAGAGAAAAUAAAAUCACAUAAUACAAACUUAAUAUACUUUAAACCAUAGGGUACUAAAGUGAGAAAGUGUAAAACCACCGGGUUGAUAUUUGAAGUUUAUCUUUUUUAUUAAUUAUAGAUUGUAUAUAAAAAUGUCUUGUACACUUGAUAUACGAUUUUUUUAUACUGUACAAAAUUUUAAUUUUGUUAUAUUAACUAUUAAAAAAAUGAAAUUGGUAUAUACGAUAAAAAAAAUUUAUAUUCAGUGUCGGUUAAAAAAAAAAAAAAAAGAAAUGUGUUGAGAAAAAAAAAAUAGUAUAGGAUGAGAGAGAGAAAACAAAAAAAGCUGGCCCGUACUGCAAAGUGAGGAGGAGGCCCCCGUACACUUGUUGGGUUCUCCUGUCACGUAUGCUAUGAUAUAAAUGGUACAAAUGCUCUGGACAAGCCUCAUUUUGGGCGCUCCUUUUUGUUGGGAUAAAAAUUUGCCGGGCACCGUACCCAAACAAAUUUAUUUGGGACCGUAAUCCUCGAAAAAAAAAAAAAAAAAAAAAUUUGCUGGGCUCUGUUUCUAAAAAGAGAGAGAGAGAGAGGAAAAGGGACGGUGGUGAUGGGCGCUGCUACACACGCGGUGCCCAUGGGCACGGUUCCCACCAAAUUUUUGUCAUUUUUCUUAUGUAUGCUUUAUCACUUUACCUCAAGCAGCUUUAGUUUGUUCGCACUUUUGUGGAUUUAGUUUUUUGAAAUAUUUAAUUUUGAAGAUAAUUUUCUCUUUCUAAAGGAAAUUAAAUUAGUAUAAGAAAAUUAGACCCAAAAAAAAAGGUUGGAUCUUCGCGCUCUCCUCAAAAAUUUGGAAAGGCCACGAGCAAUGGAGUCGUCAACGUGAGCUGGAAUUUCCAAUAAAAAUAACAGAGAAUAUUGAAACUCUUCUUCUAGACAAAUUCAACUAUCUCUUUUAAAUAUACUAUCGGGAGUAAACGAACCGUUUUACUACCGAUUUAUUUUCGAUGAUAGAGUUUUCAAAUUGACGAUCAGCUCCGUUAAAUAUGAUCUAAACCAUUUAAACUACCUAGAAAUCAAAUUUCACGCACUUUCGAUAUUAUUUUUUUAUCCAUCAAGUGAACAGACAAAUGAAUGGCUGAAAAUGAAUACUCUUUAAAAAAUAAUGAUAGGCGUCUUGUAAUCAAAAUCAACAGUAUAGAUCUUGUUUUAAAUAGUUUAAAGAAUUUUUUAAUAAAAAUUCAAUUGAUUUGAAUAUUUUUACGCCGUUAAACGAGAAAACGCUUCUUAUCGAUCAUUAAAAUUACAAAUUUUGAAACCCUUUGAUCAUUAGGCAAAUGAUGUCGAAAAGAUUUGAAAUUUGAUUUCUAAACACUUCAAGUGGUAUAGAUCAUAUUCAACGGAGGCUGAUCGUCAAUUUGGAAGUUCUAUCAUCGAAACAAAUCGGUAGGUAAACGGCUCGUUUUCUACCGAUAUAUUCUAGCUCAACCUGUAUAUAUAUAUAUAUAUAUAUAUAUAUAUAUAUAUAUAUAUAUAUAUAUAUAUAUAUAGAACUAGGCUACUAUGCUAUUAUAGCACCAAGUCAUUGGUGCUACCAAGUUUUGGGUAUUGGAUUAAGAUAUUGUGCGGUUAGGAUGAUGUGUGGCCCUCUAGGGUUGAGUAGGUGGUUGGUUGAAUAGUAUGAUCUAACGGGUGAAAAUGAUCAAAAGGGUAGAUCUAACGGGUGGAAAACUCUGGUAGUACCAAGCUGUCGUGCUAUUAAUAGGCAUAGUAGCCGGACCUUAAUAAUAUAAUAUAUAUAUAUAUAUAUAUAUAUAUAUAUGUUAAAAAAUUCAGAUUUUGAAGUCAACAAUAUAAGCAGAUUUACAUUAAGGCCUUAUAAUUCACAAUAUAAAAUCGCCUUAAAUUCUAACGUCCAAAUCCAUGUCUAUGUAAUAAUUAAUUGACUUUUCCUGUUACGGACUUACGGGUCUAUGUGACACAUCGUCCUUUAAUUUAACCACAUUCGUUAGUGUGGUUUAUUUGUGCCCACAUGUUUCAUUCACCAUUGCUAUUGUCAUUAAUACCCAUUAAUGAAACCUCUAGAGCUUGUCCCUACAAAACUUCUGAAAGUUAAAGUUUUUAUCUUGGCUCGCCCUUAAAAAGAAGGCCUCUAACAGUGGACGAUCUAAUUAAAAAAGGGUGAAUGAAAAUAAUAGUCCACGUACUGUGUGAGAUGGAAGAGAAAAUAGUAAAUCACAUAUUCACUCAAUGCGUUUUUAGUAAAUUUUUGAUAGUAACAGCCUUAAAGGGUAUCCAGCCUAUGAAUCUAGGGGAUGACGUGACGAUCGUUCAGGAUAACUGGAUAUCUACUUGUUCUAGGUUAACCGUCCUAAUAGCCUGCUGGUGAAUUAUUUGGCAGGCAAGAAAUGAUGUAAUCUUUUAAAAGAUUGAUGCAAAUCCGUUUGCAGCUGUCGAUAAGACCAAAUACUUAAAGAAAUUAUGAAAUGAAUUUAUUAUGGCAAAGUAGCUUUAACGCCACCACUCCUCUUUUGUUUUUGUUUUGUUUUGUUUUUUAUUUUUUGUUGUUUUUUUUUUUCAUCUUAGCUGAUGUUUACUAUCUCACCCAUGUAGAUUAGUUCAUACUCUUUGCACCCGUUUGGUUCGGGGUUAAGGGGUGGAAUAAUCCCUUAACCCCGAAGUUAUUCCCAAACAUCCAAUUUUGGGGGUGGGGUUACCCCAUCCUACCCCACCCCACUACUCCAACAAAACAAAACACUAUUUUACUUACUAUACUUCUUAUCCCAUCUACUUUAACCAAACAUUAUUUUAUCUAUAUCUGGACUAAACCUAAUUCUCAACCAAACACAAAAUUACUCUAACCCCACCAUUACCCUGAACUUAACUCUAUCCGUGGAAUAAUAAGUUUUUACUUAAUCCCGAACCAAACGGUGGCUUUUUAUGAAUAAAGCAGAUAGCAUUCUACAUUUUUCUUAAAAAAAAAUUUCUGAAAAAUUCAAAAAUUUUACAGAAAGGAUUUUAGAAGGUCGGAAAAAACCGCCUAAUAUAGCUAAGCCUACCUACUGUCACCAAUUUUUUUGUCAUUAAAUUAAUAAUAUAAAAGAAAAUGUAACAUAACUAGAAACAGUCCAAAGAAUAAUUUAAAAAAUUCGUAAAAUAUCUUUUACAAAGUUAAAAGAAGGAAUAUGAACAUGAUAAAUAUUUUUUGAAAAAGUCAUUUGAUCUGAAGCUUCGCAAGGGAAAUGAAUUAAUAAAUGAUAACAAUGAAGUAUCAACGUACUAAUAAUAAAGAGAAAGCAUACAGAGGUAGUGUUAAUUUGAUUGAGAAAUAAAAGAGGAAUUAAAUAGUUCACUAAUAAAGAAAAAGUAUAUAUAGAAAGGUAAUGUUUGAUUGAGAAAUAAGAGAGGAAUAAUAAGACUUCUUAUUUUCCUUAUUCACCCUGACACCGCUGGCGCUUCUUCCUAAUUUCCAUCUUAAUCGGUUAUUUUUUAUUUCCCAACAAAAUUGUUUAUUGAAGUACAAAAAAAUAUAAAUAUAAAAUAUUCUUAAUUAAUGUACCACGUAGUAAUUUUUUUACUAAUUAGCUAAGUAAUCAAUCACUUUUCUUACCAAAUUAAUAAAUAUUUGGUUAACUAGUUGGACAAUUAAUUUUUAUUCAUAAGUAAAUAACAAAUUAGACAAUUAAUUAGUUUAUGUGCUUAUUAGAUUAAGUAAUAUUCAUAUGAGUUAACUAACUAAUAUUUUUACUAAUCUAAUUAUUUAUUAAAUAAUUAUUUAAUUGAUUAAUUAAUUGCACAACAAAAAAUUAAUUUUUUUAGUUAAGUAAAUAAUUAAUGUUUUUCCCCAUUCUCUUUAAAAUGUACAUAACUAACAAAUAAAUAAAUAAAUAAAUUUUUAGUAUUUUGAUUAAAAAGUAAUUUAUUUUAAAAAAUUAUAAUUACUUUUAUUCUCAUUAUUUUAAUCUAAAAUAUGCAAAUACUAUUUUUCAUAUUCUUAUAAAUAACCCUCUAAUUAUCAAGGAAAAAUUAAUAAUACUAGGAGCCUGAUAUGUGUUAGAGAACUGUGUUUAUAUAUAUUUAUAUUUAACGAUACUAAUAGGAACAAAAUAAAUGUAUGUUGUCAUACAAUCUCUUCAAAGGACAGCAAUUUCAAUUAAUUUUUUAGGACACUAAAACAAAAACGAAAAAAAAAAAGAAGUAUAUAUUCCUUUAGGCAAUUAUAAAUGUUUGAAUCUGAGAGGCAGAGAUUAGAUGCGAAGAGAACGUGUGACACUGUUUAUUUAGACAUAAUCAUGUUUAGAUAGAAAACAAUAAUCUAUAUAUAUAUGCAGAGAGCAUCUGUUAAUAAGGAUGCAUGGUAGAGUAAUUUAUUAAUUGUGAGUGUGAACAAAAAUAUGGCUUAUCACUAACCAAUUAAGUAUUAGAAAACGAACAUGGGUAAAAGAAAACAAAAGAAAGCUACGUACGUACCAUUAGUGACCCAAAGUUAUUAAAUGGUUCUUGACGAUGUAACAUAAGUUAUAUUCGUUCAUUUUAUAGUAAUUUCUAGUUAUAUUCGUUCAUUUUAUAUAUAGUAAUUUCAAUUUAUAUCUUUAGUAUUAAAUUAUAAUAAAAAAUAAUAAUUAUUUUUUAAAAGCUUAAGAUAGUGUUAGAAAAUAAUAUUUUUAAUAUUUAUAUAUUCAAUAUUGCUCCAACGUUUAAACGGGAGAUUUUUUUAAUAGGAGAUUUUUUUAAUAGGCUCAAAAUAUAAACUUAAAUUAAAUGAUUGAUUAUUAAAUAAUAAAAGUUUGGCAAAACUCAAACUCACAAUAGGACAUUUAGUGCAUGUAUUAAUUCAAUAACUCUUUGCGUGAUAUUAUUGCUUUUUUUUUUCAUUAGUAUAUAUUAUCCAAAAAUCGAUCUAACAAAAAUNNNNNNNNNNNNNNNNNNNNNNNNNAAAUUAAUUUUUUUAGUUAAGUAAAUAAUUAAUGUUUUUCCCCAUUCUCUUUAAAAUGUACAUAACUAACAAAUAAAUAAAUAAAUAAAUUUUUAGUAUUUUGAUCUUUAUUAAAAAAAAGUAAUUUAUUUUAAAAAAUUAUAAUUACUUUUAUUCUCAUUAUUUUAAUCUAAAAUAUGCAAAUACUAUUUUUCAUAUUCUCAUAAAUAACCCUCUAAUUAUCAAGGAAAUAUUAAUAAUACUAGGAGGCUGAUAUGUGUUAGAGAACUGUGUUUAUAUAUAUUUAUAUUUAACGAUACUAAUUAAUAGGAACAAAAUAAACGUAUGUUGUCAUACAAUCUCUUCAAAGGACAGCAAUUUCAAUUAAUUUUUUAGGACACUAAAACAAAAAAAAAAAAAAAAAUAAAAGUAUAUAUUCUUUUAGGCAAUUAUAAAUGUUUGAAUCUGAGAGGCAGAGAGUAGAUGCGAAGAGAACGUGUGACACUGUUUAUUUAGACAUAAUCAUGUUUAGAUAGAAAACAAUAAUCUAUAUAUAUAUAUGCAGAGAGCAUCUGUUAAUAAGGAUGCAUGGUAGAGUAAUUAAUUGUGAGUGUGAACAAAAAUAUGGCUUAUCACUAACCAAGUAUUAGAAAACGAACAUGGGUAAAAGAAAACAAAAGAAAGCUACGUACGUACCAUUAGUGACCCAAAGUUGGAAAAUGGUUCUUGACGAUGUAACAUAAGUUAUAUUCGUUCAUUUUAAUUAUAGUAAUUUCUAGUUAUAUUCGUUCAUUUUAUAUAUAGUAAUUUCAAUUUAUAUCUUUAGUAUUAAAUUAUACUAAAAAUUAUUAUUAUUUUUUAAAAGCUUAAGAUAGUAUUAGAAAAUAAUAUUUUUAAUAUUUAUAUAUUCAAUAUUGCUCCAACGUUUAAAGGGGAGAUUUUUUUAAUAGGCUCAAAAUAUAAAUUUAAAUUAAAUGAUUGAUUAUUAAAUAAUAAAAGUCUGGCAAAACUCAAACUCACAAUAGGACAUUUAGUGCAUGUAUUAAUUCAAUAACUCUUUGGGUGAUAUUAUUGUUUUUUUUUAUCAUUAAUAUAUAUUAUCCAAAAGAUCGAUCUAACAAAAAAAAAAAAGGGUCUAGGAAUAUAUAUGUAUAUUGUCACUCUCCCUCGCGAGAAUAAUAAAUAUGAAAGUUGCGUAAAACUAACAAAUUAGGUAGGAUAUAUGUGGGAAUUUAACUCAUUAUAUACUACGGAGAUUUUAAUCCCGUAAAUAUUGAAAGUGAGAAUUGAACUCACGACCUCGUAGAACGAAAAUGAUGGUGUAUAAACAAGGAAGGAGAGGGAAGGAGAAGAAGAGGUACCAUGAGGCCGAAGUUGAAGCCGACGACGACGGUGUUGGCGAUGGAGAUGGAGGCGAGCUCGAGCUCGCCGAGGUGGCCGGCGAAGGCCUGCGUGAUCACAUUCAUGCUGUACGUGACCACCCUGCUAAAUAUGGCUGGUGCAACAAUCCUCCACAGCUGCUUUGACUCCUCCCAUACUCUCCUCCCCAAUCCCACACCCCUCUCCAACUCCAACUCUUUUCUUUCUCCAUUUAGAAGCGCAACUCUCUCUUCUCCUUUCUCCAUGUAAUAUAUCCUCUCUCCCCCUCUAUAUAUGAUCUUUUUUUCUCUUUUUCCUUUCUUUUGGGUUACUUUCUUUUUGCUCAGAGAAGAAAAGAAGAUAAGAGGAGAGAGAGAGAGAGAGAGAGAGAGAGAGAGUGUGUGUUUUAUUGUGGGUACAAUAAAAUGGGAAGUGAUGGAGGGGAAUUGUGUGUUUAUGUGGUCAUUUCUCUGUGCAAAAGAGAGGAAUUUAUUGCAUGGUUCUAGUCCACCACAUCGAUUAUGGGUUGUCUUUUAUAUAUAUAUAUAUAUAUAUAUAUAUAUAAUAGUAGAUAAUAUAUAAAUUAGUAGAUAAUAUAUAAAUAUAUAUAAUAGUAGAUAAUAGUAGUAGAUAAUAGUAAUAGUAUCUACUAUUUAGAUUAGAUCAUAUUUAAUGAAAGAAAGAAAACAUAGUUGUAACAAUCAAUAUUCGUGAUGCAAUCAUUGUUGGAUUAGGUCCAAGACAAAGGUUCUUUCUUGACCAAACUACAAGUAUGGAACUCCAUGAUAUGGAAAGACGGAAUAUGGAACCUAAANCUAGGUAAAUGAUAUCGAAAAAUCGCAAAAAUUAUUUUCUAGAAACUUUAAAUAUGCUAGAUCAAGUUUAACGGAGCCGAUCGUCAAUUCGAAAACUCCAUCAUCGAAAAUGGCUCAGGAGCACGGAGGCCUCCAUGCUCCUGAGAGCACAGCAGCCCUACUCUAUAUAUAUAUAUAUAUAUAUAUAUAUAUUGUCACUCUCCCUCGCGAGAAUAAUAAAUAUGAAAGUUGCGUAAAACUAACAAAUGAGGUAGGAUAUAUGUGGGAAUUUAACUCAUUAUAUACUACGGAGAUUUUAAUCCCGUAAAUAUUGAAAGUGAGAAUUGAACUCACGGCCUCGUAGAACGAAAAUGAUGGUGUAUAAACAAGGAAGGAGAGGGAAGGAGAAGAAGAGGUACCAUGAGGCCGAAGUUGAAGCCGACGACGACGGUGUUGGCGAUGGAGAUGGAGGCGAGCUCGAGCUCGCCGAGGUGGCCGGCGAAGGCCUGCGUGAUCACAUUCAUGCUGUACGUGACCACCCUGCUAAAUAUGGCUGGUGCAACAAUCCUCCACAGCUGCUUUGACUCCUCCCAUACUCUCCUCCCCAACCCCACCCCCCUCUCCAACUCCAACUCUUUUCUUUCUCCAUUUAGAAGCGCAACUCUCUCUUCUCCUUUCUCCAUGUAAUAUAUCCUCUCUCCCCCUCUAUAUAUGAUCUUUGUUUCUCUUUUUCCUUUCUUUUGGGUUACUUUCUUUUUGCUCAGCGAAGAAGAGAAGAUAAGAGAAGAGAGAGAGAGAGUGUGUGUGUUUUAUUGUGGGUACAAUAAAAUGGGAAGUGAUGGAGGGGAAUUGUGUGUUUAUGUGGUCAUUUCUCUGUGCAAAAGAGAGGAAUUUAUUGCAUGGUUCUAGUCCACCACAUCGAUUAUGGGUUGUCUUAUAUAUAUAUAUAUAUAUAUAUAUAUAUAUAUAUAUAUAUAUAUAUAUAUAUAUAUAUAUAUAUAUAUAUAUAUAUAUAUAUAAUAGUUAUAAUAUUAUUAAAAGUAUAAAGUAGUUGGUGUUUAUAAGUUUUUCGUCAUAAGAUUUAUCUUUUUAACAAUUUUAAUCUGUUAAACUAUAUUAUUCAACCAAUUGUCUACUCAGUUUUAGGAGAUCAGUAUCAUUCUUACUGUAUAUCUCUUAAUUUUAAGGUUAAAAAUUUACAAACACUAAUGACUUGAUAUAUAUAUAUAUAUAUAUAAUUUCAUAUUUAUAGCGAGAAAAUUAUGUGAGCUUUUAAUUUAUUUUAAUUAGUUAAUCGGUCUAACUUCUGUUAAAUUUUCUAACAUAUGAUAAAAAAAAGUAAUUUUAGCUAGGUUUUAUCUUUUUUAUGGUCUCUAUGAGCUUUGAAUUAUUUGCGUAGUAAUCCGAUUUCUUUAUUAUUUCUUAUAGUUCGGAUGAUCAUUCAUUUAAAGGAGGGAUGCAACACGAGGACUUUCCAGAAAGUCACCCAUUAUAGUACUACUCUCACCCAAGCAAGCUUAACUGCGGAGUUCUGAUGUUCGGAUGAUCAUUCAUAAUUGGCCAAAUGUUGGAUGGGGCCUAGUUUUCACUUUUUGUUUUAUAUCCAUUGGCCAAAUGUUAUGUAUCCGACAAGGUUCAUACAAUGGAUGAGGGAAAUAUGUUUUUGUGGUCAAAGAUGAAAGAUGUUAGGAAGAGAAGUGUUAUUUGUGCACUUACAAUUAGGUACAAAUUUAUCAUCUAAAAGAUAUGAAAAUAUAUAAAAUUUUAUAUAAUUUUUUAAAAUUUUUAAUUUUAAAAAGUAAAAUUAUGAUAAGACUAGUGCACAAAAAUACUCUUAAAUUAAAAAGUGUCAAAUUUAAUUUCUUUCAGAAAACUUGAUUACAUUCCUUGUCCUUAUACGGCUGCCAGGAGAUAAAGGUGAAAAGAGAUAUGAAAGAAUAAAAAAAUGAAGUUGGUGUGUUUCAGUUACGUAAUAUAGGUGUCCAGAAAUUGGUAGUGUUUGGAUUGGGGACAAAAAGAUGGAUAAUUUUUUAUUUUUUUUUUAUAUUUAAACGUAAAUUUUUUAUUCAAGAAUAAUAAUUUUUGAUUAUCUAAAAUAACUUGACAUAAUUAUUUUUACAAAUAUUUUUAUUUUUUAUAUAUAGUUACCUACUAUUUUUUUUAUUUUAUAUUAUCUAUUCAAACGUUAUUUUUUUUAUCUCCGAAAACAACCAAAUUUUCAUCCAAACGCUAUUUUUUUUAUUCACAUACUUGUAUUUAUCCCUAUAAAUUAUAAUAGCUAGUUUUUACUUAUAUCUGAACCAAACGCUACCGAGAUAGAUAGUAUAUUACCCGUUUCGUUUAUUUUCUUAGCAAAUAAAUUUAACUGAAAAUAUGAAUCAAUUAGGAUUGAACUUGAGACAUCAGAUACCAAUCACUAAAUUCUUUGCCAUUUACGCCAAGAACGAUCGGGGUAUUCAGAAGUUGUUAUUAUAAUUUUGGAAGAACUUUGUCUUUCAAUCUUGUUAAAACUUGAGUAUGAAUUCAAUUCAGAUACGACUUUUUCUUAAUUAAAUUCGAUAAAAAUAUUUAUUAAAAAAAAAUAAAUAACACCAUCGGACGUACAGGAUAAAGGAAUCUGCAGACCGUAAGUCCAAUCAACCCAAGAAAAAUAAAAAUUUAAAAAUAUAAAAAAGUUAUCUUUAAAUAGAAUAGUCAUAUUUUUAUUUUAUGGUGAGACCUUGCUGUAAACUAGAAUAGAAAUAAAUUAUAAUGUACAAAUUUGCAGAAUAAAAAAAAUAUAUAGAAUUUUACUUAUUUAUAAUUUACUCUAUUUUUUCAUGCAUUGUAAUAUAUAAUAUUUAUAAUUCUACUUCAUAAUAAAUUUUUAUAUACGAGAAAUAAAAAUAAAACUAUAGGAUUUUAAAACAAAAUGUUUCAAACUACAAGAUGAUAAAAUAAUAUUGAACCAAACCAUAUAGGAGUUACUUACAGCUUACCUUGAAUCAAACUGAAUAAAUCAAAAUAAGUUGAUUUAAUUUGGUAAUUCCAUGAGCUCUGAAUUUCUCUCCAUGUUUAUUUUUCUUUUUCUAUGUUUCAACACUGUUUUUUUGUUAUAAUUUAAUUAAGGGUCCAUUUGAUAUUACUACUUGACAAAAUAAAGUGGAAUGAAACUAUACACACAGAAAGAUUUCUUUUUAAUAUUUUAUGAUAGAAUCGUGGAAAGUAUAACUUAAUCGAUUUAUUAUGAUAAAAUAUAAUAUAAUUUUAUAUAAAAAAUAAAUAAAAAAGUAUUUUUUACUGCAACUUUCUCAACACACUUUCCAAGUUAUUCAGCAAUCCCAGUAGAGACUAACAGAAAAAGCAAACAACACAAUUCAGCUACGAAAAAGCUGAGACCUGUAAACCCGAGAUACCUCUCACCAUCUCUCUGGAGAAAUCCAGAGAUAGAGAGAGAGAGAGAGAGAGAAAAUGUCUCCAAAGAGUUUCCUACUUUGCAGCUUUUAGCAGUAACUUUUACAUUAUUUUUGUGUGGACAGGAUUACAUCUAAAAUUGAUCGCUUCAAAAUAAUUUUUAUGAAUCUUUUCAUGUUCUUUCCUUUCUGUCCAUUUAAGUUUUUUAAAAAUUCGAUCGUUCCCAUCAUAAAUGAUAAAAGAUUUAAUGAUUGAUAUCUAAGCUUUCAAAUUUGAAGCUUAACUACUUUAUAUUUUUAACUAAAUUUAUUUUUCUAAAAAAAUAAACGGAGUCGAUAGUAUGCUAGCACUCUUUCUCUCAAACAAAAUAAAAAAAGAACCAAUUAUUCAUAAUGUGAUGAGCCUCGUAAGUGGUCCAAAAUAAUCAAUUUAAUUAAUUUUGCUACGACAUUCAGAUUUUAGAUUUUGCAUGACAUUGAUCGACCAUUUGUAAUAAAAAAAAAUUUUAUGCUACUUCUAGACGUAGACGGAGCUAUAAUUCGUAAUAAUAUGAUAUAUUUUUUCUAUAACUGUAGUGUGAAUUUCACAAUGAUAUAUCUUAUAGAAUUGAGCUAGAAUAUUUUUCAAAGUGCUACUUUUUUGAAAUUUUUAUGUUGUUUAUUAUGAUGGAUUGCCAAUCAUUAACAUAAUUAAAAACGAUCUAUAAAAAGUGAGCUUUCUGUAAAUCAAAUUUUAUUAUUUUUCAGUAAUAUUUAUCUAGUAACUAAAUGGUUUUAAAUGUACCUUACGUAUGCCACUAAAAAUUAAUUAUUAACUCCGAUCGAAACCAUUUGGGCAAUCAAUAAAAAGUAUAAAAUUUAAUUUCUAAAAAGUUCGCGUAUCGUACAUCAUAGUUAGUACCGAACAUAACGCACAGAAAAAUCACGAAUUUAAUAUUUCUAAAUAAUACUCCUAAAUGUAUUGGAGCUCAACUGCUCUUUUGUAAUUUUUAUGGAGGUGGGUAGCAUGCUACCUAUCUCUCAAAAAAAAAUAAAUUACACAAGCUUUGCUUGUGCUGUGCUGACGUCAGCGCUGACGAAAACCAGCCAAGUCUAUUAUUUUUGGUAAUGGCCUCGAUCUGCAAUCCUUGUCACAUGGCUCGCCCUCUUUUGGUUGCUUGUAUAUAAUUUACCAGUUGCCCGCCCAGUCAUUAAAAGGAAAGAUCUUUUCAAGAAAACCCCAUAAAUAAGAAAGCAAUUUGAUCACGAAUGUGGUGUUGAUUCACAAAAAUUGAUGUCAUCUCCAAGUCAUAACACUGAGAAAAAAAAAACUCUACCUUUGACACCUUGAAGUUUUUGAUUGGUUUAAUUUCGACCAAUAAUAUGUUUGAAAUUUUUUGAGUAAAAUAUUUUGGCCGAUCUGUUUAGUAAGCUAGAAUUAAUAUUUCUAAGUGUUUUGUGAUUUGACCGCUUAUAUAUAUAUAUAUAUAUAUAUAUACUCUAUAUUUUGUAGAUAUUCGAUAGCAGAAAGAAUACCGAAAAUAUUUCAAGAUGUGCCUAAGGUGUUUAAGAACAACGAUAUGUUAGGUUCGAACUUGGAUGCGACUUUUAGUGGUAGGACAGUGUCGUAUUUACUUUAUCACUAUAUAUAAUCCGUUAUUAUAGAACCCAAUUACUAUAUAUAUAUAUAUAUAGGCCAUGGCUAUUAUACUAUUAUUAGUAUUGGAGCCCUCGUACUCAUAAGUUGUUUUCAAUGAUGGAGCUUCCGAAUUGACGAUCCACUCUGUUAAAUAUGAUCUAGAGUAUUUGAAACUUCUAGAAAAUAAAUUUCGUAAAUUUUUGAAAUCAUAAUAAAGUCCAUCAAGUGGGCAUAAAAUGAACGGUCAAAAUCGAACGACGUCCUAAAAAAGAAUGAUCGGAUCUUUCAAUUCAAGAUCGGAGUUAUUGAUCUUUAUCUAUAUAGUGAAUAGAAUUUUCUAUCAAAAAUUCAACUCGAAUCCUGAUUCUUUACAACCGUUAAACUAGCAAGUACUCCAUAACCGCCGUUAAAAAUUGUCAAUUUGUGACCUUUUGAUCGUAAGGUAAAUGAUGUCGAAAAAUUAUAAAAUUGAUUUCUAGAAGUUUUAAUACUGUAAAUAACGUUUAACGGUAUGGAUCGUUGAUUCAGAAGCUCUUCAUCGAAAACAACUUAUGAGUACGAGGGCGAUCGUACUCAUAAUAGUAUAAUAGCCGAACCCUAUAUAUAUAUUAUAUAUAUAUAUAUAUAUAUAUAUAUAUAUAUAUAUAUAUAUAUGUUUAAAAGAUUUUAAAUAAAACAACCUGUUUUAGAAAAGAAGAAUUUAAGUUAUCCAUCUCAAGUAGGACAAUGAGAGCUCAGCGCAAAUCGUGCUCGAGAUAGAAACCCAAACUAUUGGGGCCCCCAAAUUUAUUCCGUUCUUUUUCAAAAAAAAUUUUGCCUUUUCAACUUGCGAAUUUAAUAAUUUCACUAAUGUAAGAGUUUACGUCAUAAAUUUUAACACUUUCCAUGGGUAAAACCCGCAAUCUUUUAAGAUGGCCGUCCAGGUAAUAAUUAAGUAUUAGGUUAUAACUAAUGAUUGUUGUUCAGAAUUAUAAAAUGGACGAAGGAUUUGAAUUGCGCAACAAAUCAAAGUUUAUAUAUAUAUCUAUAGAAUUGGCAGGGUGAAAACACCUUUCCAGCUAACUAAAAUUUUAUAAGGGAACCCAAGUUAAACGAGUAAGGGUAGCUUAUUAGUGAAUGUGCUAUACAAACUUUGCAAUGUUUUGAUAUAUAUAUAUAUAUAUAGAGAGCUAGGCUGGUAUACUAUCGGUAGCACGGAGGCUUCUGUGCUACCAAGUUGUUUUCAAUGAUGCGGCUUCCAAAUCGACGAUCGGCUCCGUUAGAGUGAUUUAGAGAUUUAAAUGACUUAGAAAUAAAUUUUGCGAUUUUUCGAUAUCAUUUGCCUAGCGAUCGAAGGGGCUCAAAAUCAAUAAUUUUAACGGCCUGGUGAGCCGGUUGCAAGUUUAACGGUGUAGAAAUAUUCAAAUCACAUAAAUUUUGAUAGAAAAUUUUAUACCAUAUAAAACAAGAUCAAUAACUUUGGUCUAAAUUUUAAUGUCAUAUCAUCAUAUUUGUAAGAUUUUUAUUUUCAGCCGUUGAUUUUGAGUCACUCUUCGAUCACUAGGCAAAUGAUAUCGAAAAAUCGCAAAAUUUAUUUCUAGAUACUUCAAAUACUGCUAGAUCAAGUCUAACGGAGCCGAUCAUCGAUUCAAAAGUCCGAACAUCGAAAACACUUGGAAGCACGGAGCUGUGUCGUACUUCCAGAAAGCAUACCAGACGCACCUAGUUAUAUAUUAUAUAUAUAUAUAUAUAUAUAGUAUAUACUAUAAGUAUAUAUAUAGUUUUGUCCUCUUAGCUGGGGGUAAUUUAUUUUUUGACCUGUGUAUAUUUCGACUUAAAAUAUAUCAUAGUUAUAACAUUCCAGAUUCAAAUCAGUCUUAAAUUUACCAUAAUCUUGACACGUAAGUGGAAUUGAUAAGUUAAAAUGUAGCCUAUUCUUAGGAAUUAAAGGCUGGUAUUGUAUACUAUUUAUGAAAUAACUAUUAGUUAAUUUCAACACAAAAAAGAUCGUGUUUUCCUAAACCCAAUAGGCUGAUCAAGAGAAAAAAAAAAAAGAAGCAUAAGCUAGAAGUAAAAUUAAUUCCUACCUCACAAAGUUCUCAUUCAUUUCAAGGAAAUUAACUCCUCUGUUUAUUAUAGAUGCUGGGUAGGCCAUCAAAUUCCAGCACCAUGAAGUUGGUUGAUAGUACUAGAUGUCUACAACAUUAUGAAGUCGAUUAAUUAAUAGUACUGGCUAGAUGCCUGAAACCAGAAAUUUUUAGUGUACUAGUCAUGUGGUUGGCAUAUCGCGGUUCUUGUAGGGGUUGGUGUAGAUUUUUUUUUUUUUUUUUUGAAAAAUAGGUAGCAAGCUACCUGCUUCAUUCAUUAAGCGAAAUGAAAUAAGCGUACAUGAUGGAGACAGCUAGGGCCUCCUGAAAGAGCCGAAAAAAUACAAGAAAGAAAAUCUAAAAUAAAGAACUCUACACCUAUCGAUUAGACAAAGUAAACAAGAAAAGCGGGGUGGAUAGUGAAAAGGAAGAAGUGGGGACUGAGCAUGGAAGAAGGGACAAGCAAGGGUCAAAGGGCUCCGUUCCAGGCAUUGGUCAAAGAAGCGACACGUUCAAGAGCCCGGGUAGCAUUGGGAAGCACCUUGUGGAAGAUAGUGUUGUUGCGCUCAGUCCAGACGACCCACCAGAUCGCCGCUAAACGGGUUAAACUUUUCGAUCUCGUGGUGGCAUUGGGUAUGUUAGAUGUAUCUGUCCAUAGCCUCUGUACAUCCCUGGCAUCCGAUUCGCUUGCAUCUGAACCUUCGGCACAAAUACGGAUGUAUCUGACCAAGAUACAGUUCCGGAACAGAUGGUCGCAGGUUUCUGGAAAGAACACGCAAAAAAUACAAAACUGAUCCGCCAGGCACCCUCUGCGGAUCAUUCUGUCUGCAGUUAGCAGUCUCUUGCGCAGCAGAAUCCAAAUAAAGACUUUGAUUUUGACCGGAAUUUUUAACCUCCAAAAAUGCUCAUACAUUGGGGCUCUUUGACCUGCGUCGGUGAUGAAUUCAUAAAGGGACUUAAUGGUAAAAGUUUGGUUGGCCUAUACAAAAGUUCCGCGCAUAGAGUGUAAAUAUAAUUUGCACGCAGUUGUAACCAAUGUGUGCCUAUAACGCAUGAGAUGUUAAGAUCCAAUCAAUGUACAUACAUGAUUCAUAAAAGGAGAAAAAAGAGAAAAUACAAGUAGCCCUUAAUCCAUUUAGAGAUACUAAUGGACCUGGUUGGACCUGGUGAGCCCUUCAUCCAUAAAUUGGACCAGCCAAAAUCGUAUGAGAAAAAGCCCAGUUUAAUGUAGCCCAGCCAGGUCCAACCAGGCCUCACCAAACCAACUGUUCUUGCCAAAAAAAAAAGAAAAGAAAAGAAAGAAGUUUAUGGUCUUAAAAAACAAAUUGAAAACUUCUCUCUCCUUCACUUUUUUUUUUUUAAUUCCUUUCCUUGUAAACCAAAUAGUUAUGCCUGGAAAAUUAUUUCUAUUUCAUGCUAGCCCAAACACCACUAAGCAUAAAUUUUCUUUCAUGCUUUUCUAAGAAUCAUUUGUACCAAUUUAGCGGACGGUCCAAAAACUAACCCACUUAUAUCAAAUUUUUGGCUAGGUCGGUCAAAAUUAACCUGUAACUAUGGGAGAAUGAGCGAGAGUAGAAUCUGAUCCGCUUCUAAUUUUGCCCAGACCUAUAUAUAAGUGGAAUACGCUUUUAGUUUCUCAGCUUUCUUAUGUUUGUGUUGUUAUAUCAAAAAGAACAAGCGAAAGUAGAAUCUGGUCUGCUUCUAGUUUUGUUCAGACCUAUAUAUAAGCAGAAUACAUUUUUAGUUUAUCGGCUUUCUUAUGUUUGAGUUGUUAUAUCAAAACAUUUAAUUCUCCUUGCUGCAAAAAGGUCAUUUAUUUUCUAUUGGCCCUAACCCAAGUCAUGGCCAUCAUUUUUGACUUUACGAUGGUUAUCAGUUCCUUGAUUACACUGCAUUAAGGCCAUCAUUUUCAACUUUGCGAUAGUUAUUAGAUCCUUGAUUGCACUGUACUUUGCUUAGUGGUAUACAUACAUUAAUAAUAUAGAAGAUGAGGUUGAUUAUUCCAUAUAACAACAUUUUCUGCAAGGAAGAUCCCAUAUGUCAUAGUAUGUAUUAUAAUAUUCUAUCUGAGCAAUCAUUUACAUUUCGUUGUCCCGAGUCAACUUCAAGAAUGAAAUGAGGAAUAGGAAUAGUAGAACUACUUUGGUUAAAGAAAAUGAUCGAUAACAAUGAAACAUCAAACAUUGAUCAACGAGUCAAAAAAAAUAUAUAUAUUGUAGUUCAUUAAAGAUGGGGGUUGUGCGUAUGUGUCAAUACUUUUUUUUUUAGAGAGAUAAGUAGCAUGUUAUUGUUUAUUUCAUUUAGAAAUAAACUUAGCUGGAAAUGUGAAUUAAUUAGGAUUCGAAUUUGGAACCUCUGGUACCAACCACCAAGUCCUUCGCUACUUGCGCAAGGGACGGUCGGUCGUACGCCCAACAAAUUGUAUCCAAGCUCUUCUUCAAGAUUCGUGCGGAACUAAUCCGCCGUCUUAAUUAAUUAGUUUUUAUGUCAUGCUUAUUUGGAACAGUAGACUAACACCCAACUAAUUAGUAGAUUUAUUUACAGCUAUGGAGCAUUGGAGUUUCUUUAUUUCUGUGCAUGUGGGCAUCGUCGUGUAGCUAGUAUUUGUAUCUCUGGAAUAUACAUAUAUCCUCAGAAGAUAAGGCACAUGUAUUGAAAAGAGCACACUUUUCAAGGACAAAAACUCACCACUGCAGCUGCAUGUAUAAUCACAAGUCGCGAAUAAUUGGUGGGUCACUCAUGGCUCAAUUUUGGCCGGUAGAGUAUGUGAUCUUACGUACGCCAAGGAGUACUACUAAUCAACAGAUGCUCUACAUGAAUUGGGUUCGACUGGGUUGGAUGACAACCAUUUCUUAGGGCAGGAUCAAUUCAAAAAUACACGUACAAUCAAUCGAUUAGACACUGAACGAAUCAGGAUACAGCUUUAAAAUGGGUCCUAAAGAUUAAGACACUACAAUAAAUUAUAAACGGAUAGUUGAUAAUAAAAUAGUUUGAACAUAAAAGAAAAUAACUUGCAUGGUUAUAUGUAUCCAAAUAGUUAUUAUUAAUUAAUAUUAUACUACCUUCUGACCAAGCGGCAGUAGCAAGGAUAAUGCUAAUAAUAAUAAUAAUAAUAAUAAUACCUAGUAUGAGCGGGCUAAAUUCAGGGGUCCCACACUUUUGUCAACAUCGUAACUUGGAAUACUCAACUUCGCGACUUGGAAAAAUAAUAAUGCAUAUAUAUUUGCUUUUGUAGAGAGACCAAACGGUGUUCAGCUCAUAAAAAAUAUACUAGUAAAUUAUUUUAACAAGGCCUUUUUGCAUAAAAAAUCUACUUAUUUUGGGCUUUUGCAAAACCGGGUCACCUUUUUCGUUUUUGCAGAUUCGGUCCGCUUUUUAGCAAACUGACCAAAAUACCCUUAUUACUUUUUCUCUUUCCUCUUUCUCUCUCCUCUUCGUUUCUGUCGUUCUUUUUUUUUUCUCGCCGAAAAAAAAAAGGCGGACCGUCGCCUUCUUCUUCACCGUCGUCUCCCUCCUCACNAUGACCCGAUUUUGCAAAAGCCCAAAAUAAGUGGAUUUUUUAUGCAAAUUGGCCUUUUAACAAAGAUUUCAUACUUAAUUAUUAUGACAAUUAAUUAGGAUAGAAUCUUGACUUAGUACUUAGAUAAUCCAAGCAUGUGAAUAAUCAGCCAAUUAUAUUAUUUUCUAAAAAAAAUAUAAUAAAAAUAUUUUUUAAUAAUUAUAAUAAGACGAAUGAAUUGAAAAAAAAAACUAAUUAAUUAAAAAUACUAUAUCAAUAAUAUAAUUGGUACAUACUAGAUUUUUUUUUUUUUUUUCUGUACAUGUUGCUGCUGCUGCUCGUGUCAUAGGAUAUGUUUUUGUAAAAUUAAGCAGUUAUAAAAUUGCGUGCAUUCAUGAUACAGUUUGAUCAGUCACAUGUCGAUGACGUGAUAAUUGCAUUUAUUCUGCAUGAUAAAUACACAUAGAACGCGCCUUACGGCAGUUUUAGUCCCUCACACGGUCACACUGAACCCGUCAUUCUCACAACAUAUACUCCAAUGGCAAUCCCAACUGAUGAAGUGAAGGACGUCGCCAUCGCCGCCGCCGCCAUGCACUCCGCUCCUCCUCCUCCUCCUCCUCUGCAGUCGUCGUCGUCGUUGUCAUCGCUCCCUCGCCGCAUGAUCAAACCCUCCCCACUAGUCCUACUCAACGGCGCCCUCAUGCUCCUCGGCGGCGGCGGGCCUCUCCUCCUCCGCCUCUACUUCGUCCACGGCGGCCACCGCCUCUGGCUCCCCAGCCUCCUCCAGCUCUGCGGCUGGCCCCUCCUCCUCCUCCCCCUCUCCUUCUCCUACCUCCGCCGUCGCACCGCCGCCAGCAAUUCCCCCCACCUCCACCGCCGCCGCCACAUCGCCCCGCCCCUCGCGGCCGCCUUCGUGGUGCUCGGCCUGCUCAACGGCCUCGACUGCUACCUCUACGCCUUCGCCUCCUCCGACCUCCCCCUCUCCACCUCGUCCCUCCUCAUCUCCACCCAGCUCGCCUUCACCGCCUUCUUCGCCUUCGCCAUCGUGCGCCAGCGCUUCACCGCCUACUCCGCCAACGCCGUCGUCCUCCUCACGCUCGGCCCGGCCGUGCUGAGCCUCGGCUCGCGGUCGGACCGGCCCGUGGGGGAGUCGGCGGCGCAGUACUCCACGGGCUUCAUCCUCACCGUGGCCGCGGCGGCGCUCUUCGGGCUCUUGUUGCCCCUCAUGGAGGGCGCCAUGAGGCGGUGGAGCAAAGAGGAGAUCACCUACACGCUUUUGAUGGAGUUGCAACUCGUGCUCGGCGUCGCCGGCACCGCAUUCUGCCUCGUCGGCAUGGUUGUCAGCAACGACUUCAAGGUAAUUAAUUGAACACACGUUAUUAUUAAUUUGUAGUGCUUAAUAAUUUAAUUUUUCAUUUUAACUUGUACGUAUAAUUAACAUGUAGACAAUUGAUAGGCAUAGGAUCAGCGAGAUUAAUGGUAGUAAUUAAUUUGAACUGAUCUUACCUAUAGAUUUUAAUAUGCACGACCUAAUUCGCCACUAAUCAUAGACUAUCAACAUCUAAUCCUAAACUAUUUCUCACAAAGUUGAUUUUCUCGUAACGUGGUAUCCGAGCUUAUCUAAGACUUAAUUUGCUAUUGAGAUCUAUCUAAUACUAUUAGAUAAAAUAAAAUUAGACUAAAAAAUAUAUAAAGAUAUACUUCUGCGCUCUGGUGGGACUAUAGAAAAUAUAUUGUAACCGAUUAAUCGCAAUAUGCAAAACGUAAUGUUACGUACGAAAAUAAAUAUUAUAUUUUUCCAUCGUACAUAAUUUCUCAUCGUAUGUAACGUAAUCUCUUCAUAAUCCGAUUCAAAAGAAGAAAAAAUUCAAAGUAAAAAAAAAAAUUUCAAAGGGAAUAGCAUUAGUUACCUCUUUCUCAAAAAAGAAAAAAUAUUAUUUCGUUGUUCUUUAUUUUUUCGUCGCACUAUUAUCUUUCUACAUAGCCUAUUAAUAUUUAUUGGAUCUAGUAUUUCCUUUUUCGAUCAAAACAAUUUGUUUAGUUCCAAUCCACUCGCAGGAGCACCAAUGUUUCCAUCACCGAGAUUGUUACAUGCUCACCCAGAUUUUUUUUUUUUUUUUUUUUGAGAAAUAGAUAACACACUACCCGUUUUGUUUAUUUCAUUUAGAAAUAAACUUAGCCAAAAAUGUAAAUCAACUAGAAUUCAAACUUGGGUCUCGAAUACCAACCAUCAAGUCUCAGGCACCAACCACCAAGUCCUUUUCCACUUGCACCCGGUCACCCAGAUAUUUAUUAACAUUCCAAUGCACUACAGCGAGUGAUGAGAGAGCGUGGAAAGUUGGGAGAACAUUUGCAUUAUUUUCGCAUUGAAUACUACUCUAGACUACAUUGCGACGGUUACUAGUAGAUGUCAAUUCCUUGAGAAAAGAAAAACUUGGCCGGCCAUGAUUGAUACUCGUUGAUCAUUUACCAAAACUUAACCAUCAAUACAUAAUUAUGAAAGAAAUAUUAUAUUUGCGGAUAAUGCAUUUGAUAGUUGAUAGAUUGUUUAUCAUGAUAAGGGGAUUUUUUUUUUUUGACAGAGAUAGAUAGCACGAUACCUACUUUAUUUAUUUCAUUUAAAAAUAACUUAAUUAGAAAUGUGAAUUAAUAAGGAUUCGAAUUUGAAAUCUCAAAUAUCAAUCAUCAAAUUUUUUGCCACUUACUCUAGAGACAGUCGGUCAUGAUAAGGGGAUCAAACACAAUCCACGCCAUGGUCUUAUACACCUUUCAUCUCGGCCAAUCCUCCUAACCUGUCACACAUAUAUAUGUACUACCGUUGUUGUUGGUACGUUGGGUGCAAUUAGUUGUAGAUUAAUCAAACUAGCUCACAUAUAUAGCACUAUCAUUUACUAACUAAAGUACUUUUUUUUUUUUACUUGAAGAGUAAAAUAAUGUGUUGCGGGACAAAAAUUAUAUAGGAUGCCUUAUCAUGAAGAUAGAAAUUAUAAGUGGUUCAUAUCUAUUGAUUAGACUGUCUCUUCUAGAGAUGUCAACAUGUCGGAUUCGGGGUGGAUUUUUAAAAAUUCAAACCCGAACCCGACUCCAAACCCAAGACCCGAAUCCGAAUUCAAACCCGAACCCGACGGAUUUUAAAAAUUUAUAUCCAAAUCCGAACCCGACCAAAAAUCCGAAACCCGAACUCAAAAAUUUGAAUCNUUAAAUCUAAAUUUUUAAAAUACAAAUUCAAAUAUAACAUCAUAUAUAUAUAUAUAUAUAUAUAUAUAUAUAUAUAUAAUACAAAAUAAAUUCGGGUUCCGGUAGGAUUCGGGUUCGGGUCGGGUACAGUCAAAACCUAUAUCCGAAUUCAUAUCCAAAUUCAUAUCCAUUUAGCAUCGAAUAUAUCCAUUUUAUUCGGAUUCAGAUUUGAAUAAAAUUUCGAAUAUCCAUACCAUUGACAUCCCUAGUCUCUUUUGUAAGAUGCUCGUGGCCCUCUAGUUGGGCCGGUGAAAACAAAGGCCAGUAUAGUGAUAGGCUUUGGCCCAGAUACAGAUAUUUUUUAUUGAGAGUUAAUUGGGCUCGCCCAAUCCAGGCCCAGUGUGAGAUGUGGUCGACGUAUAUCGCGGAGAGAUUGUUGCCUGGAGUUGGUUCACCACCUCAGCAGUGGAGUACGAAAAUCUCUGUGCUCUCGAAAGUAUACAAAGCGUACUCUCUCUAUCAGUGAGAAUAUAUUUGGAAGGAAUGAAGGUACGAAGAAUGAACUGCCUAAGUAAUUCAUGGCCAAUUUGGUGGGUCAGUUCCACGCAAUUUUUUUUUUUUUUUUUUUUUUUGAGAGAUAGAUAGCACGCUACCCGCUUCGUUUAUUUCAUUUAGAAAUAAACUUAGUUGAAAAUGUGAAUCAACUAGAAUUCGAACUUGGAUCUCGAAUACCAACCACCAAGUCCUUUGCCACUUGCUCUAAGAACGGCCGGUGAAUUACACGCAAAAUUGGUGGGUCAAUUCCACGCAAAAUUGAUCUCGUCACUAGGAAACAUUCUCAAUUUGAGUUUUCCCCCUCUAUGUUCUAGCUCUGCAUUUGCAAUAACAACAAUCCUCAACAAACUUAAAUUCAUAUCUAAACAAAGUUUAAAUUCGUUGUUCAAAUUUGCACAGGCGAUUCCUAAAGAAGCAAGAGAAUUUGGCCUUGGAGAAACCAAGUACUACAUGGUGCUCAUCUGGGAUGCCUUAUUCUGGCAAGCAGUUAACAUGGGCAUGGUAGGCGUCAUCUGCUGCGCAUCGUCGCUGCUCGCGGGGAUCAUGAUCGCGAUCCUUCUCCCGCUGUCGGAAAUCCUUGCAGUCAUGUUCCUCGGCGAGAAGUUCGACGGUAGCAAGGGCGUCGCCCUCGCCCUCUCCCUCUGGGGAUUUAUUUCUUACUUGUACGGCGAGAAGCGGCAGGGCGAAAAGAAAAGGCAAGCUGCGGAGGUGGAGUUGCCGGCGCCGUGAAGGCAUUACUUGCUGUUCGGAUAAAGGAAGCCAUCAAUAUCCUUUUUCCACCUGAAUUUAAGUUCUGUUUCGACAAAUUUGAAACUAUUCAAUUUCUAAGGCAUUCGAUUUACUGCAUGCGAAGAAUCUAUGAGAAACGCAUGAAUUCAAAUAUGUACAGUUGGAAGCUUAAUUUGCUGCAACACUUCUCCCCCUUCCAACAUGUACAAUUUGUUCUAAAAUCAAAUUUGGUUGGAAUCAAAUUGGAUUUAACGGGAUUCUACAUCAUUAAAUAAUCUGAAAAAAUUAUGGUAUGAAAAAUUAUCCAUUGAUAAGGUCUGAGCUAGUAAAUUCUCGCGGAGUAUUUUUAUUGUUCAUAUAAUAUUGUUCGUAUGUUCGAACUAAAUAAUAACAAAUAUUUUUAACUUAGUUCAUUUGCGUACUGUAAUACAUUACAAAAGUUUUGUUAAAAUCCAAAGAAAAAAAAAAAUAGCUUGAGAAUUUUAAUUAAUUAAUUCAUACACAACAAGGUACGUGAUUUUAGUGUCACGGCAAAAUCAGAUGUUGGAAAUCGUGUCUGAGGCCCGAAGUAUCCGUGGCCUUUAAAGGAAGUCAACGCCACGUCAUAUCCGACGUUUCCCGUUACGGGGACGAAGCUCAGUUCCCAAAAAAAAAGAAAAAAAGAAAAACUACGCUGCUUCUCGAAGAAGCUUACUGGAACCCCUUAUGCACCGCACCUGAUUUUUGUUAUUAAUUAAUUUUUAAAUUAAAUAUUAAUCCAAUAAUUAUGGUCUUAAUCACCGAAAGGGACGACAUAUAAAAUAUUGUAAUGUUCAAAACCUAAUGCCAAAAUAUCAGGUAGACUUAAAAUAUAUAGUAGAAAAAUGAUUUAUUUGAUUUGUGAAAGAUAGGUGUCUAGAGUUUUUGAUUUUUACAUAUAGAUUUUUAAAUAUUAUAGAACAUACUUAAGAAAUUAUGAUUUCAGAGUACAAACAGAAUAUUUUGAAAGUUAAAGGGAUCAUUUAUGUUAGUAUUAUUUAUGAUAAUAGGAUAUCCAAAUCGCUAAUCAACAUUAUCAAAUUUAAUCUAAAAUAUUUGAAUAAUCUAAAUUACAAAUUUCACAAAAAUUUAACAUUAUUCUAAUAUUCAUGUGUCAUAAAAUUGACUUAUUUUUAAUGGCUAAUUUAUGAUAAAAUUUGAGACAAUUUAAUCACUUAAAAAAUAAUGUUAAAAAUUAAUAAUAUUUGAGCUCUAGAAAUUUAAAUAGUCUAGAAUUAAUUUGUUAAAAGACCCCAAUCAUCAAUUCGAAUAUCCUACCAUGGAAAAUAAUACGAAAAUAAAUAUUUUCAUUUAAUUACUUGUAGAAAUAUUCUACCCCUACGAAUGAGUUUGAGAGCUCUAUCAUGGAGUUUUUGAGACCGUGGUGUAUGAGAUGUUUUUGUACACCCGGUUCAUGCAAACAUUUCGUACAAUCCGAGCUUAGAUGUUGUUUGACUUUUUUCUCCAAUAGAAACGAAACGUUAUAAUUAAUCUGUUGACUUGCACAUUAAUUAUUUCUCUUUCAAUCUUCAACGUAAGUGCAUGGAUUCUUUUUGCGAACUUUGCCGUGCGAGUUUAAAAUUUUUUGAAGUGAAUUUUAAUCUCUUACUAUUGGUUAUUAGACUUUUGCUGUUUCUUUACUUGAUUCCGAAAUAAAAGAAUUAAUUAAUUUUCUCUUACAAAAUGGGUGUCAAAUUAUUUUUUAUCAGUCAAGAACUGUACGUAAAAUAUUAUAUGGAUCACGUUCUAAUUUAUUUACUAUUUCUGCUCGUUGUUCAAUUGGAUUUAAUAAAUCUUAAUAUGUUAUAAUUAAGAACCAUUUCUUUAAGCUGAGGAGCCGUUGAUAGGAUAUAUAUAUAUAUAUAUAUAUAUAUAUAUAUAUGUAAUUAGUGUUGAAGAAUUUGAAGCGCGUAAAGCUCAAAUGCUUUACAUGAUAAGUACAUGAGCUUAAAAAAAUUGCUAAUUCCACUAUUUUUUUAAUUUACUUAAUAGGUUUUGGAAUUAAGGAUAUAUUAAUUUGAUUCUUCAUAUGUUAGUGCUUAUAGGCUUUCAUUGUACGUGCUACGUUGCAAUCGCAGUUCAAUUACUUGUUGAUAAUAGUCGGUUUGAAAAGGUAAGAUAAUUUCAAUUGUCAAAUAUAAAAACAUGAAAAUAUUAUUUUCUCGUAGCUUAUAUUUUUUAGAGUAAUUCAUGCAUCGUUUCGCAAGUAUAAAUCUAGCUUCCAAUAGAUUUUGAAAUAUUGGUCCAAAAAAACUAAGACAAUAACUUAUCGACCAAUAAAUGUAAACUGCGUGCGCUCCAUCUCCAUGUGCACAAACUGGUUAAUUACACUUGUUCAAGUUAUUUAAAAUCAAUUACUUAAUUUUCCAGCUAAGUCAAAUUAAUUGAAAUACAGAUAAGAAAAUUCUUGUCGUAUUUUGGACAUUGCGUACAUUGCAUGUGCCUUAUAAGUGAUUACGCUACUUUAUAUAUGAUAACAUGAUAAUGAUGCGUGUGAUCUUUUGAUUCGAAAUGUAGCGAAAAGGAGCAUAUUGAUUCCCUUCCUACUCAAGAUUCAAAUUUCACGUGCACGUACCAGCUCCAAGCGAGUUUUAGUCAUCGCAUGCACGUGAGAUCCUUCUCCUGUAAUUUUCUUUUUUAAGAAAAACUUUAAAUAUUGUUUUAGUUUAAUGAAUUUAUAUUUUACUCUCUAACCACUUUAUUUGCUUCGUCUUUUUGUAAUAAUUUAGAAAUUCUUUCGUCAACCUUAGAUUAGAAAUGAUACGCAAUAUAUAAAGCGAUAAUAAAGCGUAAUAAGUAAAACCUACAAAAUAUAUAAUUUAAAAAAUUCUUUCGUCAAUGUUUUAUUACUCUAGCUGUGAUUCUACCGACAAUAAAGCGUAAUAAGUAAUUAAAACCUACAAAAUAUUAUAAUACAAAUAAGUUAACAAAAAUCGAUAAUAUAGGCCGUAAAAAAUUUGAUAGUUGAUAUCCGAAGUUUCAAAUUCUGAAAUUUAAUUAUUUUAUAUAUAUUCAGCAUUAAGUUUAUGUUUUUAAACGGCAUAAGAUUACUUCCGAAGAAAAAAAAAAAAGAAAGGGAAAGGAAGAGAAAAAGUUGGAAUGGAUCCUUUGGGAUCAACUCCAUCUGUUUCCAUUAAUAUUCCAAUCUCUAAUUAAAUGGUGCCCACUGAUCCAAUCUGGGGGAAGGCACAUCCACAACAACAACAACAACAACAACAACAACAACUACGUACUACUACUACUCCCAUGGGCAUUUCAACUGCAACUAAUCCCCACCAUUUUACCACAAAACUCCCCCAGUACGCCAAAAGGAGAAGCUUCUCCUCCACCUCUUCCUCUUCUAGCCACUCAGCCCCUAAGCGCUUCCUCCUUGCCCUUGUCACCUUCCUCGCCCUCCUCCAUAUCCAAACCCUAACCCACACCCUCAACAACCACCUCAAGCUCCCCCUCUCCUCUUCAUGGCCCCUCGCCUUGUCUCUCCUCCCCGCGGCCGCGCCGUCCGACAUCGCCUUCCUCCCGUUGAAGGACCUCCGCUUCUCCAACACCCCCAUGGACGGUGAGCUUUUUCUUCUGAACAACAGUUAUUUCACAUGCAUAUAUGGUAUUGCUAUGUCUUAUUUACUGUUAGAGAAUAACGAUUGUUUCGCAGGUAACACAUGGUUCAUGAGCUCCCUUAACGACACUUAUGAGCCCGGCGAAACCGAACACCUCCGCUUCCCUUCCGACGCCUCCGGAGGCCGCCUGUUGUGCCUUGCAGGCAGCAGCGCGUCGGACGGCACGCGGAACGCGUACGCACUGGCGCCGCCGCAUGGUCUGCGUGGCGUGCGGUUGCUUCGCGGGCUCACGUUCGUAUCAGACACAUACUACGACUACGAGAACCUAUGGCACGGGCUGUCGGCGGUGGUGCCGUUCGCGGCAUGGCACGCGCGCAACGGGUGCGUGCGGCCCGCACGGUGGGUGCUGUACCACCAGGGGGAGCUGCGGACGGGGAUGGGCCCGUGGGUGCGGAAGGUGGCAGAGACAGUGUUCGGGACGGCGAUGCAGAUGGAAACGUUCGAGGGGGGUCAGCCCAGGUGCUUCGAGGAGGCAGUGGUGUUCCGGCACAACGAGGGGUCGAUGACGAAGGAGAAGAAGAAGAGGGUGUACGACAUGUUGCGGUGCAAAGCGAGGGCGUAUUGUAAUGUGAGUAGAGAGGCAGAGAAGGAAUCGAACGAGUUAGAGAAGGUCGUAAUAAGAGUGACGUUGCUGUUGAGGGUGGGGGCGAGGUCGUUUAAGGAUGAUAAGGGGGUGAUAAGCGUGUUCGAGAGGGAGUGUAAGAAGGUGGAGGGGUGUCGCCUCACGGUGGCGAGACCCAACAAUUUGACCUUCUGUGAUCAGGUAAUUGGUGGCUCAUAUAUCCGCCCUUUCCUUUCCUCCUUUUGCUUUGUUGAAUUCGAUUAUUUACUGAAUCCGAUCGAAUUCAAUCAAUGUAUAUAAUCUGCACUCAAUAACAAUGGCUUAUGGAGAAAAAGAAAAAAAAAAAAAGAAAAAAAAACACAUGAUAACAUCAAAAAAUUAAUAAUCCACAAAAAUAAUUGACCGCACCGGUGGUCCAUUGGCAGGUUAAACUAAUGAGCGAAACGGACAUCCUGGCGUCGCCGCACGGGGCGCAGCUCACGAACAUGUUCUUCAUGGACAGGAACAGCAGCGUCAUGGAGUUCUUCCCUACAGGGUGGCUCAAGCUCGCAGGCCCCGGCCAAAAUGUCUUCCAGUGGCUCGCCAGCUACUCCGGGAUGCAGCACCGAGGGGCCUGGCACGACCCCAACGGCGACCGCUGCCCCUACGCUAACGCCACUGCCCGCUGCAUGAGCUUCCACAAGAACCGCCGCAUCGGGCACAACACGGCGUUCCUCGCCAAUUGGACGUCGACGGUGCUCCGCGAGGAGCACCGUCGCAUGGCGGCCGUCGACCAGGCCAAGCUCAAAGCGAGCCAAGGGCCUUGUCAAUGUGACUAGCUAGCUGAGUUAGCCGACACGGCCGACCUGGGGGCUGGGGAACUAGAGAGCGGAAUUGUAAGAAUUGAAACGUAUAGAGAGAUGUGUCAACAAUAAAGACCUGAACAUAGCUCAGGUCGUACAACGGCCAAAGUCACAAAAGGCAACACAAAAGCGUGUAUAUAACAUGCUGCUUUUAUAGUAAGAGAACCAUUUUAAAAAUUUCUUUUACAAGUUCGAGACACAAAGUUCCCCAAAACAGAAUGCAAUAUACUGCGAAAGUUUCCACAUUCUCAAAUUGAAUUGUAUUCAAUGUGUGCGCCUCACUCAAGGAAUUCGGCCAAACAUCGCUUUUCCAUUUCUUUAGUAUAUUAUCUCAAACUAGUGUGCAGGAAAUCACCUUAUAUGUCUUCUGGUCAAAAUAAACAAAAAGAAAAAAAUAUAACUUUUAUCGCCUCGUUAUCAUUAUUUUCUAUUAUAAAUACUUUUCAGAGUCUAAUAUAUAAUGGCUGCUAGACAUAAAUGUGUUGUCUCUAAUGUUAACUCAUAUAUUUAAACUUAAAAACAGUACCAAGGAGUCGCUAAAUGCUGCUAACAUGUCUACGAACACGAGGCGAAGCUUGGAUUAUUGAGGUUGUCCAUGUACGAUUGAAAUCAGUUUCCGCUAUUCUUGUGAAAACCAAGUUCUAGUAAUUCGCACAAGCCUAGAGAGAUUAACAAAAACUGUUCAUACCCCAAAACUGAAUUAAUUGCGGAGCUAAAGUUGUACAGCCCAGCAGAAAAAAAUAAUAAUAAAAAACUUCUAAGUAUAAGCACAUUUGGAAGCAAUAUAAGACUUUUAAUGAAGCAGUAUGAGAUUUGAGCAACUUCCACAUAUUAUAUGUUGGAUUAUAUAAUUCCUACUCUUCAGGUUACUACUGUUCCAAGUGAGAUAGGGAUUUAAGGACAUUACUCCUACCAUUUUACCUGCCUACCCCACGUGGGACAAAAUUCACAAAAUUUCAGAGUUAUUUAUGAACCCUAUCUUAGCAUUAGCAAUGCACUUGUAAAAGAGGAAUACUUCUUAGUUACUCAAGCCGCACUGGUGAAACUUAGUGCCGACCGCUUUGAACUUUUUGUCUCUUCAUGUGCUAUGAAAUUUGGACCAGAGAUAGACCGCAAAGAAGCAGAGCAGAGCAAAGAGGGCAACAUGGACUACUACAUGGUUCGAGCCCUGUUGUAUGAUUCUCCGGUUCAUUUUCCUUAUGUUGUUCUUCAACCCCGCCUGGGCUUUUAUGAGAGUCAUUUGCUGUACAGUAACCAAAAUUGCAUCACACAAAGCUUGAGGCAUGGAUGUAAAGAAAUAAUUAACGGACCGCCCCAUCUACAAGUCGUUUAAUUAGUAGGACUUGACUUAGGUGCGCAUGGGCUCAUGUGAGUACAGACUACAGAAUGAUACCAUACAAAGGAUUUUGACUGAUGAAAUCUGUUACCACAGGCCAGUUGAACAUGGGUCAAAAGAGAAUCAUACAGUAGUAAGAAAUAAUUAGAUUUACAAAUGUCUACAACUGACAUAAGUCGGAGGACUAUCAAGCUAUAUGGAAACAGAAAUCGAAAUGGAAGGGAAACGGAAAGAGCAAAGAGUAGUGACUGCAAUGAACAUAGGCCAUGUGAUAUAGGCAUAGCGCAUUAUCAAAUUGUCGCUAUAUGGUUGCAUUUGUACUUCUUAAGUGACCUGUUUCUUAAGGAUCUUUGGUUUACCCCCAUUGUAAUUUGGGUUUAAAUCAGGUUUCGAUCCACACUAAAACGUUUGAUCAUGAUUUCAUGAUCGACUACAGUUUCGAAUCCAUCUCUACAUGAAAACCUGUAUCUAUUUGAAAACUCAAUCUAAAACCUUUUAAAAUUGUAACUUCAGGUAGAAAACCUAAGAAGCCAUUAGAAAUUUAGGUAUGUAUGCAGUACGCGUGCUAAUUUAACGAAAUUUGUGAAAGGUGCAUAUUAAAAACACAAAUAGUGGCCUCAGGGCAUCUAAUUAAGUGAUACAAAUGAUACCACAGGGCCUCAAUGACCAAGAGCCCACAAGGCCAAGCUUGUUUUGAGAGAUCUAUUACCAACGAGGCCUUUGAGUGCAACGGGUUCGGGCUGGACAGGACCAUGACACCGAAUGCCAUAAUUCACCUAUGGGCCUAUUAUCAAAUGGGUGUCUAAAAUUAUGAAGCUACUGAAGGGCAAAAGCGUCAUUUAGAUAAAACAAUCAUCAACUUCUUUUUUUAUGUGCAGCUUGCUGAUGGUAGUCAAAUCGCAAAUGGAAGGGAUAAACUUUCAAAAUAUAGGAGGACAUAUAUGAUCAAUAAACAAGUAUGCAAAAUUACUAUUUUGCAAGUACACAUGUGGCUGGCACGUGCGUGAGCGCGCGUGCACAAACACACGCACAGAUACAGAUAAUGGUGCAAAUUAUGGAACUAACCAAUUUAGAUAUGAAGUCCUUUUGAAACUGGGCUUCUGUUUCUAUCUCCUGAGCUACCUGCAAAAUGUCAUAUUGAAUUCUUGUAAAAUAUGUGCAUAAAAAAUUCUAACUUGAUGAGAAUUCUUAACAACUGAAAGUAGACAAUUUAGAUAGUGCAUCAAAUAAACAUAGUAGAUUUAGAAACUAAUAAAAAAGCAUACAAACAUACUACAAAGUGACCAAAAAAAUGGUUGAGAUUAACUUUUCUGUAGAGCACAUAUCAUGUAGCAUUAAGACAACAUUUUCCUCACACUUGCAUGAUUGAUGAGAAGUCAGGUCCAUAGCGCUAUCUUAAGACAAUUGCCUACAGUUAAAUAAACAUUUUGACUAUAAUAUAGAUGAAGCAAUGUUAAAAUGAAGAAUAUAAGGAAAGAAGCUGUGCCAAAUUACUCUUUCUUAUUCCUUCCAUUAAUCUAUACACUGAAAAAUAAUUAAAACCAGGCCGUUCACAUAAAAAUGCUAAUAGAUUUUUUAAAUGCGUUAAGUGUUAAUAAUACAGCAUCUACCAACAUUCAACAAACAAAGGUUUUGUAUCCCCAAUGACAAGGCUUCUCUGUUUAGCAUUAAUCUGCUCAAUGAAAGAAGUAAUAAAAAGAUAACUUUGUUGUGCAUCAUACAUUAUUCAUUCGGAAUCGAUGAAUUUAGGUUUGGGGUAAUCAUUGUUUCAUCAGCUUAAAUUUUUUAACUAUAUACUGCACUCAACGUGCAUUCCCUAUAAAAGUAACUUUACUACAAGUAAGCAAUAUACUCAUCAUUUUCCUGCCUCUUCUAGGUAUUGCUAUUUACUAGGAUACUUUGAAACCUAGGGCAAUCCCAUCCCCAAAAUUUCAUCGAAAGGAAUCAAUUGAGAAAGAGACGAAGACCCACCCCUUUCAAUCUCCGGAUCUGGCCACGGAGCCCGGUGAUACUCUCGUCCAAGUCGCCGUGCAUCGGAUCGAUCUGCAGCUGUAUCUCUUCCGAUCUCUCCGGCGCCGCCGUGGACCUAGCGAUGAGCCCUUCCCUGCAACAGCGAAAUCGAUAGGGAAAUAGGAGAAAUUGUGGAAAUUUGAAACCAUACUAGGACACGGAGAUCGCGAGAGAGAGAGUUCGGCCAUUGCAGGGGACAAGAGAUGUACCUGGAUCGAAGAGUAUGGGAGCCGUGGAAGGGAUUCGCCAUGGGAAGAGGAGGAGGAGGAGGUGGUGGUUAGGGAGGAGCACGGAGAAGACGAGCACGAAAUUUGAAGCGGCAAAAAUGGAAGGGAAAAGGGAGCGGGAGUGAGGGGAGGCGACUCCGCGAAAGAAUCGUAGGGCCGAACCGGCCGGUUCGCCAGUGGACCGGAAUCGCAAAAAGAGAUGGACCGAAUAAGCAUUGUAAAUGGGUUGCGUUGGGUCGAUGGGCUAAAUUUGGGCCCAUGGACCAAAGCAAUUGGCCCAAAUAUAUAUAGCUUCUUUUUUUUUUUUUAGAAACUAUUUUCGGGAGCAGCGAAAAAAAAAAUACGAGCGAGUGAUAUAAGUAACAUUUGAGAAGCAUAAGAUGGCAUAAGAUGGACAUUUAUGUUACAUAACCAAAGCUGAUUCGCAUACAUAAACACAUUGAGCUAAAACGUGUGUGGCUCAAGCCAAAAGGAAGAGUAGGUGCACCCCAACCAAACAUGUUGGGGGGGUAAAUGCAACACAUCUCUUUCCUCUACCUUCUCCCUCUUUGCAUAUACUAGCUUCAACGUAAAGCACACUACCUUUAUUAUUCUGAUUACAUUCCCUGUAGUCACCAUAAAAAAAGAAGUUGUGGGCGUUAAAAGUUUGAACAGCCUAUGUAAAGAAAGCACUCAUACAGCCUUAUAUUAUUCUAUGUAGAACUUAAUCUUGUCCUUGUCACAGUAGGGCCCAUUCUGUUACAUCACACUUAUGUUUUUAAAUAGCUAAAAUGAACAACUCAAAUUGUGAGGUGUUGAGGAGACACAGAAUGUUGUAAACUGUUGCUCUAUGGAGCAGGAGCAGGAGCAGGAGCAGGAGCAGGAAAAAGGUUCAUUUCUCUUCCUCUUCUUCAAUCUUGUUCUUGUUUAUUUCAAUCUAAAAAUAAGCAAAAUUACAGGGUCCAAGGUUGAUGAACCACUUGAUCGUGUUCAAACAAGCUCCACAGUGCUCGAUUACAUGGUGCGCUCUCUCACAUACAUACUCAUUACGUCAUAUACCGGAUUAUACUAUACAAGCAAAUUUGCAUGUGACAUAUUAGCAAACUAGCACACAAAAUAACAUACAAGAGCAGUAUUAUGUACACACUGCUAUACAAUACUGCAAGACUAUGGCAUUAAUCCACAUUUCUUCUGAAUAAUAAUAACAAAGUUUGCUAUUUUUAUUGCUAUUUUUCUUAUGGCCUCGUUUGGAGCCUAGGAUUGAGAUAUUUAGGACUUUAUAUUGCUUUCCUUGAGCACCAAAUUUGAUCAAUCAAAAUACAACUUAGACAUCAAAGAUAUAUGGAAAUCCUCUUUGCUAAGUGCAGGGAGUGGCCAAUACAAAUGCAAUGACGGAGAACGAACAAAAGAUCCGGGAUGAGUUGGAGUCCGAAAUUGAGAGGGGUUUGGAAGAAGAGAUUAAAGAUGGCAUAUAUGGCCUCGCACUCCGCCUCCAAAGAUUGUAUCUGCACAAGCAGCAUAGGAAGAUGUCGGCAUCGUCAACUAGUUCUAAUAGGGAACCAUCGCACGGACCAAAAAGUGAACGUCUCUCCGAGCUGAAUAUCAUUAUUAGAUCAGAUGGCAAGAGCAAGAUUGAGACAUAUGAAGUCAAGCCCAGUUUUCACAACCUAGUUAGACCAUACAGUUCUCGAUCUAAAGCUAAGCAAGUAAAGUUGCGCAAUUGCAUCAGUCAAUUGGAUCAGUCGAAGUUACUUCGACCGCAAAAAGGAUUCAUAGGUGGCAGUAAAAUGAAUAGCUCUUUGGGGUUCGAACCUCAAGAGGAAUGGUUGGAUGCCUCUUGUCAAAAUGACAAACAGUUCGAGAGGAAAAAUAAGAAAAAGAUUGGCUCGGAAUGGAAAUAUUAGCAAACCUGGAGUAAUACUAAGUGAACGGAAUAAUAAAACUGCAAAACCAGGCUCUUCAGAGCACGUCCAGGAACCUUACCUUAUACUUGUAUUAAAGUUGUGUGAAUAAAUCUUGUUUGUGAAAUAUGAAGAAUAAAUAUGAAGAGAUUGAGAAUUGAAACACUAAACCACCAUGAUUUUUGUGAUGUUCCAUUUUACCAACUAGCCUGUAGCAAUAGCUAAAAUUAUUAUCGCACCAUAUAGUCUUCAACGAAUUGUCAAUACAUACAAUCUAAUGUAAAUUAAAAUACUCGGCUCCAAUAUUUUCUACCAAAAAAAAAAAAGCAAAACUGAAUAGAAAUAAUGGCAACCUUGUGUUUUCCUAUGGUUGUAAUGUAUACAUUCACAGCGGAAUCAAAAUACAUAGCACUCACACUAUUCUCUACCAGAAAUGUAGAUAGGAGCUAUCGCAUACUUAGCUUACGGCCAUUCUCCCAAUCAAACAGACCAUACCAAAUUUACAUCUCAGAAAAAAAACCAAAUGCAAUAUCAUUACAGAAUCAUGAUCCAAUAUAAAACAGAUAUUGAAGUAGAACAAAACUUUGAAUUUCUAUAUCUUACAGAGAUAUGAGAACUGAACUUCAAUCUAUUAACCUUAAUAGAUGGUGAUUCCAGAAGACAACUAGAGAAGCUAAUAAUUUUCAAUUAUAUCAAGUGCCUAAUGUAUGCUUUCAAUGAAACAUCAAUUUCUGUGAAGUGAAAAUGUUAAUUAACAAGAGCCACCUUUCACGAUAAAUGAAUAUUUCUAUAAUAGAAGCCACUUUUCAAGAUAAGAAUACAUGGACGGGAGUGAAAUCAAAGUGACAUAAACAUGUAAAUUUAUUCACAAGCAUGAUAAUAUAUAACAUCUCAAAUCAGAAGAAACAAUCAUUUAAAUAAAGAAAUGAUAAAAACACAAACACCUCCCUGUUUUUAAGUAUAUAAGAUAAACCAAAAAGUUCAAGCAUAAAUGAUAUUUUUAAUCUGAACAUGACCCUGUAUAUAAAGCAUAGACACCACCUGAACAAGUAAGAGCAGAUGUAUAUAGUCAUUGUUAGGGUUGCACAUUCUGACCGCCACCAACAGCCUCCUUCAGACUUUUCACGGCACUGUCAUAGUUCACGAAACCCAUGAACCAAAACUCAUGGUUGUCAAUAGAAACAACCUGAAUAUAUUUUUCUGCUGGAUUUGCUUGGCUUGUGGAAGGGUUAACAGAUCUCAGCUGCUGUAGAGGAAGCAACACCUGUUACAUUUCAAAAGAAAAACAUUGGUAUAAGCCCAUGUUUGUAUUCCGUAAGAAAAAGGUCAUGUUAACAAGUGCCUAUUAGGAGUUCAGUCAUAAAUAGUCAAACCAACUUCUAGAAGCAGCAUGACUAUUCUAGGCCUAUCCUUGUAGCCAAUACAGAACUAACUAGUCAACCUGACUCAGCAUUCGCCAAAAACUGGGGAACAUGCUAUAAAAUACUGGGAAUGCAUAUAAACAAUUCUUCCAUAGCAUGAUAAGUCCAGAAAACUGAACUACUAAAUACGAUAAAAAUUGUCAGAGAUAAAAAGAAUUUUGACCCAAAAAUAAAGAUCGCAUGAAGACCAAACACAACAACCCCGUAAAACCCCAGAAAACUGAACCACUAAUUUAAAACUGUAUAGACCUUACUCAGACUAUGGCGCAUUUUUUGAAAUAGGCAUCUGAGCUUCCAAAAGUUUUGCUUUUACUCCUAACUUAGAGCAUAUUAGAGCUCUAAAUUAGAGCAUACUCACUUUAGACACAUCACAGAAGAAGAUCAUGUGGCAGUCUCAAGAGAGAUGGUUGUGUUGAACAUCAGUGAAUAUACAUAAAGUUAAUGAAUAGAUGAACCUUGUAGUAGCUCCAUUCAGUUUUGUCCCCAACUUUAUACGAAAGUGGAUUGUCACUACAAAAUGCAAGCUUUGCGGUGGAAAGGUACAAAACUCCCAUAACAGGACCAGCGGAGGUCGAAAGAUAGCAUGCGUAUGCUUUCUUAAGUUUUUCGUCAGGAGCAGUGUCAAAUGUUUGUUGAAAUAUUUUAUCGUAACCACCUUCUGCUAUGACUUUUGUUGUUUGAGCAAUUCUACCCAUUGCUGCAUCCGCAACGCUAGGUCCUGUUUUCACUGUUUCAAGAAUGAUAGUUUAAUCAUGAUAGCAAAAACACGAACAAGCAUCAACACAUACAAAAUCUAUAAAAGAUUUGCUGAUAUGCAAUUGCAUACACAAAAUGAGAUGGAGUAUAUACUCUUUUAAAGAUUUAUCAGGAAAACAAAAAAAAAACUGGUUUUGUAACAAUAGCUUCCAAGAAAUAAGAAACUAGUAAAAGUUGUAUUUAGCAUAUAAAAAACCUACUGUACAUGAUUAAGAGACCAAAUAAUGGCCACAGUUGAGUAUCUUCUCUUGAAAUAUAUAAAAUGUGUAUGCACAAAGUUGGGCAAGUAUCAGAUCCACUAAUAUGCAAUUGAGUUGAUACAAGAGCCAAUACUCAAGCCAGUGGCUCUAUGUAAAUUCAACUUUUCCUCUGUUCAUCCCUUCAUUUCUUUGUUGUUGUAUUCUUCUAUCAUCUAUAGUUUUUAAGAAAGCGGAGGAGAAAACUAAGAAAAAACAAAAACAAAGAUCUACCGUCAAUUAGAGAUUUCACUACUGUGAAAGGGAUAAACCAGGGGCGGCAUUCACUGAUCUCAUUCAGGCACCCAAAAACUUAGAUGCAUGAGCAAAGAAUAAGCAUGUCCUGGAAGGAACUAAAGCUCAAAUUGAUAAAUAUUAAAAAAAAAAAAAUUUGAAACAUCUAUCUAUAUCUAUACAGUUGCAGCAUAAAUUUCCCAUCAAAAACCAAGCAUCCAGUUUCAAGUACGGGUUUUAUAUUGUUCCAUCAUGAUCAAUAAUGACACCACUCUCAGACUGAUCAAGGUCCCAUCAUAAGCAUUUUCGCAAGGAAAUAUAUUGCAUAUAAAAACUAUCCGUCAUUCAAAAGUCCAAGCUUUGAGCAAUCUACAACUAUCAAAUACUAAAUUAAAAUUUCUGAUAGUUUGCUAAGUACAGUAAAAACCACGCCACACCCUAAUAUACAAGCAUUAACCCAUAGAUCUCAUCAACAAGGACACAUCCACACACUUCUUCCAAAUUAAAUUCAAAAAUCAAAAUAAGUUGAUAAAAAGCGCACAAUUAAACCACAAAAUAUAGCUACUCACAGUGUUGCCAAACAUUCCCGGCCAAAUCCUCGGUCUUCUUCGCCGCGUCCCCGAACUUCUUCCCGAACUUCCCGAGCGCAUCGCGCACGGUAUCCAUCGUAUCUACAAAACCCCGAAUCAACCACAAAAACCAUCAAAUACUCCAUCACAACUCUAGUUACCAAUCACAAUCGAAUCAACGAACAGAGAGAGAGAGAGAGAGAGAGAGAGAGAUACUUUUGGAGGCGGGGCCGGGGGAGGCGGUGAUGUAGGGGUUGGGAUCCGCGGCCAUGGCGGAGGAGGAGGAGGAGGAGGAGGAGGGGGGAGGAGGAGGGGUGAGGUCCUCGGGGUUGAGCUUAGGGUAAGGGGCGUACUCGGGCGAGUGAUCGCCGUUGGAUCCCUUCUUCUCCGGGUGAUCGACGGUGGAUUGAUCCAUGGGAGGCGCCCGCGUCGGUGGCGUUCGAUGGAUCGGAGCGACUCCGAGAUCGAGCUCACAUAUAUAAUUAUUAUAUUAUGGGCAGGUGCUUCCUUACGAAGGAGGGGAUGAGACGAGAUCAUAUUAAUUUCGAGGUGUUAUCCAGAACAGUGGGGUCCACACUGACUGAUGAGGGAGGACUUGUCGUGGAUCCUGGACCUGGUGCACCACAUCAUCCAAUUAUCAUACGUGAAGUCUGACGUGGCACAACUGAAUGUUGGGCCCAAGCCCAAGUUGGAAAGGCUAGAUCGGGCUUCGGCAAACUGGGCCUUCAUAACUAAAAUUUUGGCCCAAAAUUGGACGGCCUCGGCCCGAACCUACUAGUCGCCCGUCCGAUAAUGGUUUAGCAAAAGCUUUAGUUUAACGGAGACAGUAUCUAACGCAAGAUUACUUCAUUUGCUGCUUCUAUGACCAUGUAAUAAUUGGUACGAAUCUUAAAGUCGUACAAAUAGUGGAUAAAAUAGUUUCAUCCUGGAGAGGUUUUUUUUUUUCAUUUUUUUCCUUUUCGGUUCGUGAAGAGAAUGAAAGUAAUAAUGGAAAAUAUGCCAAAAAUUUCGCACGGGGCGAUCGGGCUCGUUCAUAAGUUUGAAAGGAGCAGGACGAGACAUUCUAACUUUAAAUGCUGAAGCAACACAAAUUAACAUAUCUCGAUUUAAAGUAAUAUAAUAUUUGGGAAAAGAAAAGAAAAGAAAUAUCAUUGGGAGACUACAAUCCCAGAUGGACUUAGUUUCAAUAUCCAAAGAUUGGAGGGACUAAUAUGCAAUAACAUACAAUAAAUUGAUAAUGCCCAUCCUGGUGAUCUUGAUUACCUGAAUCUAGAUUGGUACUAAUUUAUUUAUUCAAUUAAAACCCACUUUAUUAUAAAAAUGAGCAGAAGCAAACCCCACUUACAUUGUGGGUAUGCACAAGUAAAUAAGCUAAAUAUAAGAAGAAAGAAUGGGCACCCACAUUCUCAUCAACAGCUAAAAAAACAAUACCUUUCCAAGAGCUUAAUUAGAAAUUUAGAAAAUCCAACAACCCUUGCUGAUGGAAGUGCUUUAACAAAAAUGUAAAGGCCCAAAGACAAAAGGCAAUGGGCUUUAACAUAAAAUGUUUGCUGGGCCCAAUUCGCUUUUUCACUUCAAAAGCAAAAGUUAAAUGUGUGACAAAACUUUAAAAAAAAAAAAAAAAAAGGGAAAAUCCAUGAGGUUUCUGAUAGGAAGCUGAUACCAAAAAGCAAAACUCCAAAUCACUAAAAUAUUUGAAUAGAAAAAUGGUUACUUUAUUCUGGCUAAUCUACUCAAAGCACUUUUGUAGAAGCUCCAAUCAAACUAAAGACCUGUUUGGCUCUUGAAAUAAUUUUUUUUUUAUUGAGAAAAUAAAACCUUCAAAUUUAAGUUUCUAUUUUUUAUUCUCAACUUUGUGCAAUGGAGCAGGCUAUUCUGAAUAUACCUAUACUGCUAGGAACAUAAAUAUAAAUGAUACCGAAAGACCAGUAAACCACCCACAUAUAACAAUAUGGAGUCCAAAAUCAUUAAUCUUUUUUAAAAGACAAAUAAAGAGAUCUAGAAAAGGCAACUUAAUUAAAAAUGAAGCUAGAGUAGAUGGAUCUUAAUGGGGGUGUGGUGGAUCAGGAUCAUGCCAAAGAGAUAGGCAUAGUGCAGUGGACCGCUCUCCUUUUGCCUGCUCUUGUGAUUUCCUCAUCCCCCAGUAGGGGUGUGAAUAAAUAAACAAAGAAGGGGUUGUUAUGGCUCAUGGGGUGAUGUUUGUUCCACUCUCAAUCAUGCAUAAAGUGGGGCCUUUGUUUAAUUUAUUGGGUUUGACGGGCAUUUACACUUGUACCAAUGAAGUACCAACAAGCUAUUCGUGGGAUUGUUGGGAGUCAUCUCCCAAGCUAUUGCUUUGUUUUUAAGGGCACUUAAUUGAAUCAUCUACAUGAGUGGAAUUUGUACAGAGAUACACUGAUUCUAUGUAAGGAACACUACUAAUAGUGGAAUUUCUUUUCUUAUAUAUUUGAGGGAUCCCUUGUUUAAGGUGAAUUUGUGAUUUUAGUUUCUCGUGUGCAGUGUGCAAGGGAUACAAAGUGGCAAAACAGAUUUGGCAUAGUGAUGAUUGUACCUACAUGUACUGCUGUUCUCUUAAUUUAGCCAUGAAAUGAAACGAGCCAAGUCUUUUAUAAUCCUAAAAGCUUGUUUAAUUCUGCUUUUACUUUUUUCAUAUUAAUGACAAUAACACGUCUGGACUUGAGAUUUUUUUAGUCAGCCCAUAACGUAGACUUGAAUUAAAUGGGAAAAAAUUAAUAUGCUAGGAGCCUGACGUGACUCGAACUCCGGACCUCCUAUUCUGAUAUCAUGUGAAACAAGUGUUGUACUCUAAAAGUUUAAACUAUUGAAGAACGAUGUUUAAAUAUUUUUAUAUUUAACGCGUAUAUCAAAACAAAAUUAAAAUAGAUUAAUAAAAGACAUAAAUGAGAUUCUAAUUAAGUAUCAACAAUAUAAGCUCUAAUAUAUAAUAUUAUUGAUUCUGUUGUAGCAGAAGUUUUUACGAGUAGUGUUUUCCGUAAUAGUGCUCUAAUUUUACUUCAUCCAACAGUAUUAGAGUUUGUACCACCAAACUUAUCAAAUUAGAUUACAGUGAGCUGGAGUUAUUUAACGAGAUAAAUUGUGCUUCGCCUCAAAAUAACGACGAAUAAUUUUGGAUGGCACGAAUAAUUUAUUUAUUUACUCAUCCUAAGUACAAACGGUCGAGUUCGGCUACAUUUGCAAAGGAUCAUCAAUCAAAAAAAAAAAAAUUGAUGAACGGCUCUGAUCGAACCUGGUGGGCCCCAAAUACGGCUGUACCCAAGCAGGACACGUGAGUACGUGACGGUCAAACAGAAACUCCCGUGCCACGAACCAACUUUGACCGAUCAAUAGAAUCCCACGCGAUUAGAACCACCCCAGGCACGUGCGAGCGCGCACGUGCAGCCCUGUUUUAGGUGUAGAACAAGUCUCUUUCCUUUGUCAUGUAACGCUACUUUAAUAUUCGCGCAUUAUAUAUAAGACGACGAUAUAUGAUUAAUUAGACCAUCUCUUAAUAAAAAAGAUUUUUAUAUAAUUUUUAAAAUUACCAAAUAUUAUUGUUGUCCUUUUAUAUAUAUAUAUAUAUAUAUAUAUAUAUAUAUAUAUAUAUAUAUAUAUGCAGGACUGCUGUGCUCUCCUGAGCCGUUUUCGAUGAUGGAGUUUCCGAAUCGACGAUCGGCUCCGUUAGANNNNNNNNNNNNNNNNNNNNNNNNNNNNNNNNNNNNNNNNNNNNNNNNNNNNNNNNNNNNNNNNNNNNNNNNNNNNNNNNNNNNNNNNNNNNNNNNNNNNNNNNNNNNNNNNNNNNNNNNNNNNNNNNNNNNNNNNNNNNNNNNNNNNNNNNNNNNNNNNNNNNNNNNNNNNNNNNNNNNNNNNNNNNNNNNNNNNNNNNNNNNNNNNNNNNNNNNNNNNNNNNNNNNNNNNNNNNNNNNNNNNNNNNNNNNNNNNNNNNNNNNNNNNNNNNNNNNNNNNNNNNNNNNNNNNNNNNNNNNNNNNNNNNNNNNNNNNNNNNNNNNNNNNNNNNNNNNNNNNNNNNNNNNNNNNNNNNNNNNNNNNNNNNNNNNNNNNNNNNNNNNNNNNNNNNNNNNNNNNNNNNNNNNNNNNNNNNNNNNNNNNNNNNNNNNNNNNNNNNNNNNNNNNNNNNNNNNNNNNNNNNNNNNNNNNNNNNNNNNNNNNNNNNNNNNNNNNNNNNNNNNNNNNNNNNNNNNNNNNNNNNNNNNNNNNNNNNNNNNNNNNNNNNNNNNNNNNNNNNNNNNNNNNNNNNNNNNNNNNNNNNNNNNNNNNNNNNNNNNNNNNNNNNNNNNNNNNNNNNNNNNNNNNNNNNNNNNNNNNNNNNNNNNNNNNNNNNNNNNNNNNNNNNNNNNNNNNNNNNNNNNNNNNNNNNNNNNNNNNNNNNNNNNNNNNNNNNNNNNNNNNNNNNNNNNNNNNNNNNNNNNNNNNNNNNNNNNNNNNNNNNNNNNNNNNNNNNNNNNNNNNNNNNAAAUUAGGCUCGCUCGAGCUCGGCUCGAAUUAAUUUCAAUCCAAGCUUGAGCUUAAAUUUAGGCUCGAAAUUAAUUUCAAGCCGAAUUUGAGCCGAGGGAAGCUCGCUCGAGCUCGGCUCGUUUCCACCCCUACGUUUAGGUGAGAGUAUACAUAAUAUUUUAGAUUUUGAAAAAAUAUAUAUAAUAUUUUGAAGUUUGAGAGGAUUAUAUUUGAAGAAAUAUAUAUAAUAUUGUGGGGAAUUAUAUGCUUAAAUUAAGCACGAGAAAUUUAAGCUUGUAGAUAAGAAUGAUUAAAAUGCAACAUCCGUAAAAGGAUAACGAUUUUGUUUUAGUUCCUAAUCGAAAAAAAUUUGGCAUCCGAUAAUUUCCCCGCGAUGGAUACACUUUAAUGAUGGGAAUGAGAGAAACAUCACACUUGACUAAUCACCAAUGAUGUGAAUUAUAACCCAUACAUAAAGAAGCAUAAGAUGACAUGAUCAAUAUAUAUAUUGGGUUAAAAAAAAAAGGGAAACUUUUAUGUAGUUAAACUAAUAACAACAAGACAGUGUAUUGUAAGCCCCACUAUAUUUAACAUCAAAUAAACUUAAAAAAAGUANUUCUUUAUACUAUAUAAAACAAGAUCAAUAUCUUUGAUUUAAAAUUUUAAUGUCAUAUUAUUAUAUUUUGUAAGAUUUUUAUUUUCAGCCGUUGAUUUUGAGCCCCUUUGUUCACUAGGCAAAUGAUAUCGUAAAAUCGUAAAAUUUAUUUUCUAGGUACUUCAAAUACUCUAGAUCAAGUUUAACAGCGCCGAUCAACGAUUCUCAAGUCGCAACAUCGAAAACGAGCUGGAAGUACGGAAGGCUCCGUGCUUCCGAUAGCAUAGUAACCUCACUAUAUAUAUAAAAAAUUAAGUUUGUUAUCUAAUAAGUGCACAUAUUACUGGAGAAAACAAAAAAUGGUGAUAAGCUGUACAAUCUAACAAGCUUUAUUAACAUUAAAGAAGAGCCGUUCCGUAUCUCCCGUGCAAAAGAAAACUUUUGCGAACUGCUUGACGAAGACAUCCAAUCCAAAAUUCAAAUCUCAUCUCAAUCGUUGACGCUGACGGAUACCUUCUUGAUGGACGGUCUGAUUGACCGCGAGAAUUUCUUGUGCAUCAGGGUUGCAGGAAACUCACGCCGUAUCUCUUGUUGCUUGAUCACCGUCACUAGCACCAAAUAAACAAUCCCACAAGCUAAAUCCAAAGUAUGGGGGCUUUAAUGAAUCCCAAUUAAAGAAACCAAACUCCAUUGAGCAGAGAAAGAGGCCAAAACCAACGCAACAUUAUUAUUAUUAUUAUUAUUAUUAUUUUAUUAAAAUUAUUAAAAUCUUAACUUGCAAGUGGGUUUAAACAAGCAGUGUUGGGUAACCGACUUUGCAGUGGUGCGAGCCUGUGAAUAGCCUGGAGAAUCCCAACGCCCAGAUGCACAGACAUAAAGAAUAGCCAAUCCAGUAAUAAAUAAAUAAAUAAAUAAAUACAAGGGUAAAGAUGUACGGAGAACUCCUGUGCUAUACUGAUAUUGCAACCUGAUGCUUAGGACUUUGAUUAUUGCAUUUAGCUCUUGCUUUUUUUCCUUUUUUUUCUUUUAAAUAGUUAUUUAUCUGUUUUUCGUAAAUAACUUUAGUAGUUUUUAAUUCAAAAACUAAUAUAUUUAAAUAAUAAUAUUGUGGAUUAUUAUUCUUAUGCACAUGAGUCCUAUUCAAAAAGAUUGGAGUGCCGAGCUCUAAAGAAAAAUUGAGUUUCGCUAAUUGCUUAAGGCCCCGUUUGGUUCGGGGGAUAAGCCGGGAUAACGAAAGUUAUCCCCGCUAUUCCGCCAAACAGAAUCAUUUUUUACCAGAAUAUUUUAUUCCGGUCAAAGCUUGCUAUUCCCGGUUAUCCCGGAAUAGCAAACUUUUUACUAUUCCACCAUUUUGGUGGAAUAGUGCUAUUCCAAUGCUUAAUUUUAAAUUUAAUUAAAAUUAUAAAAUGAAUUAAAACUCAAUUAUAUAAAUAUAAUAUAUUAUUUUUAUUAUAAAAUUAUUAAUUGUACUAUAUUAAUACAUAUUAUUUAUAUUUAAAUAUUGUAAUAAAUUUUAUAAUAAAUUAUAUUUAAAUACU